AUUACCAUAACAGAUGCAAAAUCUGAUCGGUGAAGAUAAGAAAAUGGAGACCAUGGGAAAUCUUCUAGUCCUGUUUACAGCUUCUUUAUGCCUCUACCUUUUCGUUGCUUUGCUCAAUGUUUUCUACAAGUAUUGGUGGAUACCUCAACGGGUACAGUUCAUCAUGAAUUCGCAAGGAAUAAGAGGAUCUCCUUAUGAAUUUAUCCAUGGAAACAACAAAGAAGCUGCCCCAAUGCUCAUGGAAGCAUCUACCAAACCUAUGACCUUGACGCACGAUAUAUUUCCCAGAGUCAUGCCUCAUGUUUACUCCUGGAUCAACAAAUACGGUGAGAAUAUCUUUUUUUUUCUUUUUUGGGUAGUAUUUUCUGAUUAAUCUCCAGUUUCCAUGAAGAGAAAUCAUUUUCUUUCAGGGAAGACUUAUCUUAGUUGGAAUGGAAUUCGAGGUCAACUGCUAAUUACAGACCCAGAACUGGUCAAAGAGGUCCUUAAAAACAGUGACAAAGCUUUUCGAAAGCCAAAGACUUCAUAUUUCUUCGACAAGCUAAUAGGCGAUGGGCUUGCUUCAACCGAACGUGAGAAAUGGGCAAGGCAAAGGAAACUGGCCAAUUAUGCCUUUCAUGGGGAGAGCUUAAAAGUAAAUCAUCUCUACCUUCUAAUCUAAUUAUUGUAGUGGGACAUUUACAAACUUGAUCAUUUUUUGCAGAAUAUGACUCCAGCAGUAGUUGCUAGCGUUGAAACCAUGCUUGAGAAAUGGAAAAGUAAGGAGGGCAAAGAGAUAGAAGUGUUCCAAGAGUUCAGAUUAUUGACUUCAGAAGUGAUAUCCAGAACCGCCUUUGGUAGCAGUUACUUGGAAGGGGAGAAGAUUUUUGACAUGUUGAUGAAGUUGUCAGUAAUUGCAGGCAGAAAUAUUUUUAAAGCAAAGAUUCCCAUCGUCAGGUAACUUCAUCAAAUCUUUACUUUGUUAAUCAACAUACUUCAGCUUACAAUGGGUUGAUUUAAUCUGGUUGUCCUUUUCAGCAAGUUUUGGAAAUCUGCUGAUGAAAUUGAAUCAGAAAGAAUUGCCAAAAUGAUACAUGAUUCUGUGAUGAGGAUUGUUAAAAAAAGGGAAGAGACAGUAGUGAACGGAGAAGCUGAUAACUUCGGUCGUGAUUUUCUGGGAUUACUUGUAAAUGCUUAUCAUGAGGCGGACCAGAAAAACAGGCUUUCGAUUCAAGAUAUGGUAGAUGAGUGUAAAACUUUUUAUUUUGCUGGGCAAGAAACAGUCAAUUACUUGCUUGCAUGGGCAACUCUGCUUUUAGCAAUACACACCGAUUGGCAAGACAAAGCAAGAGCAGAGGUGAUUGAGGUCUUUGGUAAUCAAAACCCAGAUUCUGAAGGGAUGGCCAAAUUAAAGACGGUAAGCAAACUAUACAAAUUCAAUAGCUUGAAAACUACCACUGACCAUUUAUAUUGCCUUUGUUCAAAGGUGGCAACUGCAGCAGCAACAUGCAAGAAACCAUGCAAAACUCACGUUGCAUGCAUGGAACCAGGAACUCAGCAGAAGCAUGCUAAAGUCCAUGGUGUAAUUUGACAGUAGCUUUGUUUAUUCAGUUGACUUUUUUGUUAGGCUAUGGUGUAAUUAUUAUUUGCUUUGAUCAGCUAAGGUUAAAUGUGUGCUUAGCCGAUUUAGUAGUCAAUUUUAGGUUGUCAUUUUGUUGAUGUAAACCUUUAGUUACUUGCACAAGCAAGCUUUGUUUUCUUUCUAUGUAUUUUGAUCUAUUUAUGUAAGCAACUAUGUUCUUAUUCGGGUAAUGAAAAAAACACUUUGUUCAUUCAUUUUUUCAGCUUGUUUUGCUUCUGUUUUAAGCUUUCAAACACUUAAACAUUUGAUUUGUUCUUUUGAACCUUGUUGCUAAGUUAAAAAACCAACAGCCUUUUGGAUUGUUUUUUUUUCUCCAACAUAUUAUCAUGAUUAUCAAUGAAACUUUACGGCUCUAUCCUCCUAUAAGUGGCGUGAUAAGAGAAGUAGGAAGAGAAGUCCAAUUAGGAAAACUUGUCCUGCCUACUCAUUCAGAGGUCGACAUGCGAAUCAUAGCACUUCACCAUGACCCUUACUUAUGGGGAGAUGAUGUUAAUCUUUUCAAACCCGAGAGGUUUGCUGAAGGGAUAGCGAAAGCUACUAAGUACAAUGCAGCUGCAUUUAUGCCUUUUGGAUUGGGACCUCGAUCUUGCGUUGGCAUGAGCUUUGCAAUCACUGAAGCGAAAACUGCACUUUCCAUGAUUCUGCAACGCUACACUGUCACCGUCUCCCCUACCUAUGUUCACGCACCUGCACAACGUCUUACACUCAAGCCACAACAUGGGAUUCAGUUGUUGUUUCAUUCACUACAUUAUGAUGCUUAAAAUUCUAGGCUGUUGGUCUCCAAUAUAGAAAUAUAUAGUAAAAUGUGGAUGAUACUGUAUUUUGCAACCAUACGAUUAUAUAUGGUUUGGGGAUUUCAUGUUUUGGCAACAAGAUUAUAUGCUUUUUUUUUGUUGUUGAUAUUGUUAGAGGUUAAAAAGGUAUUACAGCAAACAUCGCCACCACUGGAGCAGGCCCUACAGUCCUGUGAAUAACAUAAUCAGCAACAAAAUAGUCCACCAAAGAGAAAUCAAUUCAAACUAGCCAAAAAACUGGAAUGGCAGCAGCAAAUCCAGUCAGCUCCCUGAACAUCAUACAGAAGCAAGAACAUCACAACCCAGUCAUAUACACGCCAUGAAGACAUUGGACUCCACAUUUUGCUAAAGUAUCAGCAAAGCAGUUAGAUUCUCUAUAUACAUUCACAACGGAGACAUUAUGGGAUCUCAUCACACAGCUUGGUAAAUGACCCAUCCAGCAUUUGAGAAAUAGUGAAGAUGUCAAGUCCAGGAGCUCCAAACAAUGCCUCAGCUGGUGGAUCCUUAAUUAGGUGUCUUUCUUCCAUUACUACUGCAGUAGUGAAGUUUUUAUUCCACUUGGUUCCCUUCUUCCAGAAUUUCUGCUUGAAACACUCACUCCUGGAGCCGGCCAUUACAUUGCUUGUUUAGCUUUCAUGGAAGGCUCGAAGCUCAUUAGACCAGAAACAUUGUUCCUUUGCCUAUGUAUCUUUUUGACAUAUUCUCUUCAGGAAGAGCUACUUAUAUCAAGGCUCCAUCUUUCUGAGUUGCAGGGCAAAAGUCCGUUCUCCAUGAAAAACUACCCAUUUCCACUAAAGCAUACUAGCUUUCGCCAUCCCAUCCUCGAAAAAACCUGAAAUGAUACACCAGAAACUCCCUCAAGACAGAGAGCCAAGUCACUUUCUAGCUAAUCCCCAUUGAACCCUCCAAUUAAGCAAAGCCAUUUCAUAUUUCAACCCAAUGGGCACCACAAUUGCCGCACAAAAUUUACAAAUUAAAAUGCAAAAAGUAAUACAGAAAAAUACACAGUCCAAGCUCCAAAAUGCAAGAAAGUCUGAGCCAAAAUUUAGAUUCCAUUUAAAAAACUUGAAUCUAAUUCAUUUUUAAUUUUGUAAUAUAGUACAUGUAAUGGGCCUAUUUUGCCCGGGCCCAAACCAGGCCAGGAAAAUAAACACAAAAAAAUAAAUAAAAAUCCUAAAAAUUAACAGUUUAUCAGUCCCAAAUUACAAAGCCCAAAAAAAAUUAAAAACCCUAAUAGCCCAAAUAGCCCAACACCCCAUGUGCGCCGCACCCAUCUGCUGCCACCCUCGAUCACGCUGCCCGCGCCUCAUCUCGAGGCCCGACACAUUGCUGCCGUCGUUUCACCAAAGAAGCAAGGAGCCACCUGCUCCCCUCCGUUAAUGCAUGCAAACAAGCAAAAAAGAGCAAUAGCAGAAACGAAAGCAAGAACAAUAGCAAAUAGUAGCAAAAAAAUAAUGUAAACUGGCUGUAAAAGCCACCACUACCAGUUUGUAAUUUUUACACACAGACAUUGAUUCUAAAUACAAAAAGAAGUUUGAAACAGAUUCAAAGAAAUCAAGGUGCUUUAUUUAUUUAUUUUUAUUCGAAAUAAACAAACAAAUACAUAAUAUUGAAUAAGUAAAUAAAGGGUGAAAUCUAUUACCUUUAACGCCGCGGUCGGAGGCUUCUCCGGUCUUGAGGGUGGCUGAGUCAGUGGGCUCGCCGAAAACCCCACCGGCGGUGAUUAGGGAAUCCAAAAGGAGUGGGUUUUGGCAUUUCCGGCCACCGUGGAUGGCGGCACAGUCGCCGAUGGUCGAUGGCCGGACUUUAGGGAAAUUUCAGAGAAAGGGAGAGCAAAUUUCUAUUUUUUUUCUAGGAGGGCUGAAAUGAGGAUUAAAAAAAAUUUUUGGCUUAAAUAGCCCAAAUGAAACAGUGCCGUUUCAUUCCUCCCUCAAAUGCCCAAAACGGUGCCGUUUUGAGGGAGCCGACCUGAGAACCGACCCUUACAGAUGGGAUCCGCGUGUUCUUGCGGUGAAUGGGCUAUUUCGUACGCGGUUCUUCUGCGUUUGCGACACUUUGCAAUUUAGUCCACACUUGUUUUUUUUAUUUUUUAAUUUUGCAGUAUAAUUUUAUUUUUGUGUGUAACAGCCCGAAUUUAGGCCUAGUCAGGAUAGUGGUUUCGGGACCACAAAUGUAAUAUUUUCAGAAUUUCUACAGUAAGAUAUUAUCCUUGGUACAGUAAAAUAAGGAAAUGAAGUGAUAAAAAAAAAGAAGGAAUUUUGAGUUAUGGCAACAUUGGGAAGUAUAUUAUAACAUGAUAAUUCAAGAAAGGAUUAAAUCGCAAAAGUGCGAAAAGUUUUGUUGCCCAAGAGUAAAUACUCAAAAUUUGAGGGGUUAAAGUGUAAAUAUAAAAAAGUUCAAGGACCAAAGGUGUAAAUAUUUUAAGGGUGGAAUGAUCUAGAAACUAAGGAAAAUGGAUGGAUUAGGACCAAAUUGAAAAAGGUGAAGAAUUUUGAGGGACUAAAUCACAAUUUUACCAAAUUAAGUGAUGACUCAAGAAUGAAAUUUUAAAAGAUCAUGAAGGGCGAAAUGGUCAAUUAAUAAGUGAGAGAAAUCUAGAAGAUAAUGAUGAUGUUGGAGAUAUUUUAGAUUAAUUAAUUAAAUAUUAGUUUAUUAAUAUUUUAAUUUGAUUUUUAAAUGAUAUUUUAUUAUUUUAUUAUUAUUUUAUUUAGUAUAUAUAUAAGAAAAGGAAGAUGAAGAAUCAUCAUCUUUCCCCAUGCAUUCCAACGUAUGAAGAGAAAAGAAAGAAAGAAACUUUCUUUUCUUUACAAUUUGGUCCUCUAACCAAAAAUCCUCCAUUUUCACUUUGAAAUCAAACAAAUUUCCAUAACCACCAAGAAAGAAAAUUGAUAUGGAGACAAUGGGGAGAUAGAAUAUCAAGUUAGAUUCAAGAAAUAGAAGCUGGAGGAGAGAGAAAAUCAAGUUAAAGAUUGAAAUCAAUAGCACAAUGUAAGAACAUCAAUAUUUCAAUAUAUUUUUAAGUUUGAUAUUAUUGAAAAAGCAUGGAAUUAAUGUUAUAGUAGAGUUUUCUCAUAUAAAUUCUUAUGUUCUUGAUAUAUUAGUGAAGAGAAAUAAGUGAAAGUGAUGAGAAAUAUUAUAGAGAAAGGGAAUAAGGGAGUUAUACACCUAGUAAUCAACAUUUUGCACUAAAACAGUUUUGGACAGCAGCGGUAGGUUAACUUUGAAAAAUCACCAAAAAUUGUGGGAAUUGAAUUAUAGAGUGAAUAAAAUAUAAAAUUAAAUAUUAUUGAGUCUAGUUUCUCAUAGAAUAAAUGGUGUAAGUAAUGGAAUUGUAAAUUAUGAGAUAUAAAAAAUUUUGUGAGACAAUGUCAGAAUGAUUUCGGGUUCCCCUGCUCUGAAUUUGUAAAAUCAUAAAAAAAUGAAGAAAAAUAACUAUGAGUUAUAAUUUAUAUUACUAUAAUAAUUUAUGAGUAUAUUUUCAAAGGAAACAAACGAAAACAUCAUCCUAAUUCUGUACAAUUAGAUAAUUCAUUUUUAGUGAAGAGUGGUCGAAACUGUCAGACAGCAAAAUAGGGGAAACUUUAAAAAAUACUGUACUAUUUGGCUAAACCAGAAAUUCUGAAAAUUUUAUAGUAAGAAGAUAUGUGGGUGUAGUUUCAGAUAAAAUUAACAGAUCUUAAUUUGGAAGUCUAUAUCUCCAGAUAAAAAUAAUUUAGUGACUCUGACUCGGAUAAACAACUUUGAAUAUACAUGUGAGUGAAUAGUGAAAUUAUAGUUAAUGUUGUUUAAGUGUGUUAUACACAUUAAGGAUGUGGAAUAAAGAGGAGGAGGAGGAGGGAAAUAAAUAUAUGAAUAUUAUGCUAGCAUGGGUUUUCAUUACAAAUGGUUAAUUUGCAUGAUUUGGGCUUCGAGACUAAACUGAAUAAAAAUAAAACUUUAGGGGCAAUUUUGGAAAAAAUGUCAAAAAUGACCAAAUUGCAUGAAAUGAGUUGUUUUAUUAAAAGAAAAAUUAAUUUAGAUCAAGAUCGGGUAGAAAAUCGAGAAAAAUGGAAAAUUACCAAAAUGCUCUUAUAUCUUGGUAUUUCUGCAAAUUAGCCUGGUAAGUUCAUAUGGCUAAAAUUUUAAUGAUUAAAUGUCAAUUUAAUGAAUUAUAUAGUAUAUGAUGAUAUAUAUUUGUUGAUGAAAUGAGAAUAAAAUAAAAAUGCGAAAACCUAAUAAAUGAUCAAAUUGAGCGGAACGCCGGAUUUGAGUACUUCUGAUCAGUGACAAGUGAUAAGUAGUAGCUUCAACUACACUUAUCUGAUCAGUGACAAGUGACAAGUGAUAAGUGAUAGCUUUAGCUACAGUUAUCUGAUCAAUGACAAGUGAUAAGUGGUAGCUUUAGCUGCACUUAUCUGAUCAGGGACAUGUGAUAAGUGGUAGCUUUAGCUACACUUAUCUGAUCAGGGACAAGUGAAAAGUGAUAAAUACGAUCCGUGUAAGACCGUGGCAGGGCUACGGCUUCGGAAAGUGAUAAGUGAUCAUACGCAAGACCAUAGUAAUACUAUGGCAAAGUGGAAGUGAAGUACUCAAUUUUCCGUAACUGUUCCCUAAUUUGAUUAAGGAUGGUAAGUGACAAAUGGUCCUAAAAGAAUUAUAGUAAAUGGAUAAGUGGUAGUGAAUUUAUACCGGGAUGAUGAGUUCAAUCGAUGUUGUUAUAUAAGCUAAAAUGAUAUUUUCAUUGCAAAAAUUGAGAACUUCAUAAAUGUAUUAAUGAAUGGUAUAAUCAAUUAAAUAUUGAGUUAAAUGAUAAAUACGCAUUAGUAUUGAACUUAAUGAUUUGAAUUGUGAACAUGAGAAAUUUGUGAAUUGAAUGAAAUGGAAAUGAAGCAUUGAAUUAUUAAGACUUGUGAAUUGCAUGAAUAUGUAUCAGGUCUCAUAUACCCUAUUUAUUAUGAUUAUAAUAUUUUGAGGAUAUAUUAUGAAUGGUUAUAAAAGCAUGUUAAUAAUUUUGAAAGUUUUAAUUUAGAUAAAAUUUUAUAACUCGGUUAAAUACGUUUACAAGUGUAUGUGUUCUAGUAAUACCUCGUACCCUAUUCCGGUGUUGGAUACGGGUAAGGGGUGUUACAUUAUGUCACUUUGGUCCAUAUUGAAACAGUGCGUUCGGAGGACUGGGAAUAAUUUCCCAUCUGGUCCCCGCCCUUUUUCAGCGCGUUUUAGUUGGUCCUUUACUUUUUUCUUUUUUUUGUAAUUUAUGCCUUUAAAUUCCAUUCAAAUUUCGAUCUAGUCCCUUUUAUGUUUAUUCAUCUAUUUUAUUAUAAUUUAGACUCUAAAUUUUAUUUUAAUCUCAAUUUAAUCCUUUAUCCGCUUAAUUUCAAGCUUUUAUUUAUUUAUUUAUUCUUUUUUUGUUCUGUUUUAUUUAUUUAUUCAUAUAUUCAUUCAUUUAUCUAUUUCUUUACUUUUCUUGUACUUAGAAUUUAUAUUGUUAUUUAUUCAUUUAUUUAUACAUUUCAUUAUCAUUAUUGUUUAAUUCACUUUUGUUAUUUUUAGUAUUAGAAUAGUAGUUAAUAUGAUUAUUGUUAUUAUUAUUUGGUGUUAUUAUUAUAAUCACAUCAUUAUUAUUGUAUUAUACAUUACGUUUACAAAAUAUUUGUUCGCUUUCACACGAUGUUCGAAUAAAUUAAACACAUAUCUUAUUAAAUAUUAAAUUAAUUCUUACUCAAAUUCAAAAAAAGAAAAUUUUCAAAAUAAGGCAAUGUUUCGUUUUUGGAGAUUCGAGAAAUCGUACCCUAACUUAUGGGAUUUUGAUUUUCUCGUUGAACCUAAACGACAGAAUAUCCUUUUUUAGAUUAAAAUACAUAAGUUCUAAAUAAAAAUAAAGGCAAGCUCAUUCUCAAAGGUUCAAUGUGUCGUGUCCUAACGUACGGAAUGUGACAUUUUGCUAUCUCGAGACGAGAGGGUCUUUAAUGUUCGUUUCAACUUAUUCAAGCAUUUUUUUUAAAUAACAUUAAUAAAAAAGGGAUCGUAUUUUAAAUUUUCUUUCAAAUUUUCAACAUUCGACACUAAAAACACUAAGCAAUCAACUAGGUAUCGAUUUUGGGCGUAUCGAGGGUGCUAAUCCUUCCUCGUGCUUAACUGACUCCCGAACCCGUUUUCUGGAUUUUGUAGACCAAAAAUUAUUAUUUUAGUAAAUUUUAAACUUUUAUUAAAAUGAUUAAAUUAUGAGGUGAUCCGAUCACACCUAAAUAAAAAGGAUUGGUGGCGACUCCAUUUUCGUUUUUAAAUAAAAAGUCGACCUCUUUUUACAAAAAAAUGAUUUCAACAGUACAUUCACUACAAGAAAAAUAUGAAUUGUCAACAUUAAAAUUUUUUGCUAAAUGUUGUAUUACAGUUACUAAGAUUUUAUUGUAACAGCAAAAAAAUCGUUGUGAGGCCGUUGUGUAUAUCUCCAUCGUAUAAAAUAUGUACAACGAUUUUACAAAUUAAAAAGUCAUUUUAAUUAUAUAUAUUGCAACGACUUUUUUCGUUUUAAAAUGUAUAUAUAUUUUCUGUAACGACUUAAUUUAUUUGUCUAAAAAUGUUUUAGUUAUAAUAAAAUUUGUUAUGUUGACAUUUUUCUAAAAAUGUAUUGGUUAUGUUACAAAAAAAAUUACGUAACAAUAAUAUAUUGGUUAUUUGACAUUUUUCUAAAAAUAAGAUGCUAACAUGGAGUAUAAAAUACAGGGACUUUUCUAAAUUUGAGCAUAGUAGGGACCAAAAUCAUAAUUUGACAUUUUUCUAAAUUUCAGCAUUGCUUAUGUUGACAAUUUUUUUUAGUGUUGGGAGGGAUAAUUUUUUUAAAAAACAAUUAACAUUUGAACUAAUUAAUGAUAUUAUAAACAUAGAUGGAUCAAAUUCUAAAUUUGAGGGACCAAAACUAUAAUUGAACCCCUUUUUUCUUUACUAGCAUUGCUCAAUGUUUGUAAUUUUUGAGCAGUAUUCAAAUAUGAUCCACCAAGCAACACCACAUUUCCUCACAGCGUCUACUUGCUACCUCACUUAAAGAGCUUCCUCAACUGCGACUUAAGAAAAGCUAAGAUGAUUGCCAACCCAACUCAGGGAAGUGGUAAUGGGUUCGAGUUCGUGUUGAAAAAGUGGAAGCCCUACUAUUUUGCUUGCGUUGAACGUAAUGGCUUCCAUUGCAAGGUUGGCCUCAUGAAAUUCGCCGUAGUAUUGUCGCUCCGUCGCCACCAUUGAUGGAUCACUUAAGCCUUCAGGGUAGAUGCAGUGCCUGUAUUUUUUCUUUCACUGCCAUUUUUGUUCACGAUAACAUGUUGAAUGUUGAGCCUAUCUUUUUUAAAUUGUUCAAUAAGUUAGAGGUUUGGGACCUUAGGGUUCAACUCUGGGCCAUGUUAUUUUGUCUUUUUACAGUAAUUUGUGAUUUCUUUUUACAAAGAAAUGCCAUGUUUUGUGUUUUGUUAACAUCUUGUUUUGGUUUCAAUUUAUUUCGUUUGGGAUGUUUCAUUUGUGUCUUGCAACAUUCUUGACUUCACCCUAUGUAUGAACUAACAUUGAUCCAAACGCUUGGAAUUGGGUCUGAUCGAAAAUGUCAAGACCAUCAACACUUAUUUUGAGCAAUGGUUAGAGCUUUCAUCAAGUCUGUAGAUAAUACAGAUUCAAACUCUUCCUCCUUUAAUAUUGGACCAUUUUACCAUCAAAGGCCCAUUUGCAACUUUAUUUACGGAAAUGGGCUAAUUUUUUUAUUAUUUAUUGGAAAGGGCCAAUUUUAGCAAAACACAUCCACGUAGAAGCGUUUUUGGGGAAAAUUUAGGCAAAACGCUUCCCUGGGGAGCGAUUUUACCAUGCAGCGCAAAACGAGCCCAUGUGGACGCACUUUGUUGACGUGGCAAAAUUGCUCCCCUAGGGAUGCGUUUUAGCUAGUGUUUUUUCCCCAAAAUUGCUCCCCCAGGGAUGCGUUUUAGCCAGUGGAUGGGUCCGCACUCACUGGGUCUGUUCAAUCUGCUGAUUGAGGAGCCGUAUGUUACGAUCUUUUGGGUGCAAUUCUGGGUAAUAUUUACUGAAAUCGGAUCGAGAUGGGCUGGUUACAAGACAUAUUCCCGGAGUCGGGGAAUGAUUUGAAUGAAGUAGAAAGAAUACGAUAUGCUCGGGCAUACAUUUUUGAGAUGAUUAAAGGUUAUCUGAUGCCAGACUUGUCACGAAACCUCGUACAUCUGAGGUGGCUGUUGAAACUCGUUGAUUUUAGAGCAGCUAACAAAUUUAGUUGGGGUCUGCCGUGUUGGCAACAUUGUACCGGGAGAUGUGCGGGGCGACGCCACCAACUAAAGCAAAAAUCGGAGGUUGCCUAUCACUACUACAAUCAUGGGUUCGAUUUCGCUUUCCAUUAUUACGUCGUUGAGUGGACCACCCAUAUACAUUCCCACUCAUAAUAAGGUAAAAUUUAUAUUAGAUUUUACAAUUAUUACAUAGAUUUAAAUUAUAAUUGUAUGCUAAAAAUUUAUUUGAUUAGGUGGAACCAUUCGGCGAGUUAGGUGGAACCAUUCGGCGAGUUAUGUUGGAAUAUGUAACACCCCUAACCCGUAUCCGUCGCCAGACUAGGGUUUAGAGGCUUUACCGGACAUAUCGAAACAUUUCAUGAUCACUUUACAAUCAAAAGUCAUACAUCGACCUAUCAUAGUCAAACAUCGACAUAAUUCAUUUUAUAAAUGAGCGUAUAACAUUAUAUCCAUCGAUAUACAUCUAUAUCAUAUCGAAUUAUUGAUCAUACAUUUUAAUAACCUAUAUACAAACACAUACCAAACCAUUUCAUUCCAUAUCAUGAGGCAUUAAUAAUCAUUAUCUUAUAAAAUAUUACUUGACAUUACCACAUAGCCCCAAUGUACUUUUAAUACUACUAAAGUAUGCGAAUCACCAUAAUAUUAAUAGCUAUUACUGAACUCAAUUGCCUAACCAAACAUACCAACUUCAUAGGUAAAACAUCAUUCCAAAAUUACAUAUACUAUUCAAGCCCAUUUAUCUCUCAUUCAGCUAUCAAAAUUAACCACAAAUGUAGUACAAAUUUUCUUUACUCGAUGUUAAACCAAAACCUGUCAUUUCAUUACCAACUAGCCUUACUAAAUAUACACAUUAUACUAGCCCAAUUGUUUAACCAUUCAUCCAUGAGAAAUAUAUAUAUAUUUUUUACCUAUUAUUGCUGAAUAUAAAUAUACUUCACAAAUCAUAAUUCAUCUCACAUAGAGAGUGAAUCAAUUUUUAUCAUUUGUCAAAUAGAUUACAAAACAAUUUAUAUAACCAAAUAUAGAUACAUUUUAAACCACACCAAUAAACAAAUUCUCAUGGCAUUGCAUAAUCAUCAUAUAUCAAAAACAAUCACACUUGACAUUUACAUCACAUAAACCGAAUUAACCAAUGCAUCCUCAAUGAUAUAAUCAUCCCUUUUACUUAAUUAACCAAGCCGAAUCAUAUCAUCAUCUCACACCUAAAAUGACCCACCUAUCACACUUCCAAAUUAUGCCACUUAAUAGACCGAAUAUACCUAGCAUUUUACCUAUUUAAUCAAGCCAAAUCUCAAAACCAUUCCACACAUAAAUUAUACUACAAAUCAUACUUACAAGUUUAGCUAAUACAAGACCGAAAAUCACUAUCAUAGCUUCAUUAGCAAAACACUCAAAACAAAUCCAUCAUCUUUAUACCAAGCUUACAAACAUGAUCUAACCAUAAACCAUAUAUACAUAUAUAUCCUUUCAUCAUACCAAAUUCAUAUACCAAGCAUACCACACAUAUAUACCAUGUCCCAAAAUUACUUAAACAUUAGCAUUAAUAUCAAGCCAUUUACGCAUGGCUAAAUAUCUACAAAUUACAAGACCAACCAAAAUAAACACUAGUCUAUACACGCCAUACGUUCAAAUUUUCAAGCUUUCAAAAUAUCGAAAUAGAGAUUGAUAGUGUGACGGACUUCCUUGACGAUCCUCGAGCUCAUAACUAACCUUUAAAAUCUAAAAACAAUGCAUGAACAAACACACAGUAAGCUUAAAUAGCUUAGUAAGUUAUAAGCAAAUAGUUUAUCAAAGAACAUAUAAUUUAUACAAUUAGAUCGAAUACUCUCAAUCUUGAACACACACACACACAAACACACACACAUAUAUAUAUAUAUAAUCACAUUUAAGCAAUUAGUUCACAUUUUCAUGUUCAACCACAAUACUUACGUUUAUUUCCAAAUUUCAUAAAACUCAAACAUACCUGAUUCAUUUAAAUCGAACUCACAUUUUGUCUUGCCUUACCUUUGCUCGUAGAACCAUUCGGAAUCAAAAAGUAUACGCGGAUAACUCAAAAAGAUCGUACAAUGCCAAUGUCCCUGACGUGGUCUUAUAUGUAAUCAAAUAACGAUGCCACUGUCCCAGACAGGGUCUUACACGUAAUCAUAUACGAUGCUAAUGUCCCAGACAUGGUCUUACACGCAAAUCUCAAAUCGAUGCCAACGUUUCAGACGUGGUCUUACACAAAAUCACAUAUUAGAAUCCUGUGGUUCGAAUGGGCUUUCGAAUGUCGUAAUUCAAUCGUAUCAAACUCGUAAACAAUUCUCCCAUGCAUAAAAUAAUUCGACAUUUACACAUAUGCUCAUUAAAUUUUAAUUUGGCAUUUAUAAUACAUAUAUAUUCAAAUUAAUGAAAUUUAUUUACUUAUGAACUUACCUUAGACAAAGACGAGCGGAUGGAAUUGACUAUUCGACCACUUUCAACUUUCCCCUAUCUAAUUUCGUUUUCUUUUGUUCUUGAUCAAUAUAAAUUCAAAUUUGGCUAUUUAAUAACACAUUUUAUUCAAAUUUAUUCUAAAAACACAUAAAUAGGAAAAUUAAAUUUUAGCCCCUAACAUUUCACAUUUUUUACAAUUUAGUCCUUAAUUCACAAAACACAAAAUAUUCAAAAUUUCACCACACCCAAGCUUGGCCAAAUUCCUAUAGGGUCCCUAGCAGCCUAUUUCUUUCAUUUAUUUCACAUUUGACCCUUAAAUUUACAAAUUUCACAAUUUAAUCCUUAAUACACAUUUUUAUCAAAAAUUACUUAAUUAAACAUAAUAAUCUAUCAACAUAUAUUUAUUUUUCAUCAUCAAAUAAUAAAACAACAAGCUCUCUCCAAUGACAAAUCACAAAAUCCACAUCCAAUUGAAAAAUUUAAGCAUGGGCUAGCUAGUAUUCAAAGCAAUGAUACCAAAAACGUAAAAAUUAUCAAAAAUCGAACAAAGAGCAUACCUAAUUUAAAGCCUCAAAGUGCCGAACCUAAAACACAAGAAUGGCUUCUUUUCUCUUCAAGUUUCGGCAAGAAAAAAGCCAAAUGCAUGGCUAUUUUGUGUUUUAUUUUAUUUAUUACACAUUAAUACAUAAUUUACUAUUUUAAACAUUAUUAAUUCAUUUAAAAUCCACUAACAUAUGUCCGUAAAAGUCCACUCACAAAUCCAUUGGUAUAAUAUCAACAUAAGGACUACACAUUAGAAAAACCAUAGCAAAUAAGCACUUUAACAAUUAGCUAGCCACUUUUGCAUUUUACGCGAUUAAGUCAUUUUUUUAAAAUCAAGCACACAAACGAUAAAAUUUUCACACGAAAUUUUCACACAUAUAAAUUAACAUGCUGUAGAAACCAAAAAUAAUAUUAAAAUAUUUUUUGACUUAGAUUUGUGGUCCUGAAACUACUAUCCGACUAAGGUCUAAACCGGGCUGUUACAGAAUACCUAUCGCUCUUGAAGAUAUACGGCUUCUAUUAGACCAAAGGUCGAAAGCGCAAGUAAGUAUUAAAUAAAAUAUAUAAAAAUAAAAUAGUCGUUUCAUGUUUAGUAUUAGUAUUAUGUAUAUAACAAAUAUUUUUAUCAUGUUCAUAUAGUUUCAAUGGACACCAUAUGAGGAUUCGAAAAUUUGAGCAGUAAUUUCGGGUGAAUUCUUUCAAAAUCUGAACAUUUGGCAUGUGAAGGUCCCAUUGGUCAACUAUGCUACCGUGGAGAUGCAUCAUAUGGAUAGAGUGUUGCGGUAAUUUGGAUUUUUGACAACCGAUUCUCGUGGCACCUGAGGUGCUCAAUGAUAAGCACAAAAUUGACUUACGAUAAACGAAUAAGAAUUGGCUGAUAUUCUAGUUGAAAUAUAUCAAAAUGUGAGAAAAUUGGUAUGAUCAUAUACCUAUUCAGGAACCGAUUAUCGUUCUAGAGUUAGCGUGCGUGCCAGAUUACAUGUCAUGGUUCAGGAUCCAUGGCAAGCCAAAUUUAUUGUCGGAGGAGUAGAGGCGUCAGUAAAUUCGUGUCGAAAGGGAAUGAUACGGCCUUUUAAAUUCAAGGAGAAGGGAUAAGACACGAGCCCAUCAAUAGUGCCCACACAAUCGCCAGGCCCAACGCCUCAACUGACGACACCCACAUCAUAGCCUCUUCAGAUUAUGCCAGGUGCGUAUCGUAGCCCUUAUAUGCAUCUUAAAUUUUAUAUGUUUCUUUUUCCAGUCCUAUACUAGGUUGGAAUGCAUGACCCGGUGCAUCUCAUUUCCCGAUGACUCCAAUUCAACCGAUGAUAUAUAGGCUACCAUCGUAGGAGGGAUCGCAUGAGGGACCGUCAGGGAGCUCUGCUCAUUACCAAUCCCCAUCGCCUUAUAGGAUUCAAAGACCUUCCCCAUGGGUGAUGCAAACACCUCCGCAUUCUCUAUUCUAUCAAUGUGGGUCAUCCUCCCAACACCAACACCAACACCAACAACCAUAACCCUCAACCCCUUCCGGAAGCUGAACCAAGGAGGAAUCCAGCACUUAACUGUCGACGACCCCAUGCAGCACUGAUUUCGACGUGCACCAACAUUAAUUUUUUUAAUAUAUUUGUACAAACAAUUUUUAUAUUAUUUUAUUUAAUAAAAUAAAAUUUGUUUUUAAUAUUUUAAUAGUAAUUUAUUUUUUAUAUUUUUAAUAAAAUAGAAAUAAUGCAACAUAGUUUUAUUACAGUAACUAUCAACUAUUUCGAUUUGGACAUGAUCGAAUUGUAUGACCUAGGUUCCUACACCAUCCGCACAACUUCUGUUAGUUUGUUCUUUCCCAGAUAUCCAUAUUGUUACGUAUUCUACUCGAGCAAGGUCGACCUUUUGGUUUGUGACGUAAUUCUCUAUCCAGUAACAACUUAAACGGAGCAAGCGAUACAAACGACCACUUAUGUUCAUCUAGGUAAUGUGGAAAUACGUGUUUCCACAUAUUAUACAUGUAUUUUAUUUUGUACACUUCGUCGACAUAUCUCAUGGGAUCCAAACAGAGAUUCUGACAAGCUACAAUUGCAUGAGCGCAUUGAUAAUGAAGUGCGUCAACCGUCCCACAGUCGCAAGUCCUAUUUCUCAGGUGUCAUGAUAUUGCCCGCUUGUAAUACCUUGAUUCAGUCUGUCAAACUUCGUCACACGAAACCAUAGGUUGUCGCGACCAUGACAUACUGUGUGCAUAGUGUUGGCCCGCGCCUUCGCCUUGUUAAUUUCUUGCAAUACCUUCCAGUACUAUACAUGGCUUCCUUGCAUUUGGCCUUUAUAACUCACUGCUCGCUUUGAAAAUAGUACCGCUAAAAGAAAAUAUGUCUCUCGCAUAAUCAAGGUUAUCGGUAAAUGACGCAUUUCUUUUAUAAUAGAAUUUAUGCAUCCAGCCAGAUUUAAGGUCCUAUGACCAUGUUGUAGGUCACCGUCGUAUGCUUGUGUCCAUUGUUCAAAAGGUAUGUUACACAGGUAAUCUACGCCUUGUUCGUUAACUGAAUGCAAAAUCGCCAACAUCUUAUGAAAAUGGUCCUUAUUGAUCUCGUACCCUGCCAAUAUAAGUUGAUAGCGAAAAUUACAUACCACUCUUUCAUUCAGAAUAAAUUGAAUACUACAAACAAAAUUGUAUUAAUAGAGAUUAAAUACCCAUGUUGGUCACUUUCCAUCGUUCAGUAGUAGACCAAUAUUUCCCGUAGUAGUUAGAUGCAAUAUACUUUAGACAAUACUGAUGGUGUGUGCGAUCUUAUAGGCUUCUCUGUCACUCAAUUGCUACUAGUAUUCCAGUACCCCGAUUCGAUAUAACGCAUAUAUCAGGUUAAGUGCAGACACACCUCAUUAACCUAGAAAGUAAUAAAUCCCAGUCACCACCUAACUCUCCUGAGGCUAUUGCAAACGUAAUUGGAAGGAUUCUUCCACUGCCAUCCUGUGCCACAGCUAGGAAUAACCAAUAUGUAUAUCUACCAUACAUAAAGGUAUCGUUAAUUUGUACCAAUGGCUUGCAGUACACAAAUGCAUCCUGACAUUGCUUAAAGAUCCAAAACAGACGCUUGAACACUUGGUAUCCACGGAGCAAUCGGUUGUUGUAGUACGUAGGUGUCAUUUCAAGAUUUGUUAGUCAACCUGAGACGUGCCUUUUUAGCACCUGACACCACUGCCACACCUUAUUAUAUGAAAUAUCUCACACACUAUGCAUCUUUUUCUACACCUUCUGCUUAGCUAUCCAAGCUUUGCGGUAAGAGGGUAUGUACCUCAAUUGGCAUGAAUAUUGGCAAUAAAGACCGAUACUGAAGUCCUGGGAUCCGCCUUCACCGUCAGUAGUAUUAAGCUAGCUAACAUAUCUGAAUCCAUCUUGGGAUGAUCUUGUGAAACACCUGUCAACUGAAUAAAUUAAAUAAUGCAACAUUACGUAAUAACAGUAUUAUUCAAAACCCUUAAACACUCAGUGAUACUGUACAAGUAACACAUGUAUGUGGACCUUUAUAUUUUUUUAUCUCCUACAAGCCUAUUUUUUUCCUAACCAAAGUCAUGAUUUUCCAUGAACAUGUACCAUCUUGCACUGUACACUUGGCAUCAAACUUCUCAGAUUUGGAUUUAACCACGUUGUUGUUAAUCUCAUUCAUGAUGCUAUGUUGUUUCAAUGCACCAAGAAAACUAUCCUUACUGGAAAAAUCCUUACUAACUUCUAAUUCACCCGAAUCCAAUGAUGAACUUGUACAGUCACGCCUUCUGUGUGGUAAAUCUUAAAACUUUAACACAUCAUCUGUCGAUAGAUCGACAUUAUGCAUGUGGGCUGAAGGGAGUACGCCCUGAAUCGCGGAUCCUCUUUUUCUUUAUCUAAACCCCUUUUAAAAUCGUUAGGUUCAGUUGGAACAAGCUCCGGUUCAGAAAAUCAUGCAACUUCUCCAUUAUCAAGGCCGGGCUCUCAAGGUGGAUCCACAUUGGACUCAUCACCAUUAUCUGCAACGUACGAGGUCCCCUCGCCGGUCGACGUCGUAGGGAGUACAUCAUCCCUUCUUGUGGACGUUUCUUAACGUCUCCAAUCAGAUGUGGAUUGCCAACCACUAGAAAUUGAUGUCAUUCCCAGUACGUAUUUUCAGCAUCGAACAUCGACCCGUCGAGGUGCAUGUCCCAUCCACUAACCGAGUGUCGUGCAGGAAUUGUGUAUUCCAUACUGCUAUCAAACACGGGCGCUUCCAUGUUUUGCCUACCACUAACAGAGUGUCGGGCAGGCGUCGUGUAUUCCUCUCGUGUAGCAGUAGAUGUUGAAGUCGCAAAUGCUUCAUUUGGAGAUGAUAAUUGUACAUAUAGCUCAAGAUAGGGUGAUCGACUAGCGAGAUGAGUCUGUACCAUCGCCUCCAAGCUACAAUCACAUUUGAUAUCAAAUGAGUCAUAUGUCACGGGAUCAACCGAAGCAUAAAAUUGAUACUUAAUAGACGAAACUCUCAUUGGUGUCGUUCCGAACAUUUUAAGCCUAAUUCUUUUACGAAAUUUCAAAUCUAUGUUCUGGUUAAAAACCAGUCGUGUUGUGUUCUCUUAUAAAAAAAUCAUUGUUCUCGGUGUCGUUGGCCUCAUCGUCAUAGUAAAUAAUAGCACUAAUACGUUCACUCAUCUUCAGUUUCUGUUAUACUUAGCCUCAAUUUUUCUUGCUGUAACUUAUGCAACCUGAGAAUGAAAUUUGAAUCAUUUAUAGUCAAGGGCCAAACAGGAACUACUGUGGAAAAAGAGAGUCCAUGUGGGAGCUUUUCAAUAAUUUUGCUGACAGUGUAUCCUUCUUGAAGCAUUUUUGACACUAUUUGUUCAGAACUGUCUUCUCAAAAAUACUUUUUUAGGAACUACUGUAGAAAAAUAGUGUCCACGUGGGAGCUUUUUUCAGUAAUUUUACUGACAGUGCAUCCUGCUUGGAGCAUUUUUUACAUUAUCUUUUCAGAAUCGUUUUCUCAAAAUUAUGUUUUCAGAACCUAUUGUAGAAAAACAAACAAAAGUUUUUAUAUUGUCAAUAUAAUUUUCCCUAAACCCUAAACACAAAAUUAUUUUAAAAAAUAAAAUCCUAAUUUAAUUUAUUUAUUUAAAACCCAAAAAACCUAUUUUAAUUUAUUAUUUAAAAAACCUUAAACCCUAAACCUACCAAAAACCUAAAAACCCUAAACCAAAAAACCUUAGGGACUAAACAUGCAAAAAGCCCUAACCCUAGAAAAGUACAGGCUAAAACACGCCCUAGGGGAGCGAUUUUGCCACGUCAGCAAAGCGAGUCCACGUGGGCGUGUUUUGUGCUGACAUGGCAAAAUCGUUCCCCCAGGGAUGCAUUUUGCUGAAAUUUCCCCCAAAAAUGCUCCUACGUGGAUGCGUUUUGCUAAAAUCGGCCCUUUCCGAUAAAUAAUGAAAAAAUUGACCCAUUUCCGUAAAUAAAGUUGGAAAUGAGCCAUUAAUGAUAAAAAAUGUUUAAAAUGACUCGCAAAUUUUUCAAGAUUAUAAGUUUGAGUGGAUUAAGGCACCUAAUGUCCUCAGAUAAGUAUAAAUAUAAAUGAUUUAAGAUUUGGGGUUAAGAGUAAGUUAUAAAAUGAGCUUAUAUUGCGAAGUUAGUUCAUCUACUUUAAUUUUUCAGAAUUUGAUUCUUAUACUUUACUUUACGAGAAUUGAACAAUUAGUCCAAUUGGAUGACAUUAUUGAACCUUGCCAUUAAAUGUAACAUAGAAAUCAACAAUUGAAUAAUUUAUAUGCAGCUAAUUACAAAAAUCAACAGUUUAAAUUCAUAUAUUUAUCAACCAUCUAAUUAACUUCUCGUGAAAAGGACAAAUAUUGAGAAAUUAAAGUAAAAGAAAGUAAAUACUAAAACCCAAUGAGAGUCAAAAUUAAGAUAUUUCAAAAAAGAAAAUAGAUUAUUAAAUAUAUUGGUAUUUUUCUAAUAACAAAGUUAUAUACUUUUUUUGGGGGGUCGAAUAUAAUCAAAAAGUACCUAAACCAUGAGCUAAAGAAUGUUGAGAUUCACCUAACUUCUUUAAUUCCCACAUAAAAGCCAAAAGCCAUUCAAUAAAAAAAAAGUUCAACUGGAUUGACGGAUGAAAUUGAUUGAAUGAGAAAUUUUCAAGAUUAUUUCAAUUUAAUGAGAAUUAAUAUAAUAUAAGGUUAUCUUUAUCUUAAUAUAUUAUCUCAGUCUGAACAAUAUUAUAUUCAGAUCGUAAAAUGGUUAAGGAUACUUGUGGUUAUAUAUUCCAAAAAAAUUAUCUUUGGUAAUAAGAUUAUUUAGCACAUUAUUGAAUAUGUAAGAUUAUAUCUGGUUCAUUUGGUUGGAAUGUAAUAAUCGUCCUUGUACUAUACUUUGGAUUGCAUUUUGGUCCCUUCAUCGGAAAAAUGAGCAAAACGGUUCCUAUAUGUUGGAGAAAAAUAGUCCGUCCAUUAAAAUUGUGCUAUCAAAUGCUUAUUUUGUUGUUUUUUGUAUAAGGUAUAAUAACAAAUUUAACUCUUAACAUUUACAUCUUUAUGCAAUUUGCCCCUACUCUUUUUAUUUGAAGCAAUUUGUCCUUCAAUCUUUCAUUUCUGAUGUGACACUAUUUUAUCUAAUAUAUCAUGUUAGAAAUUAUACUUAAAUACAUUACAAAAUAUUUUUAAAAUAAGUUAAAACAUGAAAAUUAGUGUAACAUUUUUGAGGUUUGGAAUUAGUAUCAACCAAAUAUAUUUGUACAUGAAAAAAAAAAUCUAUUUAUCAAUAUUCUUAAUAAUAUUUUCUAAAAAAAUCAAUAUUCUUAAAAAUAUUUCUCAAUUGUACACAAUUGAGUUUUUAUCGCUUGGUUCACCUAUGAUUCAACUAUAUAUCAAUAAUUGAAGUAUAUAUCAGUUGUAUUUAUAUAUAAUAAACGUGUGCUUACCUUUAAAUUGAUUACAUUUUGUAGCAAACCCAUCAUUAAUCAGCUAUAAUUUUAUAGGGUGUGACUCACAUUUAUCGAAAAGUUUGCAAACACUUAAGACAACAAUCAACGAAUAGUAGAAGAAGGAUUAAAAUAGGCCCGGUGUUAUGACGAGCAAGUAGGAUCGUCGAGACAACGUGAUGAAAAGCCCAAACAAAUGCGGCAUUGACGUCAUGACGAGGAGAGUUGGCACGUCACGACAUGCUCUCCUAUUUGGUAACUGCGUUUUAGACUUCAAUCGGGGUUGCUUCUUCUAGCUGGACUCUAAUUAUUCUAGGAAUAUUUUAGUAUGACUAGAAAUUUAACCUAAGUUUAUUUAAAGGGGCCAUUGUAUCCCUGUUUUGACACGUCAAUCAGUAAGGGCUUUUCUUGAGGGAGGUAAUGUAAUGGCCCAAAUUUAAGGUUAUCAAAAUAGUGGUUUCGUAACCACAAAUCUGAUGAGGAAAAUUUUAUUUUUUCUUAUAUUUUUAUGGUCUAUGAUUUCACAAAAUGAUUUCGUGAAAAUUUCGUUUGAAAAUUUCGACGUUUGGGCACUCAAUUUAGUCAAAAAGACUAAAUUGUAAAAACUGCAAAAGUUGAGUUCUACAUGUUAGAGGUGUCCAAUUGUUGUGAAACUUUAAAUUGGAGGUCCUUAUAUGGUAAAUAGACCAUUGGUUAAGUUGGUAGACAAAAAUGGACAUGGGAUAAGUGAAAUAGGAAAUUUUUAAGUUAGGGGCAAUUUGGUAAUCUAGUAAUUAAAUGAAUUAAAAGGGAAAAAGAUGGCAAAAAUCAUCAUCUUUUUCAUUUGGAUGAAAUCAGCAAGGGGGGAAGCCAUGGUUAGGGUUUUCAAGCUUCCAAGCUCCAUAAUCAAGAAGAACGAAACUCGAGGUUAGACAAAGGAAAGAAUAAAUUUGAAGACUAAGUUGGUGAAUUGGGCUAUAAUUGGUACCGAGGUAAGUUUACGGUAAAUAAAUGCAAUAUUUUAAUAAUUAUUAUUAAUGAUGUUAUUUUCCAACAACUAUGAAUUUAUUUCAUGAAUUUAUUUGAUGAUGAUCCAAGCAUGAAAUGAUAGAGAAUUAAAAUUAAAAAGUCCCGUUGAUACAUAAGGAUGGUACUGGAUACGAAUGUCAUGACAUUUGGGUAAAGAGGUCUCAUGUAAGACCAUGUCUUGGACAUGGCAUUGGCACCGAGAUGAGAGGUCCCAUGUAAGACCAUGUCUGGGACAUGGCAUUGGCACCGAGACGAGAGGUCCUAUGUAAGACCAUGUCUGGGACAUGGCGUUGGCACCGAGAUGAGAGGUCCCCUGUAAGACCAUGUCUGGGACAUGGCCUGGGCACCGACAUGAGAACAUCCCAUGUAAGACCAUGUCUGAGACAUGGUUUUGGCAUGUUAUUAUCAGAAGAGACCCGAGUAUCCUUAUUGUUCCAAUGUAGCUCAACGGGCUAAAUAACGAAUCAUGUUCAGGAAAGUUCAGUUAAAAACAUAAAUGGCAAGCUCAGGUAAGUUAUAAGAGUUAAGAACUUAUUAUAUUAUCAAUUGAUAUUCAACGAUACAACAAGAGAAGAGUAAUUUAUGCACACCAAGUAUACUAAGUAAACAAGCAAGAGAACUAGAAUGAGAUUAACUAAAGAGUAAACUAGAGAUAUAGACACUUGAGUUUAAUUAUUUGUGUUUAAUGUUGUUAUUUAUUUGCUAGAAAACUUACUAAGCUUUAUGCUUACUUCUUUUAUUUCUCUUUCUCUUAUAGUAUUGCAAAGCUACUUCAAGGAUCCUAAAGAAGUCGGAGAUCGUCCACACUAUCAACCACAAUUGCUCGGUAUUUUAUGACAAAGCACGUUUGAGUUAUGGCAUGUAUAGGGACUUAGUUAUUUUGCAUGUUUGUAAUUAUGAUUUUGCUAAAGAAUGAUGUAUAAGUAUUUGAUGACGAAUGGUUAUUAAAAUGGUUAAGUAUAAAGGUGUUUGUUGUUAUAAAAGCCCAGGUGAUAAGUUAUGCAUGAAAAUUGUGGAAGGGUAAAAUUUUGCAAAGAAAUAGAAUUCAGGUAGCACAGUGACGUGACUUUAAAAAAUAACCUAGGAUGAUAUAAAAUUAAUUAGAGGAUUUAAAAUAUAUAGAGUGAAAGCUUGUUGAGUAUACUUUCAUGGAAAAAUAACGGUUUAGCAAAAUGAAAUUUAUAUUUUGAGAUAUGUGAAUUUUGGUGAGACAGGGUUAGAACGGUUUUGGAGUCCCCUGUUCUGAGUUUAGAAAAUCAUUAAAAAUUGUACAAAAAUAUUUAUGAGUUCUAAUUUAUAUUUCUAUAUUCCUUAUUGAGUCUGUUUUCUGUAGGAAUAAGUAAGAAUACUAUAUGAAAAUCCUACAAUGAGAAAACUUAUUUUUAGUGGCAAGAGGUCAGGACAGUUGAGUGAUGAAACAAGGGGAGACUUCAACUAAUAAACUGUACUAAUUGGUUGAACCAAAAAUUUUAAAAAUUUUAUGGUAAGUAUAUAUAUGAGUCUAGUUUCAGGGAAAAUUUAAGGAAUUAAAUUUCGAGUUCCGUAGCUCGAGUUAUAAUAAAUUUAGUAACUGCUGCAUGAUUGGACAAAUUUGCUGUAAAUAGCGAAAUUAAUUUUCAAAACAAGUUUUUAUGCUCCGAAUUAGUAAGAUAAGCUAAGUAAUGCCUUUAGAAAAAUUUAAAAAAUUUUAAAAUUUUCUUCUAAGAAGAGAAUUUAUUAGGUGUCCGAUCACACCUUGGAAAAAAGAUCGGUGGCGACUCCUUUUUCAAAUAAAAUCGAGAUUCGAUUUUCAAGUUUUCAAUAAUUACUUCGACUAGUGCCCAUCGCCAAAUUUUUAGGUCGCUACAGCUGGCGACUCCGCUGGGGACCUUUUUUUUUUUAGAGUCGAGUCUGAUAUUAAACGCGUGUUGUCAAAAUUUUUAAAUUUUCUUGUUCAAAUUAAUUUUUAAUCGUGAUCCUUGAAUUUUAUUUUUGAAAAGUCAUGCAUCUGCAUUCGGUUUUUAAAUUAAUAUUUUUCUAACUUGUUUUAUUUUUCUGUUUUGUUUCAGCUCUAAGUUUUACGUAUUUUGGUUUGUUUUUUUUAGUAAAAAUAAAAAAAUAAAAAAAGGUUUGUGAGUUUCUCCCCACACACUGUGCACUUACAUUCUUGCAUAACAUAAGCUCUCUACCCGGGCUCUAUCCUUUUAAGUGGAAUAAACGCUACGCCUUCGUGAGUUAACUCGUCCCUCUGCACAGGCUAGUGAAUUACUUCCGGGUUACAUAUGACUUAUGCUUUCGUGAGUUAACUUGUCUCUCCGCAUAGGCAUAAGUAAAUGUAAUCCCUCGAAUUGAGCUCGCAAGCCCAUGACGGGUGAUAACCGAGGCUCCGUACUAGCCUUAGUAGGUGACAGUAUAGACAAUUUGAGUAUUUUUUUAGAACCAAAACCACAUAUAGUGAACUGUACGAGCCACCCGAUUAGAGCCAUGCCGAGCCUCUGUCCGUUAGAUAAUUACCAAAUAAGUACAUGGGAGAAACGCCUCUUACCUUGUAUUUCUUUUACAUUUACACUUUUUGCAAGGGAAUCAGGUCUGUUUAAUAAAUUUGAUCGGGUAGAUUGAUGAGCAUGUGGGGUAAGUUUAUUUUUGUAAAGCAUGAUAGGGUAAAAAACCAAAAAAAAUGUAGGUCGAUUUGUUAGAUUUUCCAUAGUUUUUCUUUGUUUAUAUUUGUCGUGAUUGCUAACUAAGUUUAUUUGUCUUAAUUUUAUUUUUCAUCAUGCAUCAUGGGCAUCUCAUUAGGAAGGUGUUGAUUAGAUAUUGGUUGCCAAAAAUGGGUUUCUGAUAGAGAAGUCAAUUACGCAAGUAACCGAGAAAAAAUGUUGUAGUCAGAGACUGGUCUUUGAGGACCCAGAAAGCAAAAUGGACAAUUUAAAGGACAGAUAUACCUCUGAUCUUUCCAGGAAGGCGACUUCGAAUGCUCGUCAGAAUAACCCCGAAGAUUUGACUUGGAUCUGGAAACAAUGAGACUCAGGCACUAGAGGCAUCUUUAUUGGCAAAAUAUUUUGUAAUGGACUCUUUUGAUAAAUGAAACACCAAAAUAUGGGGCUAUCUUAAAAUCAACACCAUUUUUGCAUAUUUACACAUGACUAGCAUCCAUUGGUCAUUCAUUCAUUCAUUCAUUGCAUGUACAUAUCACCAUUGCCAUUCACUGAGGCUAAAAUAGUGUAAUUCACAGUUGCGACACAAGUCUAGAAUCACGUCAUCCUUACAGGACACGUCUAAGAACUAGAACUAUGGAUGCUGAACUUAAUAAAAGAAUCGAAAGGAUGGAAAGGGUUCAAAAAGAGUUACAAGAGCAAUUGGCCAAGUUACAACAAGAGGCAAGAGAUAUGAUGGUGAGAUCUCGAGAAGAAUCACUCGAGCAAAGAGAUCAAAUGCCUAAAAUGAUGGAAAUGAUGACAGCUUUGGUUAAAGGAAAGGGACCCGUGCAAAGCCCUGACAUCAUGGAGCCUCAGUCAAGAGCUAAUAAUGAUCAAGAUCCGCUUUACCCCCUAGGAUUCACUCCACCUCACGCUCAUGCAAUGCAAAAAGGAUAUCCUCAAGGGGAAUCUACAGUCCUAGAACAACGUCCUGUACCACCUGCUCAUCUAGGGCAAGGUAUAUUUGUAUCGAACCCUGAGGCUAAUCCAGCAGAUCCAAUUGUUCCAAAUCUGGACGAUCCGGUGGAAAUAGCAAAGUUGAAAGCUAAUGAUUAUGACGCUCAAGAUAGGUAUAAAAUCUUAGAAGAAAGGCUCAAUGCAAUAGAAGGUACUGAAGUCUUCUCUGCCUUGAGUGCUAAAGAACUCAGUUUGGUGCCUAAUCUGGUUCUACCCCCGAAAUUCAAGGUUCCAGAGUUUGAAAAAUAUGAUGGAACGAGAUGUCCAAAGGUAUAUCUUAUCAUGUUUUGUCAAAAGAUGACUGGCUAUGUGAAUGAGGACAAAUUACUGAUACACUGUUUUCAGGACAGUUUGGUUGGAUCGGCUCUUCGGUGGUAUAAUCAGCUUAGUAGAGAAAAAUCCAAUCAUGGAAGGACUUAGCAUCGGCGUUUUGCGAGUAAUACAAGCAUGUAUCAGAUAUGGUACCCGAUCGACUAACCUUGCAGAUGAUGGAAAAAGCCAACGGAGACUUUUAAACAAUAUGCGCAAAGAUGGAGGGAUGUUUCAGCUCAAGUGGAACCCCCGUUGACUAAAACAGAGAUAACAGUCCUCUUCAUCAAUACUCUGAAGGCACCGUUUUAUGAUAAGUUAGUAGGAAGCGCCAUGAAAGACUUUGCAGAUAUUGUAAUAUCUGGGGAGCUUAUAGAGAAUGCCAUUAGGAGCGGGAGGAUGUAAGGCCUUGAAAGUUCAAAAAGGGUAGUACCCGCGAGGAAAAAGGAGGCAGAAACCCAUAUGGUCGGAAAUGCAAGCCACCAUACUUCCAACCCUUACUCAUUUCAACCACGACCUCAUUACCGCCCGCCUUCAAACUUCUACUUUCCUCAUCAAGGUCCUUACUAUCCAACACCUUCUCCUUAUCCUGUAUAUGCCAUGAAUAAUCAAAUACCGUUCGCUAUGUUUCCACCAAACACCAUGCCCACACAAAGCCAACCUAAAAAUGAACAAAGGCCAGCAAGACCUAAUUCUGAAAGACCUUAGCUUACACCAAUUCCUGUGUCAUAUGGAGAAUUAUACCCGAAGCUAUUGGAAAAGCAAUUGAUAUCCCCACAUUACAUGGCACCCUUGAAGCCCCCAUAUCCGAAAUGGUAUGAUCCUAACACUAGUUGCAUGUAUCACACUGGAAAUCAAGGGCAUUCUACAGAAAACUGCCUUGCCUUUAAAAGAAGGGUUCAAGAUCUCAUCGAUGCUAGCAUUCUGCGAUUUGAUGGCAUUAGUAAUCCUCUUCCUAACCAUGCUGAUGUGAAUGUGGUAACAAAUGAAGAUGAGAGGCAAGAUAAUCUAAGAAGUGCUUUGAUUGAAAAGGGUCUUCAGAACAUCAGCAUAAAUGUUGUUGACAGCGGGGGUGAUGCAAUUGAGGAUGUUUUAAUGAUACGCCACUGUCCUCCAAGAUAUGUUUUGAACAACUGGACUGCUGUGGACCUCUUUGUAGCUUCUAAGUCCUCUCCAGAGUAAUGCCCAAUGUUAAUUCUCCAUUAUUUUGUGUGUUCCUAAAUAAUGGGAUUCAUUUUGUAAGAGCUUAUGUUUGCUCUUUAUCAUUUCAAUGAACAUUAAUGAAGAUGCAUUUUGUCAUGGUUUUGUCAUUUCAAUUAGUGUCUCAAUUAUUCCCGCUUCUCAUAGCUUUUUCCUACACAUAUAUCAUAUCAUUCCAUAACAUUGUGUGUGUUGAUUCUAAUACUUUGAUGCUCCUCUAUAGUUUUAUUUCUCAUUCACCUUUCAGGUGCUCAUAUAUCCAUGGUAUGAACAAUCCUGUUAUAAGUCCUGAAAUUGAUUUCGAGAAGGCUAUUUGUUUAGGAGAAUUUGAAGCCGAUGAAGAUGCUGAAGGUUUUGUCUCGUCUCAUGACUUACUGAGAAUGGUAGAACAAGAAGAGAAACAGAUUCUACCCCAUCAAGAAUCUAUUAAGACAGUGAACUUAGGGAGUGAAGAAAAGAAACAAGAAGUGAAGAUUGAGACUUCCAUUUCAGGGAACACCAAACAAAAUUUGAUCGACUUGCUCUAUGAGUACAAAGAUGUAUUUGUCUGGUCGUAUCAGGAUAUGCCAGGGUUGAAUGAGGAUGUGGUGGUCCAUAGGCUUCCAUUAAAACCAGAAUGCAAGCCCGUUCAGCAGAAAUUGAGAAGGAUGAGACCUGAAAUGCUGUUAAAGAUAAAAGAAGAGGUUAAGAAACAAUAUGAUGCUGGCUUUUUACAGGUCUCUAAAUAUCCGGAAUGGGUAGCUAACAUAGUCCCGGUACCGAAAAAAUAUGGCAAGGUACGAAUGUACGUAGAUUAUCGUGAUUUGAAUCGAGCAAGCCCUAAGGAAAACUUUCCUUUGCCACACAUCGAUACGUUGGUAGAUAACACAGCAAAGUAUUCAUUGUUUUCUUUCAUGGAUGGUUUCUCGGGUUAUAAUCAGAUUAAGAUGGCUCCCGAAGAUAUGGAGAAAACUACAUUCGUUACAAUGUCGGGAACGUUCUGCUAUAAAGUGAUGCCGUUCAGAUUGAAGAAUACUGGGGCAACAUAUCAAAGAGCCAUGGUGAUGCUGUUCCAUGACAUGAUGCAUAAAGAAAUAGAAGUAUAUGUCGAUGAUAUGAUUGCCAAGUCUCGGGGAGAAGAAGAGCAUGUUGGGAACCUCAGGAAGCUAUUCGAAAGAUUAAGAAAAUUUCAGUUGAAGCUUAAUCCAGCCAAGUGUACAUUCGGGGCUACCUCGGGAAAAUUGCUAGGUUUUAUUGUCAGCGAGAGAGGUAUUGAAGUUGAUCUAGACAAGAUAAAGGUCAUACAAGAACUGCCACCUCCGCGUACACAAAAAGAAGUUAGAGGAUUUUUAGGAAGGUUGAACUACAUUGCUCGAUUCAUUUCUCAACUUACCAACCAAUGUGAUCCAAUUUUUCGACUCAUUCGAAAACAUAAUCCAGAAGAGUGGAAUGAGGAGUGCCAAGUGGCCUUCGACAAGAUAAAAUAAUAUUUGUCUAAUCCUCCGGUGCUAGUACCGUCGACCUUUGGAAAACCCUUAAUAUUGUACCUGACCGUGUUUGAAAACUCAAUGGGUUGCGUACUGGGGCAGCAUGAUGAGUCAGGAAAAAAAGAAAAAAUGAUUUACUACCUCAGCAAAAAGUUCACAAAAUAUGAGGCAAAGUACCCGUCAAUUGAAAAAUUCUGCUGUGCAUUGGUCUGGGUAGUUCGAAAGCUCAAACAAUACAUGUUGUAUCAUACAACGUGGUUAAUUUCAAAGCUAGAUCCAUUAAAGUACUUGAUGGAAUCACCUGCACUCUCAGGGAGAAUGACACGAUGGCAGAUCCUAUUAUCUAAAUAUGACAUUGUGUAUGUGAGCCAAAAGUCGAUAAAGGGAAGCGCGAUAGCUGACUUCUUGGCAAGUCGAGCAAUGAAGGAAUAUGAGCCGCUGAGAUUUGAUUUUCCAGAUGAAGACUUGAUGGGUAUUUCCGAAGGUGAAUCAUUAAAAGAUCAAUCAUGGAAUAUGAGUUUUGAUGGUGCAUCGAACGCGUUGGGGCACGGGAUAGGAGCAGUCUUAGUGUCACUGGAAGGAAACCAUUACCCGCUCACUGCCAGAUUGAAUUUCUUCUGUACUAAUAACAUAGCAGAAUAUGAAGCUUGCAUCAUGGGACUUCGUGCAGCUAUUGAAUGGAAAAUAGAAAUCUUAGAGGUGUAUGGGGACUUAGCGUUAGUGAUUUAUCAAAUUCGCGGAUAUUGGAAAGUGAGAGAUUCAAAAUUAGUUAAGUAUCGUGAUUUCGUGGCGAAAUUGGUAGAAUUCAAAGACGUGACUUUUCAAUACUUCCCACGAGAGGAAAACCAAUUGGCUGACGCCUUGGCCACCUUGGCUUCAAUGUUCAAAGAAAAUAGAGAAACAGAAAUAAUGCCUCUCCAAAUGAGCAUAUAUGAGGCCCCCGUACAUUGUUUUAGCAUUGAAAAGGAAUCAGAUGGACGACCAUGGUUUCAUGACAUAUUGGAGUACAUUAAGAAUCAAAGGUAUCCCGAGCAAGCAAACGAGAAUGACAAAAGAAUAAUCAGAAGAAUGGCGGCUGGUUUUGUUCUUGAUGGGGAUAUCCUAUACAAAAGAGGAAAUGAUCAAAUGCUCCUGAGAUGCGUGGACAAUGUUGAAGCUAGAAGAAUACUUGAAGAUGUCCACGAAGGAAUUUGUGGAACGCAUGCCAAUGGGUUUACUAUGGCUAGGCAGAUUAUGAGACUUGGUUAUUUUUGGCUGACGGUGGAAAGGGAUUGCAUUAGCUACCACGAAAAUGCCACAAGUGUCAAAUAUAAGGCGAUAAAAUUCAUGCAGCUCCCUCGCCUCUUCAUGUCAUGACUUCGCCAUGGCCUUUUUCUAUGUGGGGCAUGGAUGCCAUAGGGCUAAUCUCCCCGAAGGCCUCCAAUGGGCAUCGAUUCAUUUUUGUGGUUAUAGAUUACUUUACAAAAUGGGUAGAAGCUGAUUCAUUUGCUAAUGUGACGAAGACUGCAGUCUGCAGGUUCCUAAAAAAGGAGAUCAUAUGUCGAUAUAGUUUGCCUGAGAGGAUCAUUUUAGAUAAUGCUUUGAAUUUGAACAACAAAAUGAUGAAAGAAGUGUGUGAGCAAUUUCAGAUAAAGCAUCAUAACUCCUCACCCUAUCGCCCAAAAAUAAACGGAGCUGUCGAAGCGGCCAACAAAAACAUUAAGAGGAUUAUCAGGAAGAUGACUGAGACAUAUAAAGAUUGGCACGAGAAGCUACCAUUUUCUUUGUACGCAUACCGUACCUCUAUACGGACAUCUACAGGAGCAACUCUAUUCUAUUUGGUGUACGGAAUGGAAGCUGUUUUGCCCAUCUAAGUAGAAAUCCCAUCCCUAGUGUCUUGAUGGAGAUAAAGUUAGAAGAAUCAGAGUGGGUUCGAGCUCGAUAUAACCAGCUAAACCUUAUUGAAGGGAAACGCUUGAAGGCAAUUUGUCAUUGACAAAUGUACCAGAAGAGAAUGAUCACGGCCCAUGAUAAAAAGGUGCGGCCAAGAGAAUUUCACGAAGGGGAACUCGUACUAAGAAAGAUCCUGCCGAUACAAAAAGACUUUCGAGGAAAAUGAUCACCAAAUUGGGAAGGGCCAUAUGUUGUAAAAAAGGCAUUCUCGGGAGGGGCUCUGAUUCUCACUGAGAUGGAUGGGAAAGAAUAUGAAUGUGAGGUAUUUCUUUCAUGCCUACUGUGUCAUUUUUCAUGCAUCUCGUGUUUGAUUCAUUUAAAUGAUAAAUAGUAAGAUGACAUACUCUAAACAAAAGGAAUGUUGAGCUUACCUGGAUGAGAAUUUGAUAAAUAUAAGGACCCUGAAGCAAGAACAAAGUUCAACAAGGGGGCAAGAAGGUGGUAUACGAAUAUGUGGAUAACUCACAAAACUUGAGGAUGAGUACAAAACUGGAGAGAAAAGUCAAGAAUUAAGGAAAUAAAAUCGGACCCUCACGAAAAUCAAAAGUGGGGCACGUGACAAACAGCCUAUGGUGCAUGGCAUUAUCAUGUAGACACAAAAGCAUUUAGGACAAACACGUGCAUAUCAUAAUAACAUCAUACAUGACAUAUACAGGUAUACCAGUAGAGUAAGGAAUACUGGGAGAAAGCUGCACAGAAUCAAUGAAGAAGAAGGUUUUUAGUUUCACCUGAUGUUUUUUAAAAAACCCUGUUUCUUUCAAGAAAUAUUUUUCAAUUUCUGUUUUUUUUUUCCAAAAAUCAACUCAUAUUGCAAGAUGUGAGUUGAGCCUCGGACUCACGCCAAGGUAUUUCUUUUAAAUUUCUGUUUUUCAAAAAUCAACUCAUAUUGCGAGAGGUGAGUUGAGCCUCGAGCUACACGCCGAGGUAUUUUUAUUAAUUUCUGUUUUUUCAAAAAAUCAACUCAUACUGCGAGAGGUGAGUUGAGCCUUUGGUCACAUGCCGAGAUAUUUCUUUUAAAUUUCUGUUUUUCAAAAAAAUUAACUCAUAAUACGAGAGGUGAGUUGAGCCUCGGGUCACGCUGAGGUAUUUUAAAUUUCUAUUUUUUGUAAAAUAAACUCAUAUUGCGAGAGGUGAGUUGAGCCUCGGGACACACGCUGAGAUAUUUUUUUUAUUUCUGUUUUUCAAAAAAAUCAACUCAUAAUGCGAGAAGUGAGUUGAGCCUCGGGUCACGCUGAGGUAUUUUCAAUUUCUGUUUUUUUUUAAAAUCAACUUAUAUUGCGAGAGGUGAGUUGAGCCUCGGGUCACACGCCCAGGUAUUUCUUUUAAAUUUCUGUUUUUCAAAAUCAACUCAUAUUGCGAGAGGUGAGUUGAGCCUCGGGCACACGCCGAGAUAUUUUUUUUAAAUUUACUUGUUUUUUCUAAAAAUACAACUCAUNNNNNNNNNNNNNNNNNNNNNNNNNNNNNNNNNNNNNNNNNNNNNNNNNNNNNNNNNNNNNNNNNNNNNNNNNNNNNNNNNNNNNNNNNNNNNNNNNNNNAAGAAGAAGAAGGAAAAAGAAGAAAAAAGAAGAAAAAAAGAGAAAAAAUAAAAUUAUUUUAAAAUAGUCGGGUCAACCCGACCCGACCCGCAACCCGCAACCCAAACCCAACAGUCCAAUCAAAAAAAAAAAAGAAAUUAAGCAAAAAAAAAAGAGAAAAAAGCAACACAAAAAAAAAACCAAAACAGCCCAAACUAAAAGAGAAGGCCCAAAGCAGAAAAAAAGGCCACAACAGGCCAGCCCAAAGAAGCAGCCCAGUAGCGCAGGCCUACCUGCAGACCCAGUCCAGCAGCGCGGCCCAGUGCAGCAGCAAGCCCAGCAGACCCUCAGGCCCAGCGCAAACAGUCCAGCCCAGUCCAAAAAAAAAGAAAAAGAGAAAAAAGAAAAAAAAAGAAAAGAGAAGAAAAGAAAAAAAAGAAAAAAGGAAAAAGAAGGGAAAAAAAGGAAAAAAGAAAAAAAAGGGGCCCAAGUUGUGUAACGCAUUCGACCAAACUCGUAUUUUUGGACAUUUUUUUGUAAUUUCGUUUAUUUCACUUUUAAUUUAAUGCAUGUAUUUUUAUGCCAUUUCGUUUUAAUAUUAUUGGUAUUUUUAUGCAUUUUUAUAUUUUUGUAUUUAUGUUUUUAAUUUAUUUAAUGUAAUUUUAUUUUAAAUAAUUUUAAUAAAUAAGGCAACGAAUCGAUUUAACAUUAAAUCGUGGAUUUCAUCGCUAUGUUAGGUGAAUAUUACCGGUUUGCGUUAAUACGAUACGCCCUUUUAAAAUUUUCGAAAAAAAAAUUUUCUCGUGUCUUAAAAAAAAUAUUCGCGUUUUCAAAAAAUAAGGCAACGAAUCGGUUUGACACUAAUUCGUUGAUUUCAUUGCUAUGUUGAGUGAAUAUCACCGGUUCGUGUUAAAUAUGAUACGUGCUUAAUAAAAAAUCGGAAAAUUUGUGUAAAAAAAUCCUCGUGUUUUAAAAAAUUCCGGUGUUUCAAAAAUUCGUGUUUUCAAAAUUCCAGUGAUUCAAAAAAAUUUCAUGUUUUCUAAAAAUUUCUCUGUUUCAAAAAAAUUUUCGUGUUUACAAAAAUUUUCAUAUUUUCAAAAAUUUUCGUGUUUUCAACAAUUCUCGUGUUUCACAAAUUUUCGUGUUUUAAAAAAAUUUUGUGUUUUAAAAAAAAAUUAUUGUGUUUCAAAAAUUGUCGUGUUUCAAAAAUCUUAGUGUUUUCAAAAAUUUUCGGUUUUUCAAAAAUUCUCGUGAUUCAAAAACUUCCGUGUUUUUUUUUAAAAAAUCGUGUUUCAAAAUUCUCGUGUUUUUUUUUAAAUUCUCAUAUUUCAAUCGGAUCACGAGUAAAUAUUAAAUUGAAUUCAUAUUUUUUGAAAAUUAAGACAACAUGCGUUUAACGAGAUACCAAUUUUGGGCGUCGCAAGGGUGCUAAUACCUUCCUCGCGCGUAACCGACCCCCGAACUCUAAUCUUCUCUGGAUUUUCACGUAGACCUAAAAUUACCUCUUUUUUAGAAAAAUUUAAAAAUAAAAUUUUCUUCUAAAAAGAGAAUUUAUUAGGUGCCCGAUCACAGCUAGGAAAAAAAUCGGUGGCGACUCCUUUUUCAAAUAAAAUCGAGAUUCGGUUUUCAAGUUUUUAAUAAUUACUUCGACUAGUGCCCAUCGCCAAAUUUUUAGGUCGCUACAGAUGUUUUAAUUAGUUGUGUACUAAUUGCGCAACAAUAUAAAAAUUUAUUUAAACAACCAUAAAAUGUGGUUGCCAAAUACUUUACGCAACAACAACAAUAAUAAUAUGGUUGUUAAUGCUUUUACAUAACAAUUUUUACUUAGUUAUGAAAUAUUAAUUUACAAUGACAUAAUAUUUGGCCACGUCAUAUAUUACAUGAUAUUUAAAUAUUAUGCAAAGUUAAUUUUAACAACCAUAAUAUUUGGUUGCAAAAUUUUUAUAUGUAACCAUAUUAUUAUGUUCGUUGAAUUUUAUUUUGCACCAAAAUUUUAUCUAAUCGAUAAUAAAAAGAAGUAAUUACAAAUAUUAAAGAAACUAGUUAUUUGUUUAAAAACAAUAUUAUCAAAAUUUUAAGCUUGUUUGUUAGAGUCUGGCUUGAGAAGUGGGUCUAAAAUUUUUCUCAAGCCCAGCCCAGAUAAAAAUGCUAAACUCGGUCUGACCAGGUCAUAUUAAUUUUUUUUUAUAAUUUUUUUAAAAAAUAUAAUACAUAAAAAUACUAAAAAUAUUAAAAUAAAUAUUUCCCAACAAAUUGAAAAUAAAUUAAAAACAGUAUGUAUAGUUAAAUAAUACUAAGAUAAGGUGUAACUUAACAAGCAAAUGCCUCUAAAAUAGCAACAAAAUUAACAAAACAACAGUUAUACAAUAUCCAAAAUAGUAACAACAUAAUAGUGAAAUGGUAGCAAAAUAGUGAAAAACAAUAAGAAAAUAGCAUCAAAAUAGUAAAAAAAGAAAGAAAACAACAAUUUUUUUUUUUGCAUAUUUAGGUCGGGCCGGGCUUAAGCAAAAAAAGCCUUAGCUGAAGCUCGGCCUGUUUUCUAAAUGGGCAUUAUUUUUUUGUUCAAACAUAUUUUUCGAGUCUAAUUUUUACCCAAACCCUUCCAUUUUUCGGGCGGGCCAUCCGGCCCGACUCAUAGACAAGACUAAUUUAAUUGCAAUUAAAAUAAAAUAAAAAUCUAACAAAAUUAAAUAGAUAUAUAUAAUAAUCUAAUAAAAAUAAUUUUGAAACUAAAAUUGAAAUAACCCAUAAAAUUUAAAGUCUAAAAAUUAAAAAUUUAUAUGUACUGUAUGGUAAUAAAAAAAUAAUUAAAGUUUAGAUAUAUUCUCCCUUUUCACUUUUAACACUUUUUUCAGGUGAAUUGUAGUGGAGAAGGUAAAACACAUUUCAAUAAAAAAAAUCACAUUACUUUUCCAUUAAUUUUUAAUCCAUUCGGGUGAUUAAUUAAAAUAUUUUUACAAAAUUCAUUUUAAUUCAAAAAUUUUAAUAAAAUAUUCAAAUUUUAAAUUAAAUAAUUUGAGUUAUUCGUGUUAAUCGAGUUAUUCGGAUUAACUCGAAUAAAAAAAUUAAAAUUUUCAGUUUAACUCGAAUAUGAAUUAUACAAUUCAAGUUAUCUGAAAAUCCGAAUAAGAAAAUAUAAAACUACGUUUUUUGAUAAAUAUUUAAAAUAUCUAAAUUUGAAGCCAAAACCAUUAAGUUAAAAAACAAAACAGUUUUAUUGUUUAUGUAGUUAUAUAAUCUUGUAUUUCAUCUAUUAGUUAAAUAAUCGUUUAUGUAAAUACAACAUUGAGUAUAAAUAAUAAGAUUUGUUAACUCGAAUCGACUUGACAUGAAAUUUUUGACUCGAUUCGAUUCGAAAAAUUUUAAAAUUGAGUUUGGUUGCUAAAAUAGGAUUUGUCAACUCAGGUAACUCGAAAUUUUUUUACUCGAUCGAAUAUUCACCCCUAUUUCUAAACUAUAACAGUUAAUGUAAACUCGUUAAGUCAUAAAAAAAUUCAAGUAAAUGUUUUAAACUUGAGUUUUAUGAAUACAAAAAAUAAUUUUAAAAGCUAUUUUAAAUUAUAAAAUUUAUUUGAUAUAAAUUAAAAUUGUAUACAAAAUAUAAUUAGAUUAUUUGAUAAAAUAUAAUUUUUUAAAAAUUUAAGGUGGGGAAUUUGAAGGAUUUAAAAGAGAUAAAAUAAGAAUAAUUGAAACAAAUUCUACAUUAAGAUAUAAAUAGUUAUUUAUCUAAUUUUCAUUUUCCACAUCUUUUCGUAGAAAAAUCCAAUCAUUAAUUUGUUUUUUUAUUAUGAAUCAUCAUAAUUCAAAAGAAGGUAUUUUUUUAUUUUUUUUUUGCUUUUUUUAUACGUUAUAUAUAUAGUUUUUAAAUAUAAAAGAAAAAUAAAAAUAAAGAAUACAAACAGUUUCGAAAGAAAGAAAAAAUAAAGAGAAAAAUAAAAAUAAAAAGGAAAAUAGAACUUGUACCAAAAAAGUUUUUUUGAAUCUCUUUUCUUUGCCUUUUUUAUUUCUUGAAAUAGUGAAAAAAAAAGAGGAGGUGGCCGAACCCCCUUACAAUGGUUUUGAAUGGCCUUUUAUAGCCAUUUUUACAGCAAGUGGGCUGCGGCAGUGGCAGUGGCGUGCGUCACUUGCACUGAUGGAGGCGGCUUUGAAAAUUUUGUUCUUUUGUGUUGUGGUUUGGGAUUUUGGGCUAGGGUUAGGUUAGUGGGCCAUUCGGGUUUUGGGCUUGGUUUGCAUUUGGGUUAGGCUGUUGGGCCUGGUUUGAUUUUGUGAGGCCCGGGCUAAAUUUGGGUUGUACAGCUACCCCUCUUUGCUUCGUUGUCGUGUAACGGGAAUGAAGCAAAGACUAAGAAAGACCAAAUUUGCCCGGUCUCGCCGAGUCUUGACUUCUCUUGACGCUUCUCUUCAAGUAGCUUUGUUUCAAUCCACUGCGGCUUGUUACUUUAAUCUACUCCACUGCACUUGAGAGAGAUGCGUCUUGUAGCUUCAAUCCAUUCUGCUGCAACUUCAGGGGGACGAGAUUUGUGGUUUUAGUCUGCUCCACAUCUUUGAUCUGCUCCACUACUAUUAGCAUAGUUUAUUUGACUUACUAAUUUAGCCUAUAAAUAGGCUCUUUUACAACCUUAGAAAGAUACAUCCAUUAGAUAAGAACUCAUAACACAUUUGAGAAUUUUGUGUUUACGUUUUUUGGCUUCUUUGUUUUUUGGGUUUUCGGAGUUUAGUUUUUAUCUCCAUCUUUUGUACUCUUCGUUCUUUUACCAUUAUAGUAAAAUUAUCUUUGCCCGUGAUUUUUUAUCCUCUUUGGAGGGGUUUUUCCACGUUAAAUUUUGUGUUCAUCUUCUCAAUUUCUUCUGUUAUUUUUACUUGUUCGUUGCUUAAUCGGGACGAUCCUAACAAGUGGUAUCAAAGCUAGUUUAAUUUUCAUAGAUCAGCCCGUUCAAAGAUGGCAGCAACAAGCUUUGAAAUUGAGAAGUUCGAUGGUGAGACAAAUUUCAAUCUUUGGCAAGUUCGGAUGAUGACAAUUCUAGUUCAAAACAGCUUGAAAAAGGUUGUUACAGGGAAAAAACCUGAGAAUCUAAAUCAAACAGAAUUGGAAGAGCUUGAUGAAAAAGUCUUGUCUGCAAUCCAAUUGUGCCUCGUGAAUACAGUAUUGCAGGAGGAAUUGAUGGAGAAGACCUCAUUUGCCUUGUGGAAAAGGUUAGAAACUCUUUAUGCGACUAAGUCUCUGGCUAACCAUUUAGUGUUGAAACAUCGUCUAUUUACGUUUCGUAUGAAUGAAUGUGAGCUUCUUAGAGAUCACAUCAAUCAAUUCAUUACUCUUUUAAAUGAUUUAAAGAACGUUGAUGUUCAUAUUGACGAUGAAGAUCAAGCUAUGCUAUUAUUGUACUCUUUACCCUCUUCAUACAAGUCUUUCAGGAAGACCUUGAUUUAUGGUAGAGACAAACUCUCAUUCGAAAAUGUGAAGGGUCAUUUGUUGAGUAGAGACAAACUCGACAAUGAGUUUGGUUAGGAUAGCAAGACAGAUAAGUAAGCUUCCGUUUUGGUAGCAUCAAAGAAACGAGACAAAAGGUGUCGCUAUUGUAAAAAUUUAGGUUACGUCAAAGCAGAUUGUUAUAAAUUAUGAAAUAAAAGAGCUGCUGAGAGUAACGAGGAAGAUGUAGCUGGUGCUAAUUUGGUCGAUGAAGGCUGUGAUGAUUUCUUUUUAGUGUCAAGGAGCGAUAACUCCAAGCUUACGUCUGAGUGGAUCCUAGAUUCAGGAUGUUCUUUCCACAUGUGUCCCAAUAGAGAAUGGUUCUCCACAUAUAGUUCAGUUGAAGGUGGAGUUGUGCACAUGAGAAACGAUUCAUCUAGUAAGAUAAUCGGCAUUGGUACUGUUAAAAUUAGGAUACACGAUGGGAUGAUUAAGACACUCUCAAAUGUCAGGUAUGUACCUGAUUUACGAAAGAAUCUCAUCUCCUUGAGUAUUUUAGACUUGAAAGGAUGAAGAAUCAACAUCGAGUCGAGCGGUAUUAAAGUAUCUCGUGGAGCUCUUGUUUUGUUAAAAGGUAAAAGAACUGGCAGUCUUUAUAUUCUGAAAGGUUCUACAGUGACCGGUGAAUCGGACGUCCUUCGUCCAUUACGGAGUCAAAGUCAACUCGUUUGGAGCGGAGGCAACUUGGUCAUAGGACGGAAAAAGGUAUGACCGUUUCGUUGAAGAGAGGUUCUCUUUUGGAUGGAGGUUUUGAAAAGUUAGGGCAUUGUGUUCUUGAAAAUCAGACCUGGGUUAGUUUUGAUUUUGCAGUGCACAAGUCAAAGGCCAGAACUCUUCCAGCUUCUAAGUACAUAUCCGACUCAGUUAAUUCCCUACAUAGUUCAAGAUAGGCCCGUGGCGGGUUUUGGCAAAGAUGGCGUUAAAAGAAUUCGUGUCAAGGUGGAGAUUGUUAGAGUUGUGUGACCCAAAUUCUAAGAGAUUGCUUGCAAGUCAAGGUAAACAAAAAUAUUUUUUUUUCUAGAAGAUUUAGUAUUUAUUAGUAUAAUAUAUUUAGCAUUUAUUAGCAUAGUUUAUUUGACUUACUAAUUUAGCCUAUAAAUAGGCUCUUUUACAACAUUAGAAAGAUACACCCAUUAGAUUAAAACUCAUAACACAUUUAGAGAAUUUUGUGUUUAUGUUUUGAGGGUUCUUUGUUUUUCAGGUUUUCGGGGUUUAGUUUUUUUCUCCAUCUUUUGUACUCUUUGUUCUUUUGCCAUUAUAGUAAAAUUAUCUUUACCCGUGGUUUUUUAUCCUUCUUGGAGGGGUUUUUCCACGUUAAAUUUUGUGUUCAUCUUCUUAAUUUCUUCUGCUAUUUUUUACUUGUUCGUUGCUUAUUCAGGACGAUCCUAACAAAGGUUAAAGGGGUAUUACAGCAAACAUCACCAUAGCAGGAGCAGGCCCUACAGUCCUGUGAAUAAAAUAAUUAAAAACAAAAUAGUCCACCAAAGAGAAAUCAAUUCAAACUACCCCAAAACACUGGAACGGUUGCAGCAAAUCCAAUCAGCUCCCUGAACAUCAUACAAAAACAAGAACAUCACAACCCAAUCAUAUACAGGCCAUGAAGACAUUGGACUCAACAUUUUGCUAAAGUAUUAGCAAAGUAGUUAGAUUUUCUAUACACAUUCACAACGGAGACAUUAUGGGAUCUCAUCACACAGCUUGGUAUAUGACCCAUCCAACAUUUGAGAAAUAGUGAAGAUGUCAAGUCCAGGAGCUCCAAACAAUGCCUCAGCUGGUGGAUCCUAUAAUUAGGUGUCUUUCUUCUGUUACUACUGCAGUAGUGAAGUUUUUAUUCCACUUGGUUCCCUUCUUCCAGAGUUUCUGCUUGAAACACUCACUCUUGAAGUUGGCCAUUUCAUUGCUUGUUUAGCUUUCAUGGAAGGCUCGAAGCUCAUUAGACCAGAAACAUUGUUCCUUUGCCUAUGUAUCUUUUUGACAUAUUCUCUUAAGGAAGAGCUACUUAUAUGAAGGCUCCAUCUUUCUGAGUUGCAGGGCAAAAUUCCAUUCUCCAUGAAAAACUACCCAUUUCCACUAAAGCACACUAGCUUUCGCCAUCCCAUCCGCGAAAAACCUGAAAUGAUACACCAGAAACUCCCCCAAGAUAGACAGAGCCAAGUCACUAUCUCGCUAAUCCCCAUUAAACCCUCCAAUUAAGCAAAGCCAUUUCAUAUUUCAACCUAAUGGCCACCACAAUUGCCAUACAAAAUUUACAAAUUAAAAUGCAAAAAUUAAUACAGAAAAAUACGCAGCCGAAGCUCCAAAAUGUCAAAAUAUGAGCCAAAUUUAGAUUCCAAUUUAAAAACUUGAAUCUAAUUGGUUUUUAAUUUUGUAAUAUAGUAUAUUCACUACAAAAUAUGAAUUGUCAACAUUAAAAUUUAUUGCUAAAUGUUGUAUUACCGUUACUAAGAUUUUAUUGUAACAGCAAAAAAAUCGUUGCGAGGUCAUUGUGUAUACCUCCAUUGUAUAAAAUAUGCACAACGAUUUUACAAAUUGAAAAGUCAUUUUAAUUAUAUAUAUCGCAAUGACUUUUUUUGUUUUAAAAAAUAUUUUUUGUAACCACUUAAUUUAUUUGUCUAAAAAUGUUUUAGUUAUAAUAAAAUUUGUUAUAAUAUCUUUUUACACAACCAUAAUACUUUAGUUACAAAAACUAUUAUGUAACAAUAAUAUAUUGGUUGUAAUAUAAAAUUUGCAACAACUGUAAACUAAAAUGCUAAGUUUUGCACGUAACAAUAACAAUAUUGAUAUGUCAUUGUAUUACACUACUCAAUGAUUAUAUGUCAUUGCCAAAAAAAUAUUUUAAUAACCAUAAAAUGUGGUUGCCAAAUCAUUUACUUAAGAACAAUACUACUGAUUACUAAAUAUUGUUCUACAACUAUUUUAAUUUGUUGUGUACUACAUUGCGCAACAACGAUAUUAUUUUUAAUCAAAGGGCUAUAUAUAACUUAAUAAAAUUUAAAAAAUAUUCUUAAUAAAAUUAAAAAAAAAGUUUCUUCAUCCUCUAACUUAAUAAAAUUAAAAAAAUUCUUCAUGUUAGAUUGAACUGACAUUGAGGUUAUAUAUUGUCAUCGAUCAAGCCAAAGAGAAUAGCUCUACCAAAAUAAAAAAAUUAUUUUUUAUUAAUUUUUAAAAAAAAUUUAAUUGCAGCAUAGUGGUCACGUCAUUUUCUCUAUGACUCUAUCAAAUAAAAUAAUAAUUUUAAUUUCAAAUUAAAAAUAAAAAUUACUUUUAAAAAAUUGACAUAAUAAAAGUGGUGUGACCAAUUUAUUUGGCUCCCGAAAUAUUAUUAUUUAUUUUCUAGUUCCCAAAAUAUUUAAAAAUAUUGGUGUUAGAGUGGUAUUUAUACGGGUGAAGCCAAAUAAAUUAACUUUACCUACAAAAAUUAAUUUUUGUUAUAAAAUAAAGAGAGAUAGAGAGAAUGAAGAACAAAGAAAAUAUGAAAGCAAUAGAGAAUAUACUUUAUUGAUCAAAUGGAUGAUUAUAAUGCUUCAUCGGAGUCUCUAUUUAUAGGCAUAAGAAGUAUAAAAAGAAGUAGAGAUCUAAUUCUAAUAACUAUUAGAAUUUAAGGUAUAUCAAAGCUUUAUCUUGAUCAUGAUGGACAUCCACUAAAUAAGAUAUUUAUAACGCUCCCCCUUGGAUGUCCAUUGGUAGAUAAUGUGCCUCGUUAAAACCUUAUUAGGAAAAAUCCUGUGGGAUAAAAACCUAAUGAAGGAAAAAGAGUACACAAUAUUCUAUUACAAGUUGUCUCAUUAAAAACCUUUACCAGGAAAACCCAAUGGGACAAUAUCUUGGUUAAAGGAAAAGAGUACAACUUAUUUUAGACUCCCCCUAAUGGCAACAUUACAUUACAUCUUUGAGUUGACGCAUUUCAAUCUUGUGUAGUAGUCUUUCAAAUGUGAUAGCCCGAAAUAGGGCCUAAUCGGAAUAGUAGUUUCGUAACCACAAAUCCAAAGUGAAAUAGUUUAAUUUUAUAAAUUUUUAUUAGUUACUGAUUGAUUGAAUUGUGUGAAAAUAUGAAUAAAAAUUUUUAAUGAUUUAGUGCCUAAUUGAAUUUUUAGGACUAAAUUGAGAAAAAUGCAAAGUGUGUCUAAUUAGUGAUUAAAUGACUUAAUUGAAUUAUUGCAUGAAAUUGGAAGUGUUUAUGUGGCAAUUAGACCAUAAAUUAGUGAUAUGGACACAAAAGGGUAAUUCUAGAAAAAUAUCUACGUAAUGGGUCAAGGGCAUUUUUGUCCAAAUUUAGAAAAAGACUAAAUAAAGUGAAAAUAAGUGUCUAUCUUCUUCAAAAUUGAAGAGCUUGCUGCCGAAACUUUCAUGCUUCAAUAGUUAGGGUUUUUGAUUUUUCUAAGCUCAAUUGUAAGUGAUUUCUUGCCCCGUUUUUAAUUAUUUUCGUAUUUUUAUGCUCAUUGAAGCUUGAAUUUCAUGUUUCUACUAUUUAAUUUAAAUGAAAUUAAAGUUUAAAAAUUGACCCAUUCAUGAUAUAAUUGUAAAUUGAUUAGUGAUGUUAGAUAAUGAAUGUUUGAAGUGUUAAUUACAAGUUUUACUAGAUGAAUUUUGAUGAAAAUGUUGAAAAAGGGCUAAAUUGUAAAAGAUGGUAAAGUGUGCAUAAAGUUGUGAUUUUGUGAAAUUGAGGGCUGUUAUGACUAUAAAAUAUGAUUUAGUGAAGUUUGAAAUUUAAGAAUUUAGUGAAUUUUAUUUUUACGAGCUUAGGGACAAAAGUGGAAUUUUUGAAAAGUUUUGGGGAAAAAUGUAAAUUUGCCAAAAUGUUGUGUAUGAAUUGUAUUUGAAUGAAAUGUUGAUAAAAUGUAUUAAAUUGUGUUAAUAUAGAUCAAGAAAGAAGAAAUAGUGGAAGUGAUCGGGGAAAAGAGAAAGUUAUCGACUAAAUUACAAAAAUANNNNNNNNNNNNNNNNNNNNNNNNNNNNNNNNNNNNNNNNNNNNNNNNNNNNNNNNNNNNNNNNNNNNNNNNNNNNNNNNNNNNNNNNNNNNNNNNNNNNGAGGUAAGUUACGUGUAAAUAAUAGUUAUAUUUUUCUAAAUUGUGAAUUAUAUUUGAUAUGUGAAUUAAUAUUGAAUGUGGAAGGAAAAUUGUUCAUGAAUUAUUCAAGUGUUAAAGUGUUGAAAAUAAAGUGUUAAGUGUAAAUUCCCGGUUGAACUUAGGAAUAGAAGUGGAUACAAGUGACAUGUCACUAGAGAUUAGUGUUACAGUGUUACAAUGAGUCCCGGGUGCUGGGUGAUCUAGCAUGUGUUGCAGACACCUGACAGCUUGUGUGAGCAGGCCCGUGGACAUUUCCAGUGUUAUUGAUCAGUGGUAGCUUCAGCUACGUUUCAGUGGUAGCUUCGGCUACAUUUCAGUGGUAGCUUCGGCUACAUAACAGUGGUAGCUUCGGCUACAUAUCAGUGUUGCACUUAUGUGCUAAAUCUCUACGUAUCUGUGUCUAUUCCGAGUGUUCAACGGGAUUAAUGAUGGGUUAAAGUGAAUAUGAAAUGAAGUGUGUAUGCAGGUACAAUUGAAAGAAUUGAGCAUAUGUGAUAAAUGUUAAGUGUGAAAAUGUAUAUGCAAGUGAAUUGGUAAGAUUGUGCAUGUGUAAGUGAUUGAAAUUGCUAAGAAAUGUUUUGAUUAGUUAUAUGUUAAAAGUGUUAAUUAUUAAAUGAGUAAUUAUUGUUUACAUGUAACUUACUAAGCUAUUUAUAGCUUACACCUUUCUUUCUUUCCUUUGUUUUAUAGUGAUUUGAACUUGAUCGAAUUGGGGAUCGUCGGAGCUCGUAUCACACUAUCAUAAUCAUCUCGGUAUUAUGUGCUUUUCAAAAUGUUUAAACUAUGACAUGUAUAGAGUCUUAAUCAUUUUGAGUGUGUUCAUAUGAUAUGGCUAAGAUUAGCUAUUGAAAUGGUUAGUAAAGAUUAUGUUUUGGUGUUAUGUAUGUGUAAAUGGUAGCUAAUACAAAGAAGCAGUUUCUUUGACAGCAGUAGUGAUGUGAAUGUGAAAAAUCACCAUAAAUAGUAGAAACGUAAUUAGAGAGUGAAUUAUAUAUGGAAUUAAAGCUUAUCAAGUCUAUUUUUAUAUGAAAGAAAUGGUGUAGGCAAAGGAAUUCUGUAUUUUGAGAUAUUUGAAUUUUAGUGAGACAGGGUCAGAAUGUUUUUUGAAGUCCCCUGUUCUGAAUUUGGAAAAUCAUUAUAAAUUGUACAGAAAGAAUUAUGGGUCAUAAUUUAAAUGUAUAGAUUUAUUAGUGAGUAUAUUUUCAAAAGAAACAAACUAUAACCUUAUAUGAAUUAUGUGCAAUGAGAUAAUUUAUUUUUAGUGCCAAGAGGUCAGACCUGUCGAGCUGUGAAAUAGGGGAUACUUUAAUGAAUAAACUGUACUAAUUGGCUUAGUAAAAAAUUCUGAAAAUUUUAUGGUAAGUAGGAAUAUCAGUCUAGUUUCAGGGAAAAUUUACGGAUUUAAAUUUUGAGUUUCGUAACUUGAGUUAUAAGUAAAUUAGUGACAGUUGCGCAGGUGGAUAGUUUUGUUAUGAACAGUAAAUUUAAUUUUAAAAGCAAAUUUUUAUGCUCCGAAUUGGUAAGUUAGAUUGGAUAAAUUCUCGUACUCGAUUCCGGUGACGGUCUCGGGUAAGGGGUGUUACAUCAAAUGUUCAAGUUGGCAAUGCCUUAGUAAAAAUAUAUGCUAAAUUAUCACUAGAAUGAAUUUGUUGAACAUUUAUAUCACCUCUUUUCUGAAGAUCAUGGGUGAAGAAUAAUUUUGGUGAAAUAUGUUUCGUUCUAUCACCUUUGAUGUAACCACUCUUCAAUUAAGCUAUACAUGUUGCAUUAUCUUCAUAUAAGAUAGUUGGCAUCUUUUCCUAUAAAGGUAAAUUACAUAUCUUUUGGAUAUGUUGGGUCAAUAACCUUAGUCAAACACACUCUCGAUUGGCCCCAUUCAUUGCAAUUAUUUCUACAUGAUUUGAAGAAGCAACAACUAAUGUUUGCUUUGUCGAACGUCAUGAUAUGGUAGUACCCCCCUCACAUGUAAAUAAAUAUCCUGUUUGAGAUCGACCUUUAUGUGGAUCUGGUAAGUAUCCAGCAUUAGCAUAGCCAACUAAUAGGUAUUUUGAAUCAUCUGAAUAAAAUAACCUCAUAUCAAUGGUCCCUCUGAAAUAUAUAAAUACAUGUUUAAUUCCAUUCCAAUGCCUACAUGUUGGAGAAGAACUAAAUCUUACUAACAAGUUUACAGUGAAAGUUAUAUCAGGUCUUAUGCUGUUUGUAAGAUACAUCAAUGUCUCCAUGGCACUUAGAUAUGGUACUUCAAGACCAAGAAACUCUUCAUCAUUCUCACAAGGAUGAAAUUGAUCUUUAUUCACAUCUAACAAUCGUACAACCAUCGGAGUAGUUAAUGGGUGUGUUUUAUCUAUGUAAAAUUUCUUUAAUAUCUUUUUCAUAUAAGUUGAUUAAUGAACAUGAAUUUUAUCUUUUAAAUGCUUGAUUUUUAAUCCAAGAUAAAACUUUGUUUUUCCAAGAUUUUUCUCAAAUUCUUUCUUUAAAUAAUUUAUUGUAUUUUGAAGCUCUUCAGGAGUUUCCAAUAAUAUUUAGGUAAUCAACAUAAACAACAAUUAUUACAAAAUCUUAUCCAAACCUUUUUAUAAAGACACAUGGAAAAAUUGGAUCAUUUUUGUAACCUUACUUUAACAAGUGUUCACUAAUACGAACGAUUGUACCACAUACGUCCAGAUUGUUUUUAUCCAUAUAAACUUUUCUUUAAUUUGAUUGAGUAAUUUUCUCAAGAAACUCUAUAUCUUUUUGGGAUUUUAAAUCCUUCGAGGAUUUUCAUAUAAAUUUCACUAUCAAGUGUACCAUAUAAAUAAGAUGUAACAACAUCCAUUAAAUGCAUGUCAAGUUUUUCUCGUACUGCCAAACUAAUAAGAUGUCUCUUCAUAAUCAAUGUCGGGCCUUUGCGAAAAUCCUUGUGCUACAAGGCGAGCUUUAUAUCUUAUGACUUCAUCAAUUUCAUUUCGUUUUCACACAAAUAUUAAUUUAUAUCCUACCGACUUUACUCCUUUAGGUGUUUUGGACUAUAGGUCCAAAAACUUCACGUUUAGAAAGUGAAUUCAAUUCUGCUUGAAUUGCACCUUGCCAUUUUGACCAAUCUUUUCUAUUUUUACAUUCCUUAGUAGAUUUAGGCUCAGGAUCCUUAUUUUCUUUUGUUAUUUCAAUAGCAACAUUAUAAGCAAAAUUGUUGUCGACAACUUAAUUUUUUUUCCGGUUCCAUCUUUUUCUCGUAUUGACAUAAUAUUUGGGCAUGCACCACAUAUGUGACCAUUAAUCUUCAUAUCACAUUGAUAACAUAAGUUAUAUUUACCCUUUGAAAAGUUAUCUUGAGAGCUCUCAUUGUUCUCUUAUUUAUUACUAUAUUCCCACUUUUAGUGGUCCAUGAGUAUAUCUUUUAUUUUCUUUAUGUUUACAUUCAUUUCAGGGAAUGCAACAAAUCUAGUAGGAUAGACUUAUAAACAUCCCAAUAGAUUCUUUAUUUCAUAAUCACCAUCGCAAACAUGCGUGAGAUUUAAAUCAAAAUUUAUCUAUUCAUAUUGUCAUGAUUAGUCUCCAAUUAUAAUAAACAUGAUAUAACACAUAAAACAUGAUAAAAUAUACCUGAAGAUCUUUAACAUCAUCGUCAUCAUAUUGACUAUUAUCACGAGCACUAUUACAAGUAAUAAAAUAACUUUGUUUUCGUAAUAACAUUUACAAUCUAAUAAUAAAAAUCAUUUAAUAAAUAAUCAAAAUUGUUGUGUAUCAAAAUUUUCAUGUACGAUGCUUGAAAUUUAUCUGAUACACAUUGUAUCAAAUUUCAAUACCACAUAUAUGUUAUAAAAUCUUAUCUUGCUCUAAUAAAAUAUUUAUAAGUUUAAUUUAAAAGAUAUCAUACAAUUAUUCAAUAUUAGAAAGUUAAUAAGACUAAAUAGAUCCUAUCAAAUUUCCUUUUAAUCCACAAUGGUAGGUUAAUAAGACUUUCCACCAUACUUUUAAUAAAAUUUCAAGAAUAAGUAACAAGAAAAAAAAUUUAAAACACAAAAAUAUUAUGCAUAAUAUAAUUUAAUUAAAAAAACUUUAAAAAAUAGAAAAAAAGAACAUACCAUAUUAAUAGCAAACAUAUCUAAUCAAUAAUUAUGUCUUUUAAGUAAAAAAAAUUUACCCUAAAAAAGCAAAAAUCAAAUACUAUCAGAAUGUGAAAUUUAUGUCAAAUAAAAAUUAGUAGUAGUUAUACCUUAAUUGAAAAAGAAAAUAUGGCCGAAAUAUAAAAGUUUCUUACCAAAUCUAUACUUUACCCAUACUUUUACAAUAAAUCAAAGAUCGAGAAUAAGAAUCACAAUCCAUUCUGAGAUUGAAUUUUUCAACAUCCUAAAAAUGAAGUUGUAAGGGAGAAAGUUUAAGGUGAAAAGGAAUUUGAUUUGUGGGACGACUUCUAAAGAUUUUGAAAAAAAUAAAGACUCAUCGUGCUGAUAACGUGUUAUAAAAUAAAGAGAGAUGGAUAGAAUAAAGAAUAAAGAAAACAUGAAAGCAAUAAAAAAUAUAUUUUAUUGAUCAAAGAGAUUAUUACAAUGUUUUAUCAGAGUCUAUUUAUAAGCAUAUAUAAGAAGUAUAAAAAAAAUAGAGAUCUAACUAUUAAGACCCAGAUUACCAUAACAGAUGCAAUAUCUGAUCGGUGAAGUUAAAGAAAAUGGAGACCAUGGGAAAUCUUCUAAUCCUUUUUCCAGCUUCUUUAUGCCUCUUCCUUUUCGUUGCUUUGCUCAAUGUUUUCUACAAGUAUUGGUGGAUACCUCAUCGUGUACAGUUCAUCAUGAAUUCACAAGGAAUCAGAGGACCUCCUUAUGAAUUUAUCCAUGGAAACAAUAAAGAAGCUGCCCAAAUGCUCAUGGAAGCAUCUACCAAACCUAUGGCCUUGACACACGAUAUAUUUCCCAGAGUCAUGCCUCAUGUUUACUCCUGGAUCAACAAAUACGGUAAGAAUUUUUUUUUUUCUUUUUGGGGUUGCAUUUUCUGAUUAACCUCCACUUUUCAAGAAGAGAAAUCAUUUUCUUUCAGGGAAGACUUAUCUUAGCUGGAAUGGAAUUCGAGCUCUACUGCUAAUUACAGACACAGAUCUGGUCAACGAGGUCCUUAAAAACAGUGAAAAGGCUUUUCCAAAGCCAAAGGCUUCAUAUUUCUUCGACAAGCUACUAGGCGACGGCCUUGGUUCAACCGAAAGUGAGAAAUGGGCAAGGCUAAGGAAACUGGCCCAUUAUACCUUUCAUGGGGAGAGCUUAAAAGUAAAUCAUCGCCACCUUCUACUCUAAUUAUUGUAGUGGAACAUUUACAAACAUGAUACUUUUUUGCAGAAUAUGAUUCCAGCAGUAGUUGCUAGCGUUGAAACCAUGCUUGAGAAAUGGAAAAGUAAGGAGGGCAAAGAGAUAGAAGUGUUCCAAGAGUUCAGAUUAUUGACUUCAGAAGUGAUAUCCAGAACCGCCUUUGGUAGCAGUUACUUGGAAGGGGAGAAGAUUUUUGACAUGUUGAUGAAAUUGUCAGUAAUUGCAGGCAGAAAUAUUUUAAAAGCAAAGAUUCCCAUCAUCAGGUAACUUCAUCAAAUCUUUACUUUGUUAAUCAACAUACUUCAGCUGCCAAUGGGUUGAUUUAGGGUGGGUUUGGAUGGGCGAUUGGGUACGGUGCGUUUAGUCUACUUUUUGUCUCACGCUAUAGUAUUGCUACAGUAUCUAAUCUCACCGCCACCGCCCAUCCAAAUUCACCCUGGUUUUCCUUUUCAGCAAGUUUUGGAAAUCUGCUGAUGAAAUUGAAUCAGAUAAAAUUGCCAAAAUGAUACAUGAUUCUGUGAUGAAGAUUGUUAAAAAAAGGGAAGCCAAAGUAGGGACCGGAGAAGCUGAUAACUUCGGUCGUGAUUUUCUGGGAUUACUGCUUAUUAUGAGGCGGACGAGAAAAAUAGGCUUCCGAUACAAGAUUUGGUAGAUGAGUGUAAAACUUUCUAUUUUUCUGGGCAAGAAACAGUCAAUUCCUUGCUUGCAUGGGCAACCCUGCUUUUAGCAGUACACACCAAUUGGCAAGAUAAAGCAAGAGCAGAGGUGAUUGAGGUCUCUGGUAAUCAAAACCCAGAUUCUGAAGGGAUGGCCAAAUUAAAGACGGUAAGCAAACUAUACAAAUUCAAUAGCUUGAAAACUAACAGUGAACAUUUAUAUUGCCCUUUGGAUUUCUUUUUCUCCAACAGAUUACCAUGAUUAUCAAUGAAACUUUACGGCUUUAUCCUCCUAUAAGUGGCGUGAUAAGAAAAGUAGGAAGAGAAGUCCGAUUAGGAACACUUGUCCUGCCUACUCAUUCACAGGUCGACAUGCGAAUCAUAGCACUUCACCAUGAUCCUGACUUAUGGGGAGAUGAUGUUGAUCUUUCCAAACCAGAGAGGUUUGCUGAAGGGAUAGCCGAAGCUACUAAGUAAAAUGCAGCUGCAUUUAUGCCCUUUGGAUUGGGACCUCGAUCUUGCGUAGGCAUGAGCUUUACAAUCAUUCAAGCGAAAAUUGCACUUUCCAUGAUUCUGCAACGCUACACUAUCAACCUCUCCCCUAGCUAUGUUCAUGCACCUUUACAACGUCUUACACUCAGGCCACAACAUGGGAUUCAGUUGUUGUUUCAUUCACUACGUUAUGAUGCUUAAAAUUCUAGUCUGUUGGUCUCCAAUAUAGUAAUAUAUAAUAAAAUGUGGAUAAUACUGUAUUUUGCAACCAUAUGAUAAUAUAUGGUUUUGGGAUUUCACGUUUUGGUGACAAGAUUAUAUGCUCUUUUUUUUUUGUUGAUAUUGUUAAAGGUUAAAAAGGUAUUACAGCAAACGCCGCCACCACAGGAGCAGGCCCUACAGUCCUGUACAUAACAUAAUCAACAACAAAAUAGUCCACCAAAGAGAAAUCAAUUCAAACUACCCCAAAAAGCUGGAACGGCAGCAGCAAAUCCAGUCAGCUCCCUGAGCAUCAUACAGCAACACAGCAACAAGAACAUCACAACCCAGUCAUAUACACGCCAUGAAGACAUUGGACUCCACAUUUUGCUAAAGUAUCAGCAAAGCAGUUAGAUUCUCUAUACACAUUCACAAAGGAGACAUUAUGGGAUCUCAUCACACAGCUUGGAAUAUGACCCAUCCAGCAUUUGUGAAACAGUGAAGAUGUCAAGUCCAGGAGCUCCAAACAAUGCCUCAGCCGGUGGAUCCUAUAAUUAGGUGUCUUUCUUCCAUUGCUACUGCAGUAGUGAAGUUUUUAUUCCACUUGGUUCCCUUCUUCCAGAGUUUCUGCUUGAAACACUCACUCCUCGAGCCGGCCAUUGCUUGUUUUCAUUUUUAAUUUUGUAAUAUAAUAUAUUACAAAAUAUGAAUGGUCAACAUUAAAAUGUAUUGCUAAAUGUUGUAUUACCAUUGCUAAAAUUUUAUUUUAACAAAAAAAAUCGUUGCGAGUUCAUCAUGUAUACCUCCUUUGUAUAAAAUAUGUAUAGAAAUUGAAAAGUCAUUUUUAAUUAUAUAUACUGUAACAUUUUUUUUUUGUUUUAAAAUAUAACUUUUUUCGUAACGAUAUAAUUUGUUUAUCUAAAAGUGUUUUAGCUAUAAUAAAAUUUGUUACAAUAUCACAAUGGUAAUAGUUACAAAUACUAUUACGUAACCAUAGUAUAUUGGUUGCAAAAUAAAAUUUGCAACAAUGUAAAAUUAAAUUUGCUAAGUUUUUUACGUAACAAUAAUAAUAUUGAUUACCAAAUAUUAUUUUGUAAGGAUAUUUUAUUUGGUUGUGUAUUAUAUUGUGCAAUGAUUAUAUUUCAUUGCCAAAAAAAUAUUUUAACAACCAUUAAGCGUGGUUGUCAAAUUAUUUAUUUAACAAUAAUACUAUUGGUUGCUAAAUAUUAUUCUGCAAUAAUGUUUUAAUUGGUUGUGUACUAAUUACGCAACAACUAUAAAAAUUUAUUUAAACAACCAUAAAAUGUGGUUGCCAAAUAUUUUUUGCAACAACAACAAUAAUAAUAUAUUUGUUAAUGCUUUUACAUAACAAUUUUUACUUAGUUAUGAAAUAUUAAUUUACAAUGGCAUAAUAUUUGGCCAUGUCUUAUAUUACACGAUAUUUAAAUAUUGUGCAAAGUUAAUUUUAACAACCUUAAUAUUUUGUUGCAAAAUUUUUAUAUGUAACCAUAUUAUUAUGUUCGUUGAAAUUUAUUUUGCACCAAAAUAUUAUAUAAUUGAUAAUAAAAAGAAGUAAUUACAAAUAUUAAAGAAACUAGUUAUUUGUUUAAAAACAAUAUUACCAAAAUUUUAAGCCCGUUUAUUAGAGUCCGGUUUGAAAAAUGUGCCUAAAAUUUAUCCCAAGCCCAACCCAAAUAAAAAUGCUAAACUCGGUCCGACCCGCUCAUAUUAUUUUUUAUAUAAUUUUUUUAAAAAUAUAAUACAUAAAAAUACUAAAAAUAUUAAAAUAAAUACUUCCCAAUAAAUUGAAAAUAAAUUAAAAAACAAUAUGUAUACUUAAAUAAUACUAAGAUAGGGUGCAACUUAACAAGCAAAUGCCUCUAAAAUAGUAACAAAAUUAACAAUAAAAUAACAGUUAUGCAAUAUCCAAACAAUAACGGCUAAUUUACCAAAAAAAGCCCAUUUUUUUUAAAAAUUACCGAAAUAAGCGGUUUUUUAAUUAUUUACCGGAAUGGGCCAUUUUUCGCGAAAUCGCGUCCACGUGGACGCGAUGUCAUGCCACGUAGCGCGGUACCGGAAACGCGAUUUUGACUCUGAUUUUACGUUUGGGUUUUCUGGCUUUUACGGUUUAGGGUGCAGGCUUUUUAGGGGUUAGGGGUCCCGGAAAAAUUGUUUUCGAGUUGAUGUAUCUGGUCAAAUAGUGGGAAAUCGCUUUUACCAGGAUGCUAUUUGAGAAGAAAUUGUGAAAUCGUGGCCUCGUGGACGCGAUUUCGCUACAGUGGUCAUGUAAGAAAUAAUUUUUUUUGACGUUUUCUAAGCAAAUAGUAUAAAAUCGCUGAUACCAGGAUGCUAUAUGAGAAGAAAUUGUGAAAUCGCGCCCUCGUGGACGCGAUUUCGCUACAGUUGGUCAUGUAGGAAAUAAAUUUUUUUUGACGUUUCUGAGUAAAUAGUGUCAAAUCGCGCCCUCGUGGACGCGAUUUUGCUACAGUAGCAAGUUUGGGCUGAAGCUAUAAAUUAGGCAGAAAAUGUUCUUAGAAUGCAUAACUCACAGAAAAAACAUUUUAGAAAGGCUAAGAAACUUAGAGUUUCAAAAUGAGUGAACGUAUUACUGCUGUUAUUUACUACGAUAGUGAGGUUUGCCACACCGAGAAUGGUGUUGUUUUUUUGUCGGAGAAUACGGUGCGACUGUCAUUUAGCCAAAACAUAGAUUUGACGGAACUCCGUAAAAGAAUUAGGCGUAAAAUCUUCGGAACAACGCCAAUGAAAGUUCUGUCAAUGACGUAUCGAUUUUGUUCUUCUUUUGAUCCGGUGACAUAUGACUCCUUCGACAUAAAAGGUGCUCGUAGCUUGGAGGCAAUGGUGCAGACUCAUCUUGCUAGCGGAGCAACUUAUAUUGAGUUAUAUGUACAAUUUACGUCGCCAACUGAUGUACUUCCGUCUGGUGUUCGAGAUGUAUACAUACCCCUGGCCGACACUCUGUUAGCGUGUUACAAAAUACGGAACAGCCCAUGUUCGGUAGCGGUGUCGAAUGCAUAUCCCCCCUAGACACUCUGUCGGUGGAUGGGACAUGUACAUCGGUGGCUCGACAUUUGACGCUGGAAAUACGAGCUGGGGAACUGCAUCAAGUUCUACUGGAUGGCAAUCUACAUCCAAUUGGGGACGUUAUCAAAUGCCCAGAAGAAGGGAUGACGUACUACCUACAACAUCAACCGGUGAGGGGACGUCGUACGCUGCAGAUGAUUGUGGGUUAGAAGGUGACUCCGAUGUGGAUCCACCUCGAGAGCCCGGGCCGGAAUGUGCAGAGGUGGGAUUAUUUUCUGAACCGGAGCCUAUUCCAACAGAAGGUGAAGAUAGUGAUAGGAGUGCAGAUGAUGAAGAAAAUCCACGAUUCAGAGCAUACUCACCUCCAGCCCACAUGCAUAAUGUGGAUCUGUCAAAUGAUGAUGCGUUAGAGUUUCCAGAUCUACCACACCGGGUGCGCGAUCGUACAAGUUCGGGGGUAGAUCUCGGUGAACUUGAAGUUGGUAAUCAGUUUACCAAUAAGGAUAGUUUUAUUGGUGCUUUGAAACAGCAUAGCGUCAAAAACGGCGUUAAUUACCACGUCGUUAAAUCAAAAUCUGAUAAGUUUGAGGCGAAGUGUGCGGUGCAAGACGGNNNNNNNNNNNNNNNNNNNNNNNNNNNNNNNNNNNNNNNNNNNNNNNNNNNNNNNNNNNNNNNNNNNNNNNNNNNNNNNNNNNNNNNNNNNNNNNNNNNNCUCGUUAAGGAAGAGGACAGGGUUGUGGGAGAUCAAAAAGUACAAAGGUCCACAUACAUAUGCUGCAGGUACAGGAUUGAAUGUGUCUGAAUAAUAUUUUUAUUUUCCAAUGUUGCAUUAUUUAAUGUACUCCCUCCCUUUGUAGGCGUUUCAGAAGAUCAUCCGAAAAUGGAUUCAGCUAUGUUGGCUAGCUUGAUACUGCCCACGAUAAAAGCAGAUCAUCGGACUUCAGUGCCGGUGAUAAUUGCCAAUAUCCGUAGCCAAAUGGGGUAUACGCCCUCUUACCGCAAGGCUUGGAUAGCUAAGCAAAAGGCAUUGGAGAAGAUGCAUAGUGGUGGGUCGCCUCAUAUAAUGAAAUAUGGCAAUGGUGUCAGGUGGUAGAGAGAUACGUCCCAGGUGCCAUCACAGACCUUGAAACGGAACAUGCGUACUACAAUGACCGAUUGCUACGUGGAUGCCAAGUGUUCAAACGCCUAUUUUGGACCUUUAAGCAAUGCCGAGACGCAUUUCCCUACUGCAAGCCAUUGGUACAAAUUGACGGUACCUUCAUGUUCGGUAGGUACACUCAUCGGCUAUUGGUUACAGUGGCACAGGACGGCGGUGGGAGAAUUCUUCCAAUUGCAUAUGCAAUAACACCGGGGGAGUCGUCUGAUGACUGGGAUUUUUUUCUCUCUAGGUUAAGGAGGCAUGUCUGCCCCCAACCUGAUAUCUGUGUUAUUUCAAAUCGGGGCACCGGUAUACUAGCUGCAUUUGAUCGAGAGGGAAGCUUGUGGCAGCGUACACACCAUAGGUAUUGCCUGAGACACGUUGCUUCGAACUACUACAGGUAAUAUCCAUCUAAGACGGAACGACGACAAGUGACCAACAUGGGUAUUUACUGUAUAAUUGUAUUAUUUCGUUUGUCAAAUUGAAUUAGUUUUAUUGGUAGACGCGGUAUAAAAUAUUCACUAUGUUCUUAUAUUGGUAGGGUAUGAAAUGAAUAAAGAUCGUUUUCACGAGAUGUUGGCAAUCUUGCGAUCCCAAAACGAAGAAGGGGCGGACUACCUUUGCAACAUACGUUUCGAACAGUGGGCACAAGCAUACGACGGAGGCCUACGAUAUGACCAUAUGACGUCGAACCUGGCAGAAUGCAUAAAUUUUGUUCUUAAAGGAACGCGCCAUCUACCGAUACCAGCGGUUGUGCGAAAGACAUAUUUCCAUUUGGCGGCGCUAUUUCCAAAGCGAGCAGCAGGUUAUGCAGGCCAGAUGUAGGGUGGGCAUGUAUGGUGCAGUAAGGUAGUUCAAGAAAUUAACAAGGCGAAGGCGAGGGCAAACGUCAUGCACGCUAUGUGUCACGAUCGAGACAAUUUAUGGUUUCGCGUGACGGAGUUCGACAUACCACACCAAGGUGUUGUUGGCGGGCAAUAUCUUGUACACUUGCGAAACAGGACUUGUGACUGUGGGAAGUUCGAUGCACUUCGUUAUCCAUGCGCUCAUGUUAUUGCAGCCUGUCAGAAACUCCGUCUGGAUCCGCUGAGUUAUGUGGACGAAGUGUACAAAUUAGAAAACAUGUACAACGUAUGGAGACACAUUUUCCCACCGGUCCCAGAUGAACGUAAGUGGCCGCCCGUAUCUCUUGCUCCUUUUAAACUGUUACCGAAUAGAGAAUUACGUCGCAAGCCGAAGGGUCACCUUCCUCCACUAGAAUACGGAACAAUAUGGAUAUCCGAGAAACAGCCAGUCAACAGAAGUUGUGCGGAUGGUGUAGGAACCCAGGCCAUACAAGUUGAUCGUGCCCUAAUCGCAAUAGUUAAAUGUAAUUAUAGAAAUAAUUACCUUUUAUUCAAUUAUUAAUUAAUAAUUGUAUUAAUUGUUAGUAAAAUUAUCAAAUUACUACAAUUUCUUAAAUGUUAGUACCAGUCAAAACAUUUUACGAAAUCCAACAUUAUGUAAAACUAUAAUUUCUUAAAUGGUUACUAAGAUUAUCAAAUCCGCUGAGUUAUGUUAGGGUUUUUACAUUAAUUAAAUUAGGUUAGGUUAGGGUUUUUAAUUAAAUUAGGUUAGGUUAGGGUUUUUAAUUAAAUUAAAUUAGGUUAGGGUUUUUAAUUAAAUUAAAUUAUGUUAGGGUUUUUAAUUAAGUUAAGUUAGGGUUUUUAAUUAUAUUAAGUUAGGUUAGGGUUUUUAAUCAAAUAAUGUCAAAAUAACUCAGAAAAAUUUCUAUGUGUAUUACAUCGUCAUAAACUUCUAUUUCAUUACAUCAAAUGAUAAAUUUUAAUACGGUAAUCAAUGUCUAUGACCGGGGGAUUCGGUUCCACAUGGCGGCCGUCGACGGUUACGCGCUGGAUUCCUCCUUCCUCUAGCUUCCGGCGGCCGUUGUUCUUCCUCGGGUGGUGAUUGUUGUUCUUCCGGUUCGGCAUCUGCUUGUCGGACUUGGGACGAUGAUCCACCUUCAAAGAAUACUGUAUGUGGAGGUGUUUGCAUCAUGAACGGCGACGGAGUUUGAAAGCCAUGCGUUGCUGGCGAUUGGUAAAAAGGAGAGCUCCCCGACGGCCCCCCUUACGACCCCUCCUGCGCCGAUGGCCUAGUUAUCGGUGGUCCGCUCGGCAUUACAGGAAAUGGAACUGAUCCGGGCAUUUGGCUCCAAGCUGCCAUAUGCUGUUGAAAAGGAUACAUGUACGGGUUAGGGUACAUAUAAGGGCUAGGAAACAUACCUGGCAUCAUAGGGAAAGGCGAUUGCGUGGGUAUCAUCUAUUGAAUUGCUGCGUCAGGUGACUGCGCCGGUGCUCUCGUUGGGGACUGUGAUUGCAUUGCCGCUGAUGAUGGGCCGGGUGAAUGUCUGGGCCUCGUUGAUGGGCUGCCCUCGUAGUCUUGUCCCCUUGGAUUUAGAGGCCCGCGCAUUUCCCUUCCGACACGUAUUUACCGCUGCCUCUCCUCUGGCGUAAGUAAAUACGGCUUCCCAUGGAUCCUAAACCAUGGCAUGUAUUCUAUAACGCACGCUAACUCGGGAACGAUGAUUUGUUCCCGAGUAGGUAGAUAUUCAUACCGAUUUUCCCACAUUUCUGUGUACUCUGACCAGUAUCUAGGCCAAUCCGUACCUAAUAGCCGAAGGUCGAUUUUGUGGUGCUCGUCAAACACCUUAGGGUCCGCAGGGAUCGGUUGUCUACAUCCAAACUGUCGUAGGACUCUGUCUGUCUGGUGGGGCUCCACAGUUGCAUAGUUGAUCAACACCACUUUCACGUGCCAAGCGUUGGGAUUUUGUAAAAACUCUUCCGGGAUUACUGCCCGGAUUGCCGGAUCCUCGUAUGGUGUCCAUUGAAACUACAUGAACAUGAUAGAAAUAUUACUUAUAUACAUAAUACUAAAUAGUAAAUACUAAAUAUCAAUCCACUAGUGAAUGUAUGGAAAUAUCUAUUUGCAAUAAUACUUACUUCUGCUUCCGACCGUUGGUCCAAUAGAAGCUGUAUAUCUUCAAGUUCAGACGGUAAUCCACGAUAACUCGCCGGAUGGUUCCACCUAAUUAAAUAAAUUUUUAGCAUACUUUUAUUCUUACAAAAUCUACAUAACAAUUUCAAAAUGUAAUGAAGAAAAUUUACCUCGUUACGAGUGGGAAUAUAUAUGGGUGGUUCACUCGAGGACGUAGAAAUGGAAAGCGAAACCGUGCCCAUGAUUGCAGUAGUGACAGGCAUCCUCCGAUUUUUGCUCUCCUCGGUUUGGUCGCCCCGCACAUCUCCCGAUAUAAAGUUUCCAAGACGGUAGACCCCCAACUAAAUUCACCGACUGCUCUAAAAUCAACGAGUUUUAGCAGCCACCUUAGAUGUACACAGCUCCGUGACGUGUCGGCCAUGAGAUAGCCUCCAAUUAUUUGAAGAAUGUAUGAUCGAGCAUAUCGGAUUCGUUCAAAUUCGGUUGAAUUUUCAUUCAGACCGGGGAAGGUGGCACGUAACCAGCUCAUCUCCACCUUACCUCCAUCCAUUUUAUCCGGAACGGCGCCCAAAAGCUCGUAGCACACCGCCUCCCAAUUGCUAGAUUGGGCAGACCCAGUGACUGGGUGCCCGUCCACCGGUAAUCCCAAAUGCAGAUGGACAUCUUCUAGAGUGAUAGUGCACUCUCCACAUGGAAGAUGAAAUGUGUGCGUCUCAGGUCUCGACCUCUCGAUCAACGCACUGAUCAGUUUCGUCUCCAACUUGCAUCCCCGGCCUACCGUUGCCACGUGCCAAAAUCUCGCUUCCUGCAGGUAGUUCUCUACUAACGGUGAUGGAGGAGCAUGCAUAUUCCGAAUAUUGCAUUCCAAUACCCGAUCUUCAGCCUUUUAUAAGAAAAAAUAAAUUAAUAAAUAUCUAAAAAUACAUAAAAAAAUAUCUUAAAUAAAUUUUAAAUUUUAAAUUUAAUACUUACCAUUUUCAAUUGCUCCACCGAGAUGUGAUUCCUAUCAAGACGAAUCAAUGAUCCGGCCAUUGUUGAAAAUAUUAAAAAUUUUAAAAUUAUUUUAAAAAUAAAAAUUUUAAAAUUUUCUUAAAAUAAUGAAAUUUAAUGAAAAAAGAAAUUUAAUAUGGAUUUGGAGAUUUUUUGAAGGAAAUUGAGAGGAUUUUAGAAGGAAUUUGAGAGAAUUUUGAAAGGAAUUUGAGAGAAUUUUUGAACGGAAUUGAGAGAAUUUUUGAAGGAUAUUGAUAUUGAAUUUUUUUGAGAAAAUAAAGGGGUGGGGGUUUAUAUAAGUAAAAAAAAAAUUACGUGGGGGGGGACAACGGUCAAUUUUUUGACCGUUGGGCACUGUUCACGCGCGCGGCCACAUCGCGUCCACGUCAGCAGGUCGCGCUGACGUGGACGCGAUGUCCUGUCACGUACCCUGACAUCGCGCUGACGUGGACGUGAUUUCGCGGAAAAUAGCCCAUUCCGGUAAAUAAUUAAAAAACCGGCCCAUUUCGGUAAUUUUUUAAAAAAACUUUUUUUAGUAAAUUAGCCAACAAUAACAACAAAAUAGUAACAAUAUAAUAGUGAAAUUGUGGCACAAUAGUGAAAAAAAAAUUAAGAAAAUAGCAUCAAAACAAUAAAAGAAAAUAAAAGAAAACAACAUGUUUUCUUUUUCUUUUUUGCAUAUUCAGGUCGGGCCGGACUCAAGCAAAAAAAACCUUGACUGAGGCUCGGCUUGUUUUUUAAAUCGGCCUCAUUUUUUGUCCAAACACAUUUUUUGAGCCUAAUUUUUACCCAAAUCCUCCCACUUUUCGGGCGAACCAUUCGGCCCGACCCAUAGACAGGUCUAUUUCAAUUACAAUUAAAUUAAAAUAAAAAUCUAACAAAAUUAAAUAGAUAUAUAUAAUAAACUAAUAAAAAUAAUUUUAAAACUAAAAUUGAAAUAACCCAUGAAAUUUAAAGUCUAAAAAUUAAAAAUUUAUAUGUACUGUAUGGUAAUAAAUACAAAAUUAAAGUUUAGAUAUAUUCUCCCUGUUCACUUUUAAAAAUCUUUUUCAGGUGAAUUGUAGUGGAGAAGGUAAAACACAUUUCAAGCAAAAAAAAUCACAUUACUUUUCCAUUAAUUUUUAAUCCAUUCGGGUAAUUAAUUAAAAUCUUUUUACAAAAUUCUCUACCAACCACACCUCGUCUUCUCGAAUGAGGGUUAGCAAAAUUCGAUUUAAUUCAAAAAAUUUAAUAAAAUAUUCAAAUUUUAAAUUAAAAAGUUCGAGUUAUUCGAGUUAAUCCGAUAAUUCGAUUAACUCGAAUAAAAAAAUCAAAAUUUUCAGUUUAACUCGAAUAUGAAUUACACAAUUCGAGUUAUCUGAAAAUCGGAAUAAGAAAAUAUAAAACUACGUUGUUUUGAUAAAUAUUUAGAUUUUCUAAAGUUGAAGCCAAAACCGUUUAUUUAAAAAACAAAACAAUUAUAUUGUUUAUGUAGUUAUAUAAUCUUGUAUUUCGUCUACUAGUUAAAUAAUCGGUUCAUGUAAAUGCAAAAUUGAGUAUAAAUAAUAGGAUUUGUUAACUCGAAUCGACUUGACUCAAUUCGAUUUGAAAAUUUUUUAAAUUGAGUUCGGUUGCUAAAAUAGGAUUUGUCAACUCGACUAAUUCGAAUUUUUUUUACUCGAUCGAAUAUUCACCAUUAUUUCUAAACUAUAACAGUUAAUGGAAACUCGUUAAGUCAUAAAAAAUUCAAGUAAAUGUUUUAAACUUGAGUCUUAUGAAUACAAAAAAUAAUUUUAAAAGAUAUUUUAAAUUAUAAAAUUUAAUUGGUAUAAAUAGGGGUGAGCAUUCGAUCGAAUCGAAUCGAAUCGAAAAUUUUCAAGUUAAUCGAGUUUUCGAAUCUCAUUUUAUCAUCCUAACUUCAUUUGAAGUUUUCUCGAAUCGAGUCGAGUGAGAUGGAAUUCGAAUCGAAUCGAAUCGAAUCGAAUAUAUUUGUUCCAGUUAAAUUUUAAAAAAUAAUUUUGGAUCCUUGUAACCACUGUCACCCAUCGUAAUAAAAUUUGUCCACCUUAAUCAGUUUUUUUUAUUAACUUUCAUCACCUCAUAAUUUAUUUAUUAAUUUUUUAUAUACUGGUUAGCUUCUUUGCUUGCUUAGUUGUUUCAAUUAUCUUCAGAUUCUUGUCACUAUGUAUUUUGGAAUUAAAAAAUAUAUUAAAUGUAAAAAUAUGAUUUUUUAAUAAAUGUUAUUUUAAAAAUAAAAUGUGAAAUUGAUACCAAUAUAAAAUUUUAACACGAAUAUUUUAUGGCACAAUUAAUAAUUCAAUUUUAAUAUAAAUAUUCAAUAUGACUAAACAAUUCAAUAAUAUAAAUAAUAUAAAAUGUGAAAUUUAAUUUAAUUUAAUAAUAUAAAUAGUAUAUAUAAAUAAAAUUAUUGCUAUUUAUGUUUAGUAAUUUUUUUUGGAUAAUUUUGAUUUUUUAUUUGAGAGUAAAUGGUGAGAAGUAAAAGUUUAAGGGGGAAAUAAAAAGUUUGGGGGAAUAAAAGUUUGAGGGAAAGUAAAUAGGGGGAGUAAAAUUUUGGAGGGAAAAUAUUAAAAAAAAUUUGGAGGGGGGAGGGUUUGGGGUAGAUGAGGUGGGAUGAGAAGGGAAUAAAAGUUUUAGGGAAAAAGUGAGAGGGAGUAAAAAUUUUGGGGGAAAGUAAAAAGUUUUGAGGGUUUUUGGAGUAAAAUUUUGAGAAAAAGUAAAUGGGAGAGUAAAAUUUUAGUGGGAAAUGAAUUUUGGAUAGAUUGGGGGGUUGGGAGGGGAGGGGAGGGGAGUAAAAGUUUUGGGGGGAAAGUGGGAAAGAGUAAAAGUUUUGAGGAAAAAGUAAAAAGGUUUGGGAGUUUGGGGUAAAAAUGUAAAAUAUUAUAGUUUGAUAUUCGAGUUAUUCGAAUUCGAAAACUCAACUCGAAAUUUGAAAAAAAAUUCGAGUUGAUUCGAAUAACUCGAUUCGUUUAACUCGAAAUUCGAAUUUUUUUUCGAUAUUUUCGAGUCGAAUCGAAUUUUGCUCACCCCUAGGUAUAAAUUAAAAUUAAAUAAAAAAUAUAAUUAGAUUGUUUGAUAAAAUAUAAUUUUUUUAAAAAUUUAAAGGUGGGGUAUUUGAAGGAAUUAAAAGAGAUAAAAUAAAAAUAAUUGAAACAAAUUCUACAUUAAGAUAUAAAAAGUUAUUUAAUCUACUUUUCAUUUUCCAAAUCUUUUCGUAGAAAAAUCCAAUCAUUUGUUUUUUAUUAUGAAUCAUCAAACUUGCUUAAAAACAUAAAUUAUUAGUUGAUUUAAUUUUUUUUAAUUGAUUAUCAAACAAGUCCUUGGUUAAUGUUCUCCAAGUUCAAGUGCCAUUUAGGUCAAAAAAAAAGUUUAAGUAAUAGUAACAUAAACAUUCAUUUUAUAACAAUAAAGUUAAAGCCAUGAAUAUUUUCAAAAAAAUAUUCAAUUAAGCCCUUGAAUGUUAAAAUAUUAAUCGAUUAAGUUCUUUGAUAGUUAAAGUUAACAGUCAAUUGUUAUAGUUAAAAUUUCAAUCAAUUAAGGCACGGUGUAGCGUUUGUUUACCUCAUCCUUUAACCAUGUGGUUGAGGGUUCGAUCCCCACUUAUGGAAAUGAAGCACAUUUCAUAAUCAGUCAUUUACCUAUUUGGAGAGCACUCAUAGUGAGGAGAUUAACUACUGUUGUUGUUGGUGGAUACCCUGAUUAUGACAAAUAAAAAAUAACAACUGCCAUUUUUUUGGAUUAUUUUUGCCACAUGACAUGCUAAGAUUGUGCCACGUGGUAUAAAAUUAUAAAAAUCAUAAAAAAAUUAUACAAGAAUUAUAAAAAUGAAUAAAAUUAGAAAAAAUAUAUAAAAAAUCUAUUUUUAAAAGGUUAAUAAAUUUUAUAUUUUAUUAUUUUUAAAAGGAUAAUAAAUUUUUAAAAUAUUUUUUUUUAUUCUUAUAUUUUUACGAGCUAUUUAAAUUUAAUUUCAAAAUAGGGCAUGCCUAAUAUAUAAAUAGACAUUUAAUUAGUGUCCAAGAGUAAUGGCGUCACUCCUAUUUUUCAUCUAGUUUAAAAAUGAUAAUUGCUUCAUCAGGUGUCUGAACAUUCUAUAUAAUUAUUCUUCAGUUCGAUGUCACCAAUAGCAACGACGACACCCAAAAAAUUUAUUACUUUUUUAAAACUAGAGGUGGUGACACCAAUGACAAUGGCGUCACCGACAUUUACUGUUCAAAAUGGGUCAUUUACGUACAUAAUUUUCAAAAUAAGUCAUUCUUAUAAAUAAUUAAAAGUUUUGGGUAUUUUUAAUAAAAAAGCUUAAGUUUGAUGUGUAAUACCCAAUUUUCGCCCGGCCCAUAUACCUUAUAAAAAACCCAAAUAAUUAAAAAAAGACAAAUAAAAUGAAAGUCCAAUCGCAGACUCAACAUCAGUCCAUUGGCCCAAUAAACAGAAACCCUAAAAUCUAAUAGCUUCCAGCACAGCCCCAACCGCCACACUUCCACGUAUACCGCCUGCAAGAAUCCAAUAGCAACAAAAACACAGUGUAAAAAUAGAGAAAAAUAGAAAAUAAGUUGUAUUUCUAAGCUAUAAAAAGAGCCAGAUUUUCUGUUUUAAAGAAAAAAAAGGGGGUAUUCAUAAAAAAUGGAGGAAGUCAGUGUAAAGGGGGAAAAUCAGUGUAAAGGGAGGAAAAAAGAAAUCAAAAAGUUUUAAAGAAGGUGAUUUUUUCACUUUUUCUUCUAUAUUUUUUGGUUACGUUUUUACUUUUCUAUUUUUUUUUUAUCAAUCUUAUAUGAAAAAGAAAAGAAGAGUUAGGAGAUGAGAAAUCUACCUGGCUUUGCCUACUCCGUUGCAAUUGGAGUCGGGCAGAGUUUCAGAUCGCUGAAGUGGCAGAGGGCAGAGAGGGUUUAGUUUUUUUCCUGAUAGUUAAUGUAAAUAAAAAGUGUUCUGAUUUUAGGGUUUUAAGUGGCUUUUAUAUUGUGCAUAAAACGGCACCGUUUAGGGCCUGUUUCAGUGGCUCUAAAAUGGUGCCGUAUUGGCCGUUUAGCCUCAGUAACCCACGUGGUGACCUGACCCGGGGAAGGAUCCACGCUUUUUGUAACGCUUCGAAAAAUUGCGCAAACAGUCCCUUUUCUUUUGUAGGGUAUUUCAAAUCGAUUCUUUUAUUUCAUUUAAAUUUGGCCACGCUUUUUAGGUUUCUUUCCAAUCUGAUUCAUGUCAAUAUGCUGCGCUUUGAGGGAAGGGAAUAUUUCCCAUUCGGUCCCCAUGUUAUCCGCGCGUCAUAUUUGGGCCCUCAUAUUUGUUUUAUCCUCAUUUUUUUCCUUUUAAUUUUGCUUUAAAUUUCAAUUUAAUCCUCAUUAGUUUGAUUUGAUUUGCUUGUGUUUUAUUUAUUUAAGUAUCGAUUAUUAUGCUAUCUUUUAAAAAAUUUUAAAUCUGAUAUUAUUUGAAUGUUUAUACUUAUUAUUAUUAAAUUAAUCAUUAAUAUUAUCUAAGUGUAUUGUAUAUUAUUAUUUUAGAUUUAUCAUGUUUUAUUAUUUUUAAUUUAUCAAUAUUAUUAUUUUAAAUUCAUCGUUAACAUUAUUUUAAAUCUAUCAUGUAUAUCUAUUUCAAAUUUAUCAUUAAUAUUUUUAAAUUUAUUGUCGAAACCAUUUUUUAAAUUAGAAAAAAGGGGGAUCGACUUUGAAAAUAUAAUGGGAGUCGCCAUCGAUCUUUUUUGAGAUGCGAUCGGAUCACCUUGAAAAUGAUUUUAGGUCUGCGAAUUUUGAGAAAACAAGUUCGAAAGUCGGUUACGCACGAGGAAGGGUUAGCACCCUCUUGAUGCCCAAAAUUGGUACCGAAUUGUUUAAUGCCUUAGUAUCGAAAACUUGAAAAGAUUUUAAAGUACGAUCCCUUGAAUGAAAUGAAUUGGAUGAUGAGACUCAUUUAUUUUGAAGACAUAGAUUGUCACACCCAGUAAGUUAGAGUGUAACAUUUUAAAUCCGCGAAAUUAAGUUUACUCUUAAAUUUUAAAACUUAUGCAUUUUGAGAAGGAUAUCUGAUUAUUUGAGUCAAAUGAGAGAAUCGAAACCCAGUAAGUUAGGGUUCGAUUUCACAAAAUCCCUAAAUAUCGAACAUUGCCUUUAUUUUCAUUUGUUAGAAAUCCUCGUCUCGAGAAAACAACAUGUCAUAUCCAAUGAGUUAGGACACAACGUAUUGAAUUCUCAAGAAUGAGCUUUUUUUGUAUGUUAAUUAAAAGAUAUUCGGUUUCUUAGAUCCCGAGGAAGAUUGGAAUCCAGUGAGUUAGGAGACAAUCUUUUCGAGGAUCACAAAUUCCGAGUGUCGCGUUGUUUUGGAGGCUUUUUGAAUAAAAGUGUUUUUGAUAUUUAAAUAAUAAACGUAACCUUUUAAGCAGAUAUAAGGCAAUAAAACGUUAAUGUACAACGCGAAUCGAUUAUUCGUAAAUUUAAAUAUACACCAAUGAAUACAAACAAUCAAUAGAUAAAUACAAAUAAACAAAGUAACAAUAGCCUCCAUUAUGCCAAUGUCAACAUCAACAUUCAAAAUAAAUAGUAUAUAAAAAAUCAAUCAAAAUACAUUAAAUCAUAUACAUAUAUUAAUUCAAAUAAAUAAUACAUGUGGGAGGAAAAUUUUAAUAAUAAUAUAAAUGAUAACGUAUACAUAAUAAUAUACAAAAAGGUUGAAACAAGCGAAAUAUAUAAAGUAGGGUUUUUAAAAGAAAAUAAUUAUAUGUAUAUAUAGGAAUAAGUAAAAAUAUAUAAUAAUAUAUACAAAAGUUGAAAUAAACAAAAUGAAUUAAAAUAGGGUCCUAAAAAAAUAAAUUAUAUAUAUGUAUAGAUAAAUAAAAAGAUAUAAUAAUGUAUUAUAUACUCGUAUAUCUUUUAAUAAAAUGAUUUAAUAUAAAUUGUGUAUAGAUAUAAAAUAGUAUUGUAUAAAAAUGUUAAAAACCUAAAAUAAUAUUACAUAAUAACAUAAAAUAAUUUAUAUACGUAAAUAAUGGCAAUUAAAUAUACAAACUAAUAUAAUAACAAUAUCAAUAAUAAUAUCAGUAGUAAUAACGGUGAUAAUAAUAAUAAUAAUAAAUUGAUAAUAAUAAUAGAUUAAUAAUAACAUUACUGAAUAGUAAAAAAAAACAAAAGGGACUAAACUGCAAGCAGAACAAAAUUAACAGGCCACAAAUAUGAUUUAAAAGAAAUGGAGGGUCAAACUGUAAUUCGCGAAUUACGGGGGGAGCCAAAUGGGAACUAUCCCGCUUUCCCAAAACGCAGCGCAGUGACAUGGACCAAAAUGUAGCAAAAGCAAAAUGAAGCAUGAAAUUCAUAAAUAAGAAAAAAACUGAUAUGAAAACACCACGAAGAAAAGAGGACCUUAUACGCUAAUAGACCAAACGACCAAAAUGCGCGGAUCCUUCCCCGGAUCGGGUCACCACGCGGGUCGUUGUGGGCAAAUGGCGCAGUUUCUUUCGUGGUUAAAAAACAAAAACCUAAGCUAUUAAACAUUUUCCUAAUCUAACAAAAAACCUAAAGAAAUGAGAGAAAAACUCUCUUUGCGCCGUUCGACGAUGAACAUCUGGAGGCGCCUAAACCACCGCUUGAUUUUGACUGCGACGAAACAAGCGACAGUCCAGCAAGCCAGGUAAACUCUCUUCCUUAAACCUCUCUUUUUAUGUUGUUUAAUGUUUCCUAAACAAAGAAACCAAAAAAAAAAAGAAAAAGAACAGUGAAGAAAAACGAAAAAAGGAAAAAACGAAUAUACCUCUCAAAUCCCUUUUUUGUAUUCAAUCUCUCUGUGUAUUGAUAUUGUGUGUAGAGGAAAAAGAACCCCUUUUACAGAUUCAAAAACGGCUUUAUAUAGCCGGAUCCAAAUAAAAAUUAAAAAUACAAUCAUAAAAUUCCAAUUUAUCCUUGCUGUUAUUUUCCUUUUUUGCGUGGUUGUUUCUGUCUCUGUUUGUUUGUGUCUGCUGCAGGUACGGCCGUACGGAGGUGUGGGCGUGGAGGCAUGCAUGGCAGUGUAUGUGAGGCUACUGUUGUGGUGGCUCACGCUGGGGCUGAGGGAGUUGCGGCACUUGGUCCAUUCCAGAAACCCUAGGGUUUUUUGGAAGCUGUUUAGGCCUAUCAGGGUUUGGGUUUGUUGGGCCUGUAACACGAUUGGGCUAAGGAUUGUAUUUGGGUUUAGGUUAGCUGUUUAAUGGACUGUUAAUGGACUUUGAAUUAUUUUUAUUAUUUGGUUUUUAUAUUUGUAUCGAGCCGGGCAAAAUUUGGGUAUUACAGCUGCCCCUCUUUGCUUGUUGUCGUGUAACAGGAACGGAGCAAAGACUCCAAAAAUGACCAAUUUUGCCCAGUCGUGCUGGACCUUGGUGCUCAUCUUCUUUGAAUUGCCUCAUUCCAUCCUACCGCAACAUCGGGGAGAUAAGAUUUGUGGCUUCAAUCAACUCCACUGUAAUCUCGGGGAGGUAAAAUCUGCCAUCUUCAGUCUGCCCCACUGCAUCUUUAGGGGAUAAGACCUGCUUACUCAGUCUGCUCCAUUAUAACCUCAGGGAGGUAAGAUUGGUUUCUUCUGUCUGACUGCAAUGUCGGGGAAACAAGAUUCACCGUUGUGGCUUUAAUCUACUUCAUUGUACCGCCAGGGAAGUAAGAUUCACUGUUGUAGCUUUAAUCUUUUUAACUGCAAUGUCGGGGAAGCAAGAUUCACCGAUGUGGCUUUAAUCUGUUCCACUAUAUCGCCUGGGGAGUAAGAUUCACUGUUGUAGCUUUAAUCUUUUUAACUGCAAUGUCGGGGAAGCAAGAUUCACCGAUGUGGCUUUAAUCUGUUCUGCUGCAUCGCUUGGGGAGUAAGAUUCGCUGUUGUAGCUUUAAUCUUUUUAACUGCAAUGUCGAGGAAUCAAGAUUUAUUGAUGUGGCUUUAAUCUGUUCCACUGCAUCGCCUAGGGAGUAAGAUUCGCUGUUGUAGCUUUAAUCUUUUUAACUGUAAUGUCGGGGAAGCAAGAUUCACCGAUGUGGCUUUAAUCUGUUCCACUGCAUCACCUGGGAAGUAAAACUGGUAUUUUCGAUCUGCUUCAUUGUCGAUGCAGGAAGACAAGGUCUGCUAUCUUCACUGAUCUGUUCUCUGGGGAACUUGACCUGUAUAAUAAACCUAAUUAUGCCUAAAGAUUAAGAUGGCAUGAUCAAAAUGAAUCCAAUGCUCCUAACUAGACAUGUGAAUAAUGUUUGCAUGAAUGCAUAGUUUUAUUUUGCCGAGAAUGAUCCCGCUUAGGUUGUCAUUACUCCAAGUUUAUUAAGGCUUUGUGACUGACGUGCUACAACGCCUUCUCGCUUGACUGGCUUUUUUGAAGAAACAUUUAGCCAGGUUGCCCCCCACUGUAAACCUAAAAGUUUAAUCCAUUAGGGCGCACAAUUUGUGCCAUCAUUCUUCCACUGCAAUUCAAGGGUAGAAAUAUGUGGCUUUUCCUCAAUCCUCUCUUAUCACAAUUCAAGGAUACAGGAUCUAAAUCGUUCUAGUUUCUCACACCAUUCUCAAGCUGUCGUACCCAAGGCUCAUACACAACUGAAGGCUUUCUUCUCUGAGGAAACCUCUUCCUGUUGCCUGGUGAUCAUUACUUGCUUGUUUAUUCAAGCUUUGUUAUCAAUAUGACAUUCUUGUCAUUUUGUUCAAUCAUGUUUUUGACAACAAAAUCCAAAGAGAAAGUCCAAAUUUAGACUCUUCCUUCUCAAAUUUCCAACCUUUAAAUUUGGUGUGCUCUAAACAAUAGUCCUGUUUCAGGUUCCUAUAUUAUUUAGAAAUGUUUCAGAGUAAUAUGCAAAACUUCCUUUGUGAAAGUUUUAUUAGUCCAUUAAUCAUUAUUCCAAUACAACAUUCUUUCAAAAAGGGUCAUAACAAUGGAUAAGAAUAAAAUUGGUUCUGGGCAUAGCUCAAAAUGAAUAAAUUAUCACAAAUAGUAAAGAAGGAUAAUAAAGAAAUUGAUUGGAAAUGUAUAUCUUCGAAAAGAAAAAAGUAUUCCAAGAACAACAAAUUCAAUAUAAAUAAUAUGAGAAUUGGGUGCCCCAGAUAUCGCAGCUUGAACUUCUCUGUACAAACUUCUGAAAACCAUUUUGAGUUUGACAUGUGUUUAGGAGAUCUACAGUGCUUUGUCGAUGCCCCAAGAUGUCGCCUACCAUUUCCUGUUGAUUCAGGUAUAACAAGAUUACUACAUGCCUGAAGAUUCAAGUUGCUCUGAUCGCUUCAUGCCCCAUUCUGAUCAAUAUUUGAGCCGCCCUUUUUCAGGUUUUCAACUCAAAUCCCCUUUGGCCUAAGGUGCCAUUUGCGGGUUUUCCCUUUAGCCUCUCCAUUUUUACUUUUUCAUUUUUUCAUUUUUCAUUUUCAUUUUUUCAUUUUUCAUAUAUAUAUAUUUUUUGACUUAGAGUGCCCUUUGCGGGUUUUCACAUUGGUCCUUUCUUCUUCUUUAAACGAAGUGUUUCUUGACUGGAUCCGAGUUUAUAGGAUUAGCCAUCUCACUCAAGAUUAAUGCUCCUCUGAAAAAGGUCUUCUUUAGAACACAGGGACAUCCCUGGCUUAGCAUUCAUGUCCUUCUAGAAUCCUUUAGUUGAGGAAGGAUAUUUUUCAACAUCCAGCCCUCUCGUGGAAUUCUCUGAGACGACAUUGUUUAUUAUGGGCUCGUAUCAUCUGGUACAUCUGACCCUAAUGAAUAGCUUUUAACCAUUUUCCUAGGUCCAACUGAUCACAUCGCAAUUGGAUCCAUUCUGCUUCAUCCAAUUCUAGCUCAAUUAAUACCCGGAGAGAGGGGAUUUCAAUCUUGUAAACCAAAGAGAGAGGUGUUGCCCCAGUAUAGAUGUUUGACAAGAAAGAAGGGCAAAUGGUAAUUUCUCAUGCCGGUCAUUGCAAGUCUCAGUCAUUUUUUCAUAAUUCAAUACAGUGAUGAACUACGGUAUCUGAUUUUGAAUUGAUCACAGACCUUAGCUAUCAUACUAACAUUCAUGAUAUCGUAUUCUCUCUAAUUCUAUACCGGCAUAUAAUGACAUUGACGCAUGAAGCAGCCUCUACCUGUUUGACAAGGUAACUAAUGAUCUCAAAUAUGAAGCAAUGCCCAUUAGAAAAUUUCGAUGAUGAUAACGACCAUGCCCCAUUUUGCUCAAAAUUUGCCCUUUUCGGGUUUUCAACUCAAAACCACCUUUGGUUACAAAGCGCCCUUUGCGGGUUUUCACUUUAGCCUCUCAUUUACUCUUUCAUUUUUCCUUUUUCUUCUCUCUUUUUUCAUUUUCAUUUUGACUUUGAUUUUGGUUUUUAUUUCUCUUCUUUUUGUUUUUGAUUUUGAUCUUGAUUUUUUUUUGAAUUGGAUCUGAACUCAUAGGAUUUGGUAAGUCCUUGUUAUCCCUUUUGACCAUAAAAUCUCCCACAUAAGAUCUUCCACUUUCAUCUUGUAUGUGAAAAAAACCUCUUUGGUAUCGGAUUUCUUUCAUAGAGCCUUUUGGGGUGUAACUAUGGCAGAAAACUUUGGAUCUUCCUCUUCAAUCAAAGUAAACUCCAACAACAUCUUGAAGGGAUGGAAACUUGACUUCAAAUGGGCAAAGCUAUGUUGAGUCAACGAGAGAGGCAUUGCCCCGGUAAAGAAUUGCAUCAUUCAUACUACAAAUUUUGACAUCGUGCUGUUGUGUAGAUUUCAUUAUCAGUGCUUAACCCGAGCAUAUCCUGGUAUGACCAUACAAAGACAUCCUUGAACUCUAGAAUAAUUUAAUGAGGUCUCACUUCAUCUUUGUGGUCAUGUCAAUUUCAAUCUUCACCCAGCUCACAAUUUCUAAUGGUUCAUCGCGAGGUAGGAUCUAUAUGUCCUCUUGUUCUACCAUCGUCAACAAGUACGGCGAUAAGCUACGAUCUAUGUCAAUUUCAAAGUCAUGAGAUCCCUCUAAGACAUGCCUCGCCCAAAAGGAAAAUCUGAGUCUGUAGCAGCGUCAUUCAUGUAGUUGAUAUCUGGGGACCCAUAGUAAGUACCGAAGAAUAUACAAAAGAAUGUAUAAAUUCAUGAAUAAUUAUUCGUACCAGAUGAUUAUGAAUGAAUGAAUAAUAAUUUGGAAGAAAUGCCAAAAGAAUGAAAGAAUCUGGAAUUAUUUGUAAAGAAUGAAAAUAUUAGCUCAGCAAUAAUUGCAAAGAUGUAUUUCAUUAAAAUAAACGUUCAGACAUGAGCCUAUUUCACAAAGGAAUUUCUAUCAUUUUUAGGCUAAAAACAACAAAGUGUUCUGAACAUUACUCUAAAUAAGCUCUAAAAACUACAGGGAUUUCUUCCGUAAUCUAAUUACUUAGAACACUCCCAGGGCUAUAAGGGCGGAUAUCUAACAAGGUCCCUUCUUUAGUUGCUUUUCGUCAAUGUGAACAUUUCCCACUCUUCUUCAUGCAUUGCAUUCACCCCAUUAUCAAUUAUGAUUGGGUAAUGGAUUUUCUGCACUGGAGUCAUCAAACUUGACAACACCCAUGUUAAUGAGCCUUUUAACAAGCUUUUUAAAGACGGUGUAAUUUUCUAUCGAAUGUCCCCCAAUUCUUGCAUGAUAAUCACACUGUGCACUCGCAUCAUACCAUUUGGGGUACAGAGGUUGUAGGGGUUUAGAGUAGAAAGAGGCAAUAAUGUGCACAUCGAAUAAGCAUUGAUACAGCUCCUUAUACGACAUCGAAAUUGGUGUGAACUGGAGAUUCUCAGUACUUGGUUUCACUCCAGAUUCUUAUCUCAAUGAACCUUGUUGACUAGUGACCCAUUUACUUGGAUGACUUACUGACCUUGAGUAACCUAUGUUAUUCAUCUCAUCUUCUUUUCUCCUUGCGACUGAUUUUUUGUUACUCUCUCCACCCUCUAUUCUUCCAUUUCUGAUGGUGUUUUCAAUAAUUUCACCAUUCAUAAUUAUAUCUGAGAAACUCUUUAAAGUACUUCCUAAUAUGUGCGUGAUGAACGGGGCCUUCAAUGUGUUGAUAAAGAGCAUAGUAGUUUCUCUUUCUAGGAGCAGCGGCUGGACUUGAUAGUGACUUCCCUCCAUCUUUGUGCGUACUGCCUGAAACUCUCACUCGGUUUCUUCUCCAUGUUUUGUAAAGUGAUCCUAUCGGGAACCAUAUCUGUCACAUGACUGUAUUGCCUCAUGAAUGCUUGAGCUAGGUCCCUCCUUGAACCAAUCUUGGUAUGGCUCAAUUGAUUGUACCAUUUGGACGCUGCCCCUACCAAACUGUCUUGGAAGCAGUGUAUUAGCAGCUGACCGUUGUUAAUGUAGCCAGUCAUCCUUCUACAGAACAUAGUGAUAUGAGCUUCGGGGCAGCUAGUUCCAUUAUAUUUUUCAAAUUCAGGCAUUUUGAAUUUGGGAGGAAGUACUAAGUCUGGGACUAAGCUUAGAUCUUUAGCAUCAAUUCCCUGAUUACUAUCAGUGCUUUCCAAGGCUUUAAAUUUUUCGUCCAACCAUUUAUACCUAUCUUCCCAUUGUUUUGACAAUUCCGCGUUCGCCUUUCCUUCUUCAGCUGUUUCAUCAAAAUCUGGGACGGUAAGAUUAACUUGAUUAUCACCAGGGUUAGGACCUGAUCCGGCCAAAAAUUUUAUCGGUAUUGAAACAUCGGUUUAAAACCGCUGAGGCCCAAUUGAAACAGAGGAUCUGCGCAGAGGUACCUCGGUCUUAACUUGCGUAUGCAGAGGCGUAAAGCCUGGAGGAUAGAUAGGUCUAUCCUUGUCUUCUUCUUCAUCAUUUACCAUAGGACCUUUCCCCUUAUUUACUCCUUUAGUCAGUAGAUGGGUCAAUUCAGCCAUCGCAUCUUUUUGAGCCUUGAUCAAAUUUUCCAUCAUGUCUUCUAGGAUUUUAUCUAGCCGCCAUUGCAUUUGUACUUGUAACUGUUCUUGCAUAUCCUGUUGCAUUUGCUUCAAUUUCUCUAAUCUUUGAUCCAUUUCCUUAGUUUUGCGACGAGUACCGUAAGGAUGUUUGGUUGGUUGGUUGGUUUUCCAGAUUAGCUGAAAUAAAUUUACUCUAUUAGACUCUUUCAAUGAAUUUUAAUGCAUAUCAUGCAGAUGUAUGAAAUGCAUGCCUAAAGAGACGUUGAUUCUGAUUCAAUUACAUUUAGGAAAAUUUUCUAGAAGACAAAUUUCUUUACAUAAAGCGGAUAUAUAUACGGCCUCGCCCUUAUAUUCCAAGAGACAACAUCGAUCCCCUCCUAUAUGUUAAAUCUUGCUAGUUUCCAAUGAAUGUCUCUUAUUGCUCCUUUUCUUGAUCCUGGUCGCGAUCCAUCAUCUGCCCAUCUUCAUAGAGCUCGUUAGCUUCUUCAAGGGAGUUGAAACGUUGAAGGCCCUUGGACAAUCGUCUCGAACCUUUAGGCCACAAAGCAGAGGUCACGAACUCUUUUAUCACCCUUCUUGUGUUUCUCAGAAUAUAUUCAAACAGCCAUAUUAUUUUCCACUUUAUCGAGGAAUCCGUAUUACAUGACAAGCUUUCUAAGUUAGUAACCAAACUUGAAUCAAUAUCUAUUUCCUAAGAUGCAAAUGCAAUGCAAUCAUAAUCAAAACAAAACAAGAUGGGUUAGUACAAAACAGAAGCAAACAAGGAAAACAAAAAUACCUAGUCAGGUGACCACUAGGGGUUUGGAAUGGCUCUACCUAGGAUGGGUUCCUAAGGUCUUCUAUAUGCGGUUUGGCUCUAAAGUUAAGGUACCCGAACCAGCAGAUUCCUCGAUCUUCACCCAUUAUAGACUCAUACAGAUCGAGUUCGGUUCAGGGGAAUACAUUUCCCUAUGGCUGCACGGAGAUAAAAAUCUCACGAAGACAUAGGUACAGAUGUAUCUCGAAAGUGAUCCACUAUCCUGCACGGAGGUGAAAACCUCACGAAGGAGUAGCUUCUCACUCCCACUUAAAAGGGGAAGACAAAACAGUCUUUAUGCAAUAUGAUGCCAAGAUAUAGAGCUCAAUUUACAGUAAUCAUGCAAACAAAUGCAAAGAGAAUAUCGUAAUUUUUCAAAAUCAAAUUUUUAAUUUUCAACAAUAAGACAAAAGACAAUCAAUUUUGCGGCUUGACUCUUGAAUUCCCCAGUGGAGUCGCCAAGCUGUCGAAACCAUUUUUUAAAUUAGAAAAAAGGGGGAUCAACUUUGAAAAUAUAAUGGGAGUCGCCACCGAUCUUUUUUGAUAUGCGAUCGGAUCACCUUGAAAAUGAUUUUAGGUCUGCAAAUUUUGAUAAAACAGGUUCGGAAGUCGGUUACGCACGAGGAAGGGUUAGCACCCUCGUGACGUCCAAAAUUGGUACCGAAUUGAUUGUUUAAUGUCUUAGUAUCGAAAACUUGAAAAGAUUUUAAAGUACGAUCCCUUGAAUGAAAUGAAUUGGAUGAUGAGACUCAUUUAUUUCAAAGACAUAGAUUGUCACACCCAGUAAGUUAGAGUGUAACAUUUUAAAUCCGCGAAAUUAAGUUUAUCUCUUAACUUUUAAAACUUAUGCAUUUUGAGAAGGAUAUCUGAUUAUUUGGGUCAAAUGAGAGAAUCGAAACCCAGUAAGUUAGGGUUCGAUUUCACAAAAUCCCUAAAUAUCGAACAUUGCCUUUAUUUUCAUUUGUUAGAAAUCCUCGUCUCGAGAAAACAACAUGUCAUAUCCAAUGCGUUAGGACACAACGUAUUGAAUUCUCGAGAAUGAGCUUUUUAUUUGUAUGUUAAUUAAAAGAUAUUCGGAAUUUGUGAUCCUCGAAAAGAUUGUGUCCUAACUCACUAGAUUUCAAUCUUCCUCGGGAUCUAAGAAACCGAAUAUCUUUUAAUUAACAUACAAAUAAAAAGCUCAUUCUCGAGAAUUCAAUACGUUGUGUCCUAACGCAUUGGAUAUGACAUGUUGUUUUCUCGAGACGAGGAUUUCUAACAAAUGAAAAUAAAGGCAAUGUUCGAUAUUUAGGGAUUUUGUGAAAUCAAACCCUAACUUACUGGGUUUCGAUUCUCUCAUUUGACCCAAAUAACCAGAUAUCCUUCUCAAAAUGCAUAAGUUUUAAAAGUUAAGAGAUAAACUUAAUUUCGCGGAUUUAAAAUGUUACACUCUAACUUACUGGGUGUGACAAUCUAUGUCUUCGAAAUAAAUGAGUCUCAUCAUCCAAUUCAUUUCAUUCAAGGGAUCGUACUUUAAAAUCUUUUCAAGUUUUCGAUACUAAGACACUAAACAAUCAAUUCGGUACCAAUUUUGGGCGUCACGAGGGUGCUAACCCUUCCUCGUGCGUAACCGACUUCCGAACCUGUUUUCUCAAAAUUCGCAGACCUAAAAUCAUUUUCAAGGUGAUCCGAUCGCAUCUCAAAAAAGAUCGGUGGCGACUCCCAUUAUAUUUUCAAAGUCGAUCCCCCUUUUUUCUAAUUUAAAAAAUGGUUUUUACAUUUAUUAUAUACUAUUAUUUUGGAUUUAUCACGUAUGAUUAUUCUAGAAUUAUCAUCAAAAUUUUUAAAUUUUAUAUGUAUUAUUAUUUCAAAUUUAUUAUAUAUUAUUUAUUGUAAAUUAUCCAAUUCAUUUCAAAUUGUAGAUAUUAUUUGUAUUAAAUUGUACAUUCAUAUAUAUUAUUUGUUUUAAUUCAUGUAUUGUUUUAAACUUCGUUCAUAUACGUACUAUUUAUUUUGAAUUAUACAUAUUACUUAUUUUUUAUAUUACUUUUCUAUAUAAUGUAUAUUCUAAUUUUUCUUCAUACUUCAUUUGCUUAAAUAUUUUUGUAUAUUGUGUUUUAUUAGUUGUUUUAAACAAUUUAUUAAAUGAUUUAUUUCAAUUCAUUUCACGUAUUCAUUUUAUCUUAAAUUGAUUUGCAUAAUAGAUUUUUUUAGCCUAUAACUUCAUGUUGUUUUAUUUAUGUACCCUUUCUUUGGAAUUAAGUUUGUUUUAUAUAUUAUUUCGAGUUCGAUAAUUAUUCUACCCAUGUAUAUUAUUCCAUGUUCAGACAUUUACUUUUCAGUUCCGAACAUUACAUCAUAGUUAAAAUUUUCGAUUUAUUUGCCAAAAUUUGAUUAUUUCAUUUCUUUUCAUCUCAAAUAAAUCAAGUUUAUAUCAUUGUUAAUAUUGCAUUAAACCUUCGCUUUGAUCCAAUUUCGUAAAAAAGGGAAAAUGAAGUUUGCAAUAUGUCGUCUUUGGAACGAUGAGAAAUCGUGCUCUAACUUACGGGGUUUCGAUUUUCUCAUUGAACUAAAACGACUAAACAUUUUAGUUUUCAAAUGCACAAAGUUUCAAUAAAGAUUUUUUAAAAGGUUAGCUUAUGCUCGGGAAUUCAAACGUUGCAUCUUAACUUACGGGAUACGACAUCUUGUUGCCUCGGGAUGAGAAAUCCUUUUACAUUCGUUCAAAUCUAUCCAAACAUUGUUUUAAAAUAUGGCAUUAAUAAAAGGGGAAUCGUUUCUAAUCUUUUCAAAUUUUUUAUGUUAGACUUUAAGACAUUAAUAAAUCAAUUCGGUACCAAUUUUAGGCGUUACGAGGGUGCUAACCCUUCCUUGUGCGUAACCGACUCCCGAACCUAUUUUCUCAAAAUUCGCAGACCUAAAAUCGUUUUUAAGGUGAUCCGAUCACACUUCAAUUAAAUAUCGGUGGCAAGUCGACCCUGUUUUUUCAAAAUAAAAAUGGUUUCGACAUGAUGAAUGGCGUAAGCCAUUAUCUAGGUCUACUUAAUACGACGGCUUGGUUUUGUCGGCCGAAAGGAAAUUACCUUAUGGGUUUUGCUUCGCCCAAAUGCUAGCAAAGUCUUUGUACGCAUUUGUUUGAUUGGAAAAGUGAGAAAUAGAUGAACAUGGUAAGCACAAAUUCUAGACAUUACCAUAUCACCUAUAAAAUUUAGUUAUCUUUUUAAUUUCUUUUGGCGUAUUAUGAAAAAAAAAAAAAAAAGUAAAUUUCUAACAACGCCGUGAUUAACACGACUAUUGGCUGUAAUUUUCAAAGGACAUGAACCUUGAAGAGGGACAAGUGUAGUCUCUUGAUGAUAAAUGUGUUGACUGUCAACUUGCAAAACCCAGAUUACCAUAACAGAUGCAAAAUCUGAUCGGUGAACAUAAGAAAAUGGAGACCAUGGGAAAACUUCUAAUCCUGCUUACAGCUUUUUUAUGCCUCUACCUCUUCGUUGCUUUGCUCAAUGUUUUCUACAAGUAUUGGUGGAUACCUCAACGGGUACAGUUCAUCAUGAAUUCACAAGGAAUCAGAGGACCUCCUUAUGAAUUUAUCCAUGGAAACAACAAAGAAGCUGCCCAAAUGUCCAUGGAAGCAUCUACCAAACCUAUGGCCUUGACGCACGAUAUAUUUCCCAGAGUCGUGCCUCAUGUUUACUCCUGGAUCAACAAAUACGGUUAGAAUAUUUUUUUCUUUUUUCUUUUUUGGGUAGUAUUUUCUAACUAACCUCCACUUUCCAUGAAGAGAAAUCGUUUUCUUUCAGGGAAGACUUAUCUUAGUUGGAAUGGAAUUCGAGGUCAACUGCUAAUUUCAGACCCAGAUCUAGUCAAAGAGGUCCUUAAAAACAGUGACAAAGCUUUUCGAAAGCCAAAGAUUUCAUAUUUCUUCGACAAGCUAAUAGGCGAUGGGCUUGCUUCAACCGAACGUGAGAAAUGGGCAAGGCAAAGGAAACUGGCCAAUUAUGCCUUUCAUGGGGAGAGCUUAGAAGUAAAUCAUCUCUACCUUCUAAUCUAAUUAUUGUAGUGGGACAUUUACAAACUUGAUAAUUUUUUGCAGAAUAUGACUCCAGCAGUAGUUGCUAGCGUUGAAACCAUGCUUGAGAAAUGGAAAAGUAAGGAGGGCAAAGAGAUAGAAGUGUUCCAAGAGUUCAGAUUAUUGACUUCAGAAGUGAUAUCCAGAACCGCCUUUGGUAGCAGUUACUUGGAAGGGGAGAAGAUUUUUGACAUGCUGAUGAAGUUGACAGUAAUUGCGGGCAGAAAUAUUUUAAAAGCAAAGAUUCCCAUCAUCAGGUAACUUCAUCAAAUCUUUACUUUGUUAAUCAACAUACUUCAGCUUACAAUGGGUUGAUUUAAUCUGGUUGUCCUUUUCAGCAAGUUUUGGAAAUCUGCUGAUGAAAUUGAAUCAGAAAGAAUUGCCAAAAUGAUACAUGAUUCUGUGAUGAGGAUUGUUAAAAAAAGGGAAGAGAGAGUAGUGAACGGAGAAGCUGAUAACUUCGGUCGUGAUUUUCUGGGAUUACUUGUAAAUGCUUAUCAUGAGGCGGACCAGAAAAACAGGCUUUCGAUUCAAGAUAUGGUAGAUGAGUGCAAAACUUUUUAUUUUGCUGGGCAAGAAACAGUCAAUUCCUUGCUUGCAUGGGCAACUCUGCUUUUAGCAAUACACACCGAUUGGCAAGACAAAGCAAGAGCAGAGGUGAUUGAGGUCUUUGGUAAUCAAAAGCCAGAUUCUGAAGGGAUGGCCAAAUUAAAGACGGUAAGCAAACUAUACAAAUUCAAUAGCUUGAAAACUAGCACUGACCAUUUAUAUUGCCUUUUGGAUUUCUUUUUCUCCAACAGAUGACCAUGAUUAUCAAUGAAACUUUACGGCUCUAUCCUCCUUUAAAUCGCGUGAUAAGAGAAGUAGGAAGAGAAGUCCAAUUAGGAAAACUUGUCCUGCCUACUCAUUUAGAGGUCGACAUGCGAAUCAUAGCACUUCACCAUGACCCUGACUUAUGGGGAGAUGAUGUUAAUCUUUUCAAACCAGAGAGGUUUGCUGAAGGGAUAGCAAAAGCUACUAAGUACAAUGCAGCUGCAUUUAUGCCUUUUGGAUUGGGAUCUCGAUCUUGCGUUGGCAUGAGCUUUGCAAUCACUGAAGCGAAAACUGCACUUUCCAUGAUUCUGCAACGCUACACUGUCACCGUCUCCCCUACCUACGUUCACGCUCCUGUACCAAGUCUUACACUCAAGCCACAACAUGGGAUGCAGUUGUUGUUUCAUUCACUACAUUAUGAUGCUUAAAAUUCUAGGCUGUUGGUCUCCAAUAUAGUAAUAUAUAAUAAAAUGUGGAUGAUACUGUAUUUUGCAACCAUACGAUGAUAUAUGGUUUGGGGAUUUCAUGUUUUGGCAACAGGAUUAUAUGCUUUUUUUUUUUUUUGUUGAUAUUGUUAAAGGUUAAAAGGGUAUUACAGCAAACAUCGCCACCGCAGGAGCAGGCCCUACAGUCCUGUGAAUAACAUAAUUAGGUGUCUUUCUUCCAUUACUACUGCAGUAGUGAGGUUUUUAUUCCACUUAGUUCCAUUCUUCCGGAGUGUCUGCUUGAAACACACACUCCUGGAGCCGGCCAUUACAUUGCUUGUUUAGCUUUCAUGGAAGGCUCGAAGCUCAUUAGACCAGAAACAUUGUUCCUUUGCCUAUGUAUCUUUUUGACAUAUUCUCUUAAGGAAGAGCUACUUAUAUCAAGGCUCCAUCUUUCUGAGUUGCAAGGCAAAAGUCCGUUCUCCAUGAAAAACCUACCCAUUUCCACUAAGUCCCCGUUCUCCUUUGCUUCUCAGAUGACUUUUGCAAUAAAAAGUCCUUUUCCCUUAAAAGCAAUGGAGAAUAGACACCAUUUUAGAAUAAUUUUUAGCUUAAAAAAAGUAUUUUUUGGUAGAUGGAGAAGUUGAAAAUUUUAACUUUUCUUCAGCCAAAAGUGAUUUUGGGUGAUAAUUUCCUUUUUUAACCUAUCUUCUCCCAAAAAAGUUUUUUUCUCUGGUUCUUUGGAGCUAAACCUAUACCCAUUUUUUUCACAUUUUCUCUUUCAAAGUUCUUUCUUCUGGUUCUUUAUUCCUCUUCUGCCGGUGAGUUUCUUUUCUUCUUCUUCUUCUCUUUAAUUAUUCAUUAUACUUUAGUUUUUAGUUGUUUUCUGAUUGUUUGAUUUUUAUAGAAAUUUUACAGAAAUUAAUUGACUGAUUUUACAGAAAUUCUAUCUCCUUAAAAUCAUUUUAGAAAGUUUCAGAAGAUUACAGGAAACAAAGAAGCAAAAGAAACACAAAGCAAAAUAUUAUUAUUAGUAAUGCAUGCGAUUAGAAUCAUGAAAAGUAACUCUUCCAAAAGAAAAAAAAAGAGGGAAAAUUCUGGCUUAGUUGUAUGGUCAAAGCAAAAAAAAAAAAAAAAAUCCCCCAAAACUUCAAAGGAGUGUCAAACAUGAACUCUGAGAUGUGUAGGCCCUACCAUUUAAAAGUUCAAACAGGAAUCUUUGUUGACUUGGUUGGGACUUAAACAAACUAAAAGAUUCAAGUUAUGUUGCUUACAUUGAUUCUUUGAGUCAUUGUAAGCAUGGAGAUAAUCACUGAUCAAAUAAGGAGGCAUAAAUAGCACUUACGGUGUCAUUGUUGCCUCUUUUGCUUUACUGCUUUGCUCUGUUUUGUGCCUCUGCUGCUUUGCUCUGCUUUGCUUUACUGAUUGUUAGAUACCCAGGAGUGUUUAGAGUUAAACCUACAGGCCCAAACUAUUUUAGUUGAUGAAAAUAAAAGAAAUAUAGACUAAAUAUUUGAAUAUUUAAUAGAUUAAAUACUGAUUGUUUUACUGAUUAAAUACUAUUUUAGAGUUUACUGAUUACUUUACUGAUUGCUAGAUCCCCAAGAGUGCAUAUCAAUUUGGUUGCCGAUACAUAUUACGCUCUAUUCACUUCUAUAUGAUAGAUUGAAUAUUUAAAGGAGAGAAUAAUACUAAACUUAACUAUAGACUUUAAGUGCAUAUUGAGAGGAGACUGCUAUAAACAUGCAUUAGAGGUUGAUUAGAAAAAUAGAGCAAUUUUGAGUAAUGGAGAUCUAAGUCACAUAGAGAAUUCAAUUAAUAAUAGAUGAAGAGAGUUAUGGACCUGCUAAACUGUUAGGAUUGUCUUCAGAUCACUGAACCACCAAGCAAUUCUUAUUGAUCUUAUACCUGAAAAGACAUUAAUGAGUUCCAACCUGUCUCUACAGGCACAAGUAUGAACAAAUACAAAAAAAAAAAGGAAAAAAAAAAGGAAUUUUAAUUUAUACCAAUGCAUGCUGGGAAAUAUAUGCCUUCAUUCAAUAUAAGAGCUAAUAUACACAACCACUGCCUACAACUAUAUGCAUGGUCAAGCAAAUACUUUAUCAGUAUACAUACAUAGGCCCUAACAAUUUGAAGGCCAUACAUGCUAUAACCCACAUGCAGAGUGUUGUUCAUCACAAAAAGGAAUGCAAAUAGUAAAGUUUAAUACCAAUUUUUAACCCUUUGAAAUGUCGGUAACAUAUCAACAAAAGUGAACCUUCAACAAAAAAGAUGCCACUAACCUCUCCACAAAAUAGGAUGCAAUAGAACCAGUAACAGCAUGUGCAGGAGCUAGCUUUCCAAGCUUUUCCUCCAAACCUGGAGUUGUAGCCUGUAAUAGAAUUAAAGUUCAACAAUACCAUUAUUCAUUGAUUAACAUCGAAAAUAACAACCUUAACAUAAGAAAAAUCAAUGAAAAAAUUCAAAGAUUGAUAAAUAAACUACAAACCUCCACUGCAGCUUUAGACCAAGCCCUUUGCUUUAUAUCCAUCAAGUUCAUCCCUACACCAUCAGUUGUAUCAAUACAAGCAUAAGCCCCUAAGAAUAGACAUGCCAUGAAAGAGCUAACAAGAGAGAUCCUCUCAGUGUCCUCAUAAGUUUCUUGUUGUGUCUCAAAUAUCUUCCGAAUUUGUGGUCCUGUAUAUCUCUCAUAAGCAUGAGAACCAGUAAUUUUAGACAACUCCAAUGCACCACUGACAGCUUUCUUUAUUUCUAUACACUGAGCAGUUGUGCUGCAGUCCAUCCAUAUCGGUGAUUCCUUCGGUUGCUUAUAGGCUUUAUAGGCUUACAAGAGUUAGUGUCUUAUAUGCUUAUUGUUGUCUUAACAUACCAAGGAGUUACUCUUCCUACAUUAAAAUGCCUGUAAAUCACAAGGAAAUGUUGUUGAUUGAUAAGUCAUUCAUUAUGCCUCUCGUUUGUUGUUACACUGCUAAUUUUUUAUGCUUUUGUUUUCUGUAAUGUGUAAGCUAUUAAAACUACAAUAAUAACGAACGCAAAAUGAUUGAAUGAAAUACUGUAAAUCACAGUAUGCUUUUUUUUUAUGCUUUAUCCUUAAGUUGUUUCCAUGCACUGCCCUGCUUUGUUUCCUUUCUACCAAUUGAUUUCAUGACAUAAAUGUACUAUAAAAAUUAGUAUAUAUGAGUGAACUCAUUUGAUUUAUUUAUUUGACGUUUCCAAUUUUCCAUAAAUAUCAGUAGUUGCAUUUGUCUCCAAGUACACUUUAGGUUUUUUCAAUUAUAAAUUCUUUAUUCUAUGGAUGAGAAUGGAUUUUUGAGUGAAUUUAUUGAUAAAAUCAGUAGUUAGUACAAUAUCUUUUGUAAAUGAUUGAUUUGGUUUAAUUUAUUUCCCCUUGACCUUUUUGUGAUUCAAGUGAUAGCUUUGCUCCUGCAGUUCUGUCUUUGGUUCUAAGGUUUCAUUUGUGAAUGUUAUUUGAAUCAAUUUAAUAUAGUAGUAUGGUAUUUUUGUGUUCUGUUGCAGGUUCUUUUCACCUACAAUAAACUACUUGACUUCAAAAGGGCACAAUCUUUACCUACCCUUGGUUCUUGGACUUGACAAAGUAAAUCCCAGGUUUGUGAGCUUAUUACGUUUCUUUCAUUGCUUCUGCCUUGGAUUCUGAAUAGUUGGAUAUAGUUAAUAUUUUGAUACACAUGUAAACAAAUAUACUUAUGUGACAUUUGAUUUUCUUGACUGCUUAACUGGCUGAAACGGAUCUAUUCGUAUACACAAUAGAUGAGUACUUCGGCAGUUGAAGUUAGUGGUGAAAAAGUAAAAGCAAUGUGGGAUAAGAGAUUGACAGAAAUAUUUUGUGAUAUUUGUAUUAAAGAGAUACUAAAAGACAAUAGGCCUGGUACUCAUUUCACAAAAGAUGGAUGGUUGAAAAUAAUGACCAACUUUGAGAAAGAAACGGGCAAGUGUUUUUCACAAAGACAACUUAAAAAUAGGUGAGAUGCCCUAAAAAAAGAAUGGAAAGCUUGGAAGAAACUUAAAGGCGACGAUAAUGGUCUAGGGUGGAAUCCUAUAAAAAGAACCGUUGAUGCAUAAGAUGAUUGGUGGGAGAGUAGGAUACAAGUACAUUGAUAAUUCUAAAUAUUUUUUGUUUUUUUUUCUUAUUUAUGAGGUUAUUGAUAAUUACUGUUAUUAAACUAUCAUUUUAUAUGUAGGUUGUGCCUGAAGCUCAAAAAUUUAGAACAUCGGGCAUUGAUCCUGAAUUCAAAGGGAAGUUGGACCAAAUGUUAAUGGGGAUAGUUGCAACAUGUGGUAAAGCAUGGGCACCAGGUGAUAAAGUAUGGGCACCUUCUUCUGGUACACUCCGUAGUGAUUUUUUUGAGGAUGUUAACAACGAAAUACCUAAAGAGAAUGAAGAAGAAAAUAUCAGAAAUGAUGUUCACAUUUUAAAUGAUGUUCACAUUUCAAAUGAUGUUCAAUUUGAUGGAAACGAUCAAAAAAGAAAAAAUCCUGAGAUAUCAAUGUUGACACCAUUUUUUUGAUAAAACGGGAUCGACUUAGGUUUUAGAAACGAAAACGAAAACGGAAGUCUCCACCAAUCCUUUUUGAUGAGGUGUGAUCGGGUCACCUCGUAAAGUGGUUGUUUUUAAUAAACAAUUUGAUUUUUAUGAAAAACAACGAUUUUGGUCCACGAAAUUCAGAAAAAUGGGUUUGGGAGUCGAUUACGUACGAGGAAGGAUUAGCACCCUCGUAACGCCCAAAAUUGGUACCUAGUUGAUUAAUUAAUGUCUUAGUGUCGAAGAUUGAAAAUUUUAAAGAAAUUUAAAAUACGAUCUUUUAUUGAAAUGUUGAAAAUUUUCGGGAAAGGCAUAUUUCACGUUAAUCGAGAAAGAGAAUUAUAUCCAAUAAGUUAGGACAUAAUGUCUUGAAUUUCUGAUACGCGAAUGAAUACCAAAAAUCUGCUUAUUUAAAAGAUAUUUAGCUAUCUCGGUUUCAAAAAAGAGAUCAUGCCCAGUAAGUUAAGACAAGAUCUUUUCUUAAUUCCCGAGAUCAUUUAAAACUUUGUUUGAAAUGAUUCGCGUAUUUAGAUUUAUCGAGAAAAUUGAAACCCCGUAAGUUAGGGUAUAAUUUUUCGAAUAUCAAAAUACGAAAAAUAAUUUUUGAUAUAUCGAGUAAAGUAAAACACGAUGUCGUAAAAAAUGCGAAAACAAAUUAUAUAGGAUACGCAUACGAAACAAUAAUGAAUAUGAAAGUGUAACAUAAUACGAAUGAUAGUGACAAAAACAUGAUAAAAAGGACGAAUCAAUAGCAUGCCAAAUAACUAGUGUAUAAGCAAAAUAAAAGUGAAAUAUUUUUAAAAUAAUAAUGAAAGCGUGAAUAAAUAGAUAAUAAUUGAAUUAUAAUUAUAAAAAAAAAGCAAUAGGAUAUAUGUAUAUGUAUAUGUAUAUGUAUAUGUAUAUGUAUAUGUAUAUGUAUAUAAAGUAUAAGAUAUAAUAAGGAAUAUGCAAGCAUGUAUAUAUAUAUAUGAAAAUUAAAAAUAUGUAUAUAAAGAUAUAUAGAUAAAUAAGAUAUAAAGUAUAUAGAUGUGAAAAUGAAAAAAUACGUAUAUAAAGAUAUAUAUAUAUAUAUAUAUAUAUAGUAUAGAAUAUAAUAAGUAUAUANNNNNNNNNNNNNNNNNNNNNNNNNNNNNNNNNNNNNNNNNNNNNNNNNNNNNNNNNNNNNNNNNNNNNNNNNNNNNNNNNNNNNNNNNNNNNNNNNNNNCAAAAGUAAAGAAUAUUCAAUUGAAAACACAGUGAAAAGCGGAAGGAAUAGGGUAGCAAUUAUACCCUAGUCACAAAACACGCGGAUCCUUCAGGUAAUGGGUCGGGUCACGCGUGGGUCGCGCGAAACGGCGCCGUUUUGGCGCUGAGGCCCCCAUGUGAAACAACGACGUUUUUCAUUUGGUAUAAAUGUUUAAAAAAACCCUAAAAAAUUAGAUUCAUCCCCUUUUUUUAAAAAAAAAAAUCAGAGAGCCAAAGCUCUCUCUCAAACCCCAAAUCUGUCCACAGUUGCCGGCUGUCCGUCCAUCGGACUGGCGCCGUGGCCGGUGGCCGACGACGGACCAAAUGUGCUUUUGAGCCCCGUUUUCGACGAUUUGAAGGCCAAUCCUUCUCAACCAAGAAGAAAACCGAAAGAAAAGACCCUCACCCCCUUUUAAGGCCGAUUUUGACGACGGAGAGAGGAUCCCCGACAACGUGGCCGCGGGACAUCUCAGGUGAGCCUUUAUUUUUCCUUUUUAUCUUUGUAGGUAGAAAUAAAAAUAAAUAAACAAAAAAAAAGUCAAGAACAAAAUAAAUAGAAAUAACAACCGAAAAUCACCUUUGAAGUUUUGUUUUUUUUAUUUAUUUUCUAAUAUGUCUGUAGUAAAAAAAAUACAUUGACUUGGUGAUGGCUUUUUCUAGCCGAAAUUGAUACAACAUUUUUUCUUUGUUUGUUGCUUGCGUUUUUGUUCUUUUCUUGCAGGUGAUUGACGGGCGCAAGUGGCAGAGGCGAUGAAGUGACCGUGGCGGUGGCGGCAGGUCAAGUGUGAGAAGACCCUAGGUGCGGCGCACCUAGGGUUAGGGUUUCCAGACCCUUUUUCUUGCUUUGGGCCGUGGGAAAUUGUGUUGGGUUGUAUUUGGGUCCGUUUGGGUUAGGGGUAGAUUUGGGCUUACUUUUGGUUUGGGUUAUUUUGUGUUUUAUUUGUUUGUAAUGGCCCCGGGUGAAAUUGGGCUUCUACAGCUGCCCCUCUUUGCUCGUUGUCGUGUAACAAGAACAGAGCAAAGACUAAGAAAGACCAAUUUCGCCCGGUCUCGUUAAUGCUCUAGUGCUUCUCUUCUUCAAGUAGCCUCCUUCUAAUCCACUGUGUCUUGUUGCUUUGAUCUACUCCACUGCACUUCAGAGAGAUACGACUUGCAGCUUCAAUCCACUCUGCUGCAACUUCAGGGGGACGAGAUUCGUGGUUUUAGUCUGCCCUACUGCAACGUCAGGGAGAUAAGACUUGAUGUUUCAACCUGCUCCACUGUGACUCUAGGGAGAUAAGGUCUUAAUAUGAUAAGAUCCAUUAUCAACAGUCUGCUCCACUACGACUUUAGGGAGAUAAGACUUGUAGUCGGUCUUCAAUUUGCUCCACUACUUCUUCAUGGAAAUAAGACUUAUAUCUUCAACCUGCUCCACCGCAACUUCGGGGAGAUAAGGUUUGCUAUCUUCAGUCUGCUCCACUGUAACUUCAAGGAGAUAAGACUCGUAAUGUCAACCUGCCCAACUGCAACUUCAGGGAGAUGAAGUUUGAUAUGAUCUACUCUACUAUAACUUCAGAGAGAUACGAUCAGUAAUUUAUAACUUCAAUCUGUUCCACUGCAACUUUAGGGAGAUAAGAUUCGUAAUUUCAACCUGCCUCACUGCAACUUCAGGGAGAUGAUGUUUGAUAUGAUCUGCUGUACUAUAAUUUUAGAGAGAUAAGAUAUGUAGUUUAUAGCUUCAAUCUGUUCCACUGCAACUUCAGGGAAAUAAGACUCGCUAUCUUUAGUCUGUUCCACUGCAACUUCAGGAAGAUAAGACUCGUAAUUUCUAAUAAAGUCCGAUGUGAUCCGUUCUACUGCAACUUCAGAGAGAUAAGAUUCAUCAUUUUGACCCGCUCCACUGCAACUUCAGGGAGAUAGGACUUAUAUCUUCUACUUGCCCUACUGGAACUUUAGGGGGAUAAUGUUAGUAACUUCAACCUGCUCUACUGCAAUUUUAGAGAGAUAAGGUUUGUUAUUUCAAUCUACUCUACUGCAACUUCAGAGAGACAGGGUUUGUAAUUUAUAGCUUCCAUCUAUUUCACUACAACUUCAAUGGAAUAAGACUUGCUAUCUUCAGUCUACUCUACUGCAUCCUCAGCAAGAUAGAACUUGUGGCUCCAAUAAAGUCUGAUGCGAUCUGUUCUACUACAACUUCAGAGAGAUAAGAUCCAUCAUUUUAACCUGCUCCACUGCAACUUCAGGGAGAUAAGGUUUGUUAUCUUCAACCUACUCCGCUACUACUCAGGGAGAUAAGACUAGUGAUUUCGAUCUGCUUCACUGUCAGUACAGGAAGACAAGAUCUACAACCUUCGACCUACUUCACUGCUACUCAGGGAGAUAAGACUAGUGGCUUAAAUUUGCUUCCCUACUACCUUGGGAAGAUAAGAUUCGCCGUCUUCGAUCUGCUCCACUACUGCUUAGGGAGAUAGGAUCUGUAAUUUUCAACCUACUCUGCUACUGCUUAGGGAGAUAAGGCUAGUGCUUUCGAUCUGCUUCACUGCCAGUACAGAAAGACGAGAUCUGCUACUCUUAGUCUACUCCGCUGCAAACUCAGAGAGGUCAGGCUUGUGUCUUCGAUCUGCUUCACUGCCAGUACAGGAAGACGAGAUCUGCUGCUUUUAGUCUGCUCCGCUGCAAACUCAGGAAGGUUAGGCUUGUGUCUUCAAUCUGCUUCGCUGCCAGUACAGGAAGAUGAGAUCUACUGCUUUUAGUUUGUUCUGCUGCAAACUCAGGGAGGUCAGGCUUGUGUUUUCGAUCUGCUUCGCUGUCGGUACAGAAAGACGAGAUCUGCUGCUUUUAGUCCAUUCCUCUGUAAUUUCUGAGAGAUAGGACUUGAUAUGACGACUUCAAUUCAUCUCACUGCAACUUCAGGGGUAUGGGAAACUUCAUUAAUAUGUUCUUUGGGGAACAUGACCUGUAAAGUCCAUUUUAUAAACCUAUUUAUGCCUAAUGAUUAGGAUGUUAUGAUCAGAACGAAUCAGAUUCUCCUAACUAGGUGUGUGUGAAUUAUAUUUGCAUGAAUGCAGAAUGUUAUGAGAAUGAUCCCUUUUUUAAUGUUAGGGUUGUCAUUGCUCGUUAUUCAUUAAGGCUCCAUUACCAACACGUCAGAAUGCCAUCUUGUUUGGCUGGUAGCACUCAUCUCUUACUUAAACGGAUUGCCCCCACUAUAAUCUUCAAAGUUCAAUCUGUUGUAAUCUUCAAGGCUAAGUCCACGGUAAUUUUUGGACAUAAAAUUUGAGCCAUCUUCCUUCCACUGAGUAAAAGAUCUGGCUCUUUCUCAAUCCUCUCCCACUGUAAUUCAGGGAUACAGGAUCUGAAUCUCUUUGGUCUCUUACACCAUUCUUAGGGUGUCGUACCAAAUAUUUAUGCACAAUUGUAGAACUUUCUCUUCUAAUAAACCUCUUUUUAUCACUCUGUGAUCAUUACUCAUUUGUUCAUUGAAGUUUUGUCACCAGCACGACAUUUUUCGUUUUGUUCAAUCUAUGCUUAGACAACAAAAUCCGAAGGGAUAGUCUUAAUUUAGACUUUUCCUUCUUAGACAUUUCACCCUUUAAACUUGGUGUACUCUAAACAAUAGUCAUGUUUCAGGUUCCUGUAUUGUUUAGAAGCUUUCAGAGUAAUAUGCAAAACUUCUUUUGCUUGAAUAUUAACAGCCCAUUAAUCUUUAUUUCAAUGGAAAAUGCUUGAAAAGAUUAUCACAAUGGGAAAGAUGAAAUUUUAUUGAGAGUAGAGCUCUAAACAAAUAAAUUAAUCAGGAUAGAAAAUUUUGCUAAGAUUCAAAAUGAAUAAGAUGAAAAGGAUUAUUACAAUGGAUAAGAUGGAAUUUUAUUGAGAACAAAGCUCGAAAUAAAUAAAUAAUCAAGAUAGCAAAUUUUUCUAAGAUACGAAAUGAAUAAGAUGAAAACAGGUGCCCCAGAUAUCACAGUAUGAGCUUUUCUGCAUAAGCUUCUUGAGGACCAUUUUGAACUUGAUAUGUGUCUAGAAGUCCUAAAAGACUUUGUUGAUGUCCCAAGAUGUAGCGUCUCACCUUCUUGCUAAUUUAGAGAGGACAAGGCCACCGCAUGUCCCACCUUUGAUCAAAAUUUAAACUGCCCAUUCCUGGGUUUUCAAUUCAAAACCCCUUUGGUCUCAAGGUGCCCUUUGUGGGUUUUCACCUUGGCCUCUCAUUCUUCUUUUCUUUUCUUUUUCCUUUCUUUUUUCUUUUCUUUUUUUUAACAUUCUUUGAUUGAAUUCGCCCUCGUAGGAUCAGGUAAGUCAUUGCUAUCCUUUCUAGUCGAAAUCAACACUUCUCCAGAUAAAGCCUUCAACAUAAGGUUCUUUUCAGUUUGAUAUCCUCUUUCUUCUAAAGUUCUUUUUGUAUGGAGAGGAUUUUCUUCGAUAUUAGGUCUCCUUCAUAGAAUUCUCUAGGGCGAACCUUCUUUGGUGAGCUCACGUCUUUUUUUUGUGGAUUUGACCAAGAUAGAUAACUUUGAACACUUCUCUUCAAUCGAGAUCUGAUCCAACACUCGAAGAGAAGGAAUCUUGACCUCAAUGAGCAAAACUACGAUGAGCCAAUGUGUUGCCCCGGCAGUAGUUUUUCCUCUCAUUUUUGUUUUGUUUUGUUUUUUAUUUUUGUUUUUUUUACUCCCACUGCGCCGUGCAUUUUGGGGCAAAAUGUGUUAAUCUUGAACAGACUGUAAACUUAUGACAUUGUGCUGUUGUUCAAUUUUAGUGCAUUGUUAGAUGUGCUUCUUUUUGGCAUUUCAAAUUGACACGUGAUUUUUCAAAAAUUCGCAGACUGUUGACCUUGCGACAUUGGCAUAUGAAGCAGCUUUUGCCUACUUAGUGAGGUAAUUGAUGACCAAAAAGAUAACCGUCAAAAACCUUAGGUAAGAUCAGCCUUAUGACAUUUGUGUCCCACGUAGAGAAAGGGCAUGGCUUCUAUUGAUUCUGUGUAAAAUAGAAUCUUGUUAUCUCGUUUUUAACAAAUCAGGAGAUAAGUUACAAUCUCAGUUAUCUCCAAAGGCUUGAGGUUUAAUCUGGACACAUAUCUUGCUCAAAAGGAGGUUCUGAAUCAAUAGUAGUGUUGCUCAUAUCAUUGAUAUUUAGAGACCUGUUAUAGGACGAAAGUAGAUCCAAAGAAUAAAAGAAUCUAAAAAUAUUUAUCUGUAUCGUAUGAUUAUGAAAUGGAAAAAAUAAAAGAAUAUUUGCCCGAAGUGAGAAACAAAGAUGCAUUUUAUUGAAAUAAAGAUGUUGGACAUAAGCCUAUCUCACAAAAGGAUUCUUAUUACCCCUAGGCUUAGAGAAAUAAGUGUGUUUUGGACAUUACUCCGAAUUAGGUCUAAAAUAUACAGGGAUCUCUUUCACAGUCCCACUAUUCAAAACACUUCCAAGUCUGUUCUUUUCACCAACCCCCUUCUUGGAUAUGAUGUUAAUGCUUUGAUAGCCGGCGAUUAUGACCCUCGGUUGGCCCACAGUGACCAAUUUGGGAUAUCUUUCAUUAUAUAUACUCAAGUUGCUUACUUCAUUUUCUUUGUUCUUUAGGGUUGAUCCUCUGACGCUUUCUCCCGUAUCUAUCUUCCCACUUCUUAUGGCAUUUUCACUCAUCUUGCCAGACAUUACCAUAUCUGAUAAGCUCAUGGUAGCGCUUCCCAACAUGUGGUUAAUGAAUGGGGCUUUCAAAGUGUUGACGAAAAGCAUCGUGGUUUCUUUUUCUAGAAAAGGUGGUUGGACUUAUGUCGCUACCUCUCUCCAUCUUUGGGCAUAUUGCCUGAAGCUCUCACUUUGCUUCUUUUCCAAGUUCUGUAGUGUAAUUCUGUCAGGUGCCAUGUCUGUCACGUAACCAUACUGCUUCAUGAAAGCUCGUGCCAAGUCUUUCCAUGAGUGGAUAUUGGCACGGCUCAACUGGUUGUACCAUUUUACAGCUGACCCGAUCAGACUAUCUUGGAAGUAAUGAAUUAACAGUUGAUCGUUAUCAAUGUAUCCUAUCAUUUUUCGACAGAACAUCGUGAUGUGAGCUUCGAGACAACUGGUCCCAUUAUACUUUUCAAAUUCUAAAGUCUUGAAUUUCGGUGGGAGUACUAAAUCUGGGACCAAACUUAAAUCCUUGGCAUCAACCCCGCAAUGGUAAUCAACAUUCUCCAUUGCUUUUAGUUUUUCUUCCAACCACCUAUACCGAUCUUCGAGUUGCUUUGGUAGUUCUACCCUUACUUCUGCCAUUUCGUCUAACUCAGGAAUAACAAGAUUGGUUGGAUCAUUCUUUGGAUUAGAACCUGAGCCUGUCGGAUAGUUCAUUAGCGCCGAGGUACCGGCCUGAUAUCGUUGGGGUCUGUUAGUAGUGGGUGCCCCUUGUAGAUGCGCGUCGGGUUGGGCCUGGACGCCUAUUGGGGUGAAACCUGGGAGAUAGGCAGGGUCUUCAUAUUUAUCCCCAGAAUUGGCUACAGGGUUUUUCUUUUUAUCUCUAGCUGAGAGCUGUGCUAAUUGGCUCAUCAAGCUCCUUUGGGAUUUUUGCAUGUCUUGUUGGAUAUUUUCUAGUUGUUCUUGCAUCUGGGCUUGCACCUGUUCUUACAAUUGCUCUAAUCUCUCUAGUCUCUGAUCUAUUCCUUUAGUUUUUGCUCAGAUACUGUAAGGGUGUUGGUUUUCCAGAUUAGCUGAAAUAAUUUUACUCAAUUAGGGUCUUUUAAUGGUCCUUAAUGCACAUGAUGCCAUGUAAUGCGAAUGCAUGAAUGCAAAAAAGACGUUGACUCUGAUUUAAUUCUAUUUAAAAAACUUUACUAAAAAACAAAUUCCUUUACAUAAAGCGAAUGCAUGUAUGGCCUCGCCCUCAUAUUCCAAGAAACAACAUUGGUCUUCUUCUUUAUCUGAAUGUUUAAGAUAAAUAUUGCAAAUUUCCAAUGGAUGCCACUACUAACUCCUUCUUGCUUGAUUCUGGUUGUGAUCCAUCGUCUGCCCAUCCUCGUAAUGCUCAUCAGCUUCUUUAAGGAAGUCAGAAUGUCGGUGACUCUCAAAUAAUUAGCUUGAAUUUUUGGGCCACGAAGUAAAAUGAUGUACUCUUCCAUCACCUUUCUUUUGUCGUGUUUCUUGGAAUGUAUUCGGGCAGCCAUAUUAUCUUCCGCUUUAUCAAGAAAUCCGUUUUCCAUGACAAACUUUCUAAUUUAGUAAUCAAACUUGAAUCAACACCUUUUUCUAAGAUGAAAAUGCAAUGCAAUCAUAACCAAAACAAAACGAAACAGGUUAGUACAAAGCAAAAGCAAACAAGAAAGAUAGAGUACCUAUUCGGGUAUCCACUAAAGGUUUGGAGUGGCUCUACCUAGGUAGAUUCUUAUGGCUCACUACAUGUGGUUCGAUUCUAAAGUAAAGGUACCUGAACCAACAGAUUCCUCAAUCCUCACCUAUUAUAGGCUCAUACGGACUGAGUUCAGUUCAGGGGAAUACAUUUCCCUAUGGCCAUGUGGAGAUGAAAAUCUCACGAAGACAUAGGUACAGAUGUAUCCCGGAAGCGAUUCACUAUCCCAUGCGAAGGUGAAAACCUCACGAAGGCGUAGUUUCUCACUCCCACUUAAAAGGGUGUGACCAACGGUCAUGCAAUGCAAUGUGCAGAAAUAUAUAUCUAAACUCAAAAUAACACAGUAUUUAUAAAACCACAAUGAUGAAGAUCGUAAUAAAGAUGAAUGAAAUACAAUGAAAGGAUAGUAAAUUUAAAUCAAAUUCAAUUUUUGACAAAAAGACAGAAAGUAAUCAACACGUGGCUUGACUCUCUUAUUUUGGAUCCCCAGUGGAGUCGCCAAGCUGUUGACACCAUUUUUUUGAUAAAACGGGGUCGACUUGGGUUUUAGAAACAAAAACGGGAGUCGCCACCAAUCCUUUUUGAUGAGGUGUGAUCGGGUCACCUCGUAAAGUGGUUGUUUUUAAUAAAUAAUUUGAUUUUUAUGAAAACAAUGAUUUUGGUCCACGAAAUUCAGAAAAAUGGGUUCGGGAGUCGAUUACGUCGAGGAAGGAUUAGCACCCUCGUAACGCCCAAAAUUGGUACCUAGUUGAUUAAUUAAUGUCUUAGUGUCGAAGAUUGAAAAUUUUAAAGAAAUUUAAAAUACGAUCUUUUAUUGAAAUGUUGAAAAUUUUCGGGAAAGGCAUAUUUCACGUUGAUCGAGAAAGAGAAUUAUAUCCAAUAAGUUAGGACACAAUGUCUUGAAUUUCUGAUACGUGAAUGAAUACCAAAAAUUUGCUUAUUUAAAAGAUAUUUAGCUAUCUCGGUUUUAAAAAAGAGAUCAUGCCCAGUAAGUUAAGACACGAUCUUUUCUUAAUUCCCGAGAUCAUUUAAAAAUUUGUUUGAAAUGAUUCGCGUAUUUAGAUUUAUCGAGAAAAUUGAAACCCCGUAAGUUAGGGUACGAUUUUUCGAAUAUCAAAAUACAAAAAAAAAAUUUUGAUAUAUCGAGUAAAGUAAAACACGAUGUCGUAAAAAAUGCGAAAACAAAUUAUAUAGGAUACGCAUACGAAACAAUAAUAAAUACGAAAGUGUAACAUAAUACGAAUGAUAGUGACAAAAACAGGAUAAAAAAGGACGAAUCAAUAGCAUGCCAAAUAACGAGUGUAUAAGCAAAAUAAAAGUGAAACAUUUUUAAAAUAAUAAUGAAAGCGUGAAUAAAUAGAUAAUAAUUGAAUUAUAAUUAUAAAAAAAGCAAUAGGAUAUAUGUAUAUGUAUAUAAAGUAUAAGAUAUAAUAAGGAAUAUGCAAGCAUGUAUAUAUAUAUAUAUAUAUAUGAAAAUUAAAAAUAUGUAUAUAAAGAUAUAUAGAUAAAUAAGAUAUAAAGUAUAUAGAUGUGAAAAUGAAAAAAUACGUACAUAAAGAUAUAUAUAUAUAUAUGAUAAGAUAUAAAGUAUAUAUAUAUAAAAAAAAUUAUAGACGUAUAUAUAUAUAUUAUAAAAAUGUAUGAUGGAUAUGGAUAUAUAUGUAUGUAUAACAAAACGUAUGUGUGUGUAUAUAUAUAUAGAUAACAAAAAUUUGAAAUUAAAAGGACAUAGUUGAGUAAAUAGUAAUAAUAAUAUUUAUAAUAAUAUAAUAUAAUAGUAAUAAUAAUAUGUAAAAUGAUCAAUUUAACAAUAAAUAACUAAAAUACCAAAUAAAGGGCUAGAUUAAAAACUAGGCUAGAAUAUGGGGUCAAAUCGCUAAUAAAAUAAAAGAGGGGACCUUCAUGAACGCGCACAUAACAUGGAGGGACUAAAAUGGAAAUUUUUCCUUCUCCUCCAAAACGCAUCGUUCCGGGAGGGACCGAAUUAAAAACGCAAAGAAAAAUGGGGUAAAAUUGCAAAAGUAAAGAAUAUUCAAUUGAAAACACAGAGAAAAGCAGAAGGACUAGGGUAGCAAUUAUACCCUAGUCACAAAACACACGGAUCCUCCAAGUAAUGGGUCGGGUCACACCCGGGUCGCGCGAAACGGCGCCGUUUUGGCGCUGAGGCCCCCAUGUGAAACAACGACGUUUUUCAUUUGGUAUAAAUGUUUAAAAAAACCCUAAAAAAUUAGAUUCAUCCCCCUUUUUUUAAAAAAAUUUCAAAGAGCCAAAGCUCUCUCUUAAACCCCAAAUCAGUCCAUGGUUGCCGGCCGUCCGUCCAUCGGACUGGCGCCGUGGCCGGUGGCCGAUGACGGACCAAAUGUGCUUUUGAGCCCCAUUUUCGACGAUUUGAAGGCCAAUCCUUCUCAACCAAGAAGAAAGCCGAAAGAAAAGACCCUCACCCACCUUUUAAGGCUGAUUUCGACGACGGAGAGAGAAUCUCCGACGACGUGGCCGCGGGACAUCUCAGGUGAGCCUUUCUUUUUCCUUUUUAUCUUUGUAGGUAGAAAUAAAAAUAAAUAAACAAAAAAAACUAAAGAACAAAAUAAAUAGAAAUAACAACCGAAAAUCACCUUUGAAGUUUUGUUUUUUUUUUUUUCUAAUAUGUCUAUAGUAAAAAAAAUACAUUGACUUGGUGAUGGCUUUUUCUAGCCGAAAUUGAUACAACAUUUUUUCUUUGUUUGCUGCUUGCGUUUUUGUUCUUUUCUUGCAGGUGAUUGACGGGCGCAAGUGGCAGAGACGGUGAAGUGACCGUGGCGGUGGCGGCAGGUCAAGGGUCAGAAGACCCUAGGUGCGGCGCACCUAGGGUUAGGGUUUCCAGACCCUUUUUCUUGCUUUGGGCCAUUUGGGCCGUGGGAAAUUGUGUUGGGUUGUAUUUGGGUCCGUUUGGGUUAGGGGUAGAUUUGGGCUUAUUUUAGGUUUGAGUUAUUUUGUGUUUUAUUUGUUUGUAAUGGGCCCGGGUGAAAUUGGGCUUCUACAAUCAAGUUCACAUUUUAAAACUAGAAGAAAGAAAUCCUCAAAGCACAUUAGAGGGGCUGCAAGAUUGUCCAGUCAAAUAGACAAAUUAUGCAAUGCAGCUGACAAUAUGAGUCAAGCCACAUCUAGUUUGACUCCUAUUAUGGAUCCAUAUGGUAUUCCACAAGCAGAUAAAAUGCUUGACAACAUGUCGAAAGAAGUUCCAAAAGCUAGUCCGCUAUACUUUUUCGCACUUAAAUUAUUGCUCAAGAAGGACAAGUGAAUUAUGUUUUUAUCAAUUAAUCCCAAGAUUAGAGCUUUGUGGCUUAAGACGGAAAUGGAGGAUAGUUGAAAAUUUUCUGAUCUUCUAGGGUUCAGAGAUAUCUAUUAUGUGACUAAACAACAAUGCUAAACUAGUUUUAUCAAUAGUUAUUUAUGUUUGGUUUUUGGAUAUUGAAUUUAUGUUCUACUUAUUUAUAUGUAAUCUAGUUUUAUCAAUGGUCGUUUAUGUUUGGUUUUUGGAUAUUGAAUUUAUGUUCUACUUAUUUAUGUAUAAUCUAGUUUUAUUAAUAGUUGUUUAUGUUUGGUCUUUGGAUAUUGAAUUUAUGUUCUACUUAUUUAUACUAAAUUAGUUUUAUCAAUAGUUGUUUAUAUAUGAUUUUGGAUAUAAAAUUUAUUCAUAGGUGAUAAGUAUAGUUAAGGAUUACAGCGGUGAUGAAAGUGAUGAUGAAAGGGAAAAGAAAGAGAUUUUACAACGCAUGGAAUGUUUUAACCAAUUAUUUGUUGUUGCAUCUUAUUCCUUGCAAUUAUAUUACGAGAAGUAUAUAUUGAGGCAACCAUGCAUGGAUUCUAAACAGUCAGGUGAGACAUGGAUCCGAGAGAUUCUUGACUGUCACAAAUCACGUUGUAUGAUUAAUUCACUACACCAAAACAGGAUUUUAGCGGCACUUUUAGUGGCGCUUGAACAAAAAAUGCUGGUAAAAAUCAAGCAUUAGCAGCGCUUUAUGGAAAUCGCCACUAAAAACCAAAGCCCAACGGUGUCGUUUUCUUACCUUUCGGGGCUUUAGCGGGUUUUUUGAAAAUGCGUCGCUAAUGCUCGGUGUUUUAGCGGCGUUUUUUAAAAGCGCCGCUAAUGCUAGGGCCUUUAGCGGCGUUUUUGAAAAAGCGCGGCUAAAAACAUUUUAUCUUAUUUGGUUUAUUUAUAUAAUUAAAUAAGAUUAAAUUUAAAUCUAAUUGAAUAUUUAAAAUCUUCAAAAAAAAUAAUGACACGUAGAAAUAAUUUGAAAUAAAAUAUCUGGAAAAAUUAAAAUACUAUUAUUUAAAAUAAUUUUAAAUUUUUUGGGUACAUGAUUACUGAUUUUUUUUAAUUUAUAUAUUAAAAAAUUUCUUAUAUAAUCGUAAAAGAGAUGGUAUUAAUUUUAAAAUAUUGAAUUAAUUAUCACUAUAGUUUAGGGUUUUUGGUUCAGGGUAUAUGAUUUAUUUAAAAUUUAAGGCCAGUUUAAAAGUUACUAUUUUAAGGUUUAGGGAGUAUGGAUUUAGGAAUUAUGGAUUAGGGAUUAUGGUUUAGGGGUUGGGGUUUAAGGUGUAGGGGUUAGGAAUUUAGAGGUUUAGGAGUUAGACGUUAGGGGUUGAGAGUUAAGGAUUCAAGGUUUAGGGAUUUAGGGGCCAAGUUAGGGGUUUGUGUUUAGAUUAAUUUUUUUAAUUUAUAUUUUAAAUAUGUUCUUAUAUAAUUGUAAAAGAGAUAAUAAAUUUGUUUAGGGUUUUUAGUUUAGGGUAUAUGAUUAAUUUAAGAUUUAAGGCCGGUUUAGGAGUUCAUAUUUUAAGGUUUAGGGAGUAUGAAUUUAGAGAUUAUGAAUUAGGGAUUAUGGUUUAAGGGUUUGGAUUUAAGGUUUAGGGGUUAGGGGUUUAAGGGUUAGACGUUAGGGGUUAAGAGUUAGGGAUUUAAGGUUUAGGGAUUCAAGGGUCGAGUUAAUGUUUUGGGUUUAGAUUAAUUUUUUUAAUUUAUAUUUUAAAUAUGUUAUUAUAUAAUUUUAAAAGAGAUAAUAAUAAAUUAAAUAUAUUGAAAUUAUGAGUGUAGUUUAAAUUAUUUAAGAGAUAUAUAAUAGAUAGAUUUUAUAUGUAUUGAAUGGUUAAUUUAGGGUUUAAGGUUAAUGUUUACUUGAGAUUUGUUAAAUGAUAAAAUUUUAUAUAAUUAAUUAAUACUUUUAUAUUUAAAAAAAUUUAAUUUAAACCAUUUGAUAUAUUUAAAUAUUAGUUUAAAUAGAAUUAAUAAAUAAAUUAAAAAAAUAAUAGAUUGAUAUGGAUAUUUAGGUACAAUUAUUUAUUUUGGAGAGGAUCAAAUUAUAAAAAAUAAAAUUAAAAUACAAAAAUAAAAUAAUUUUGUUCAAAAUGAAAAUUUUUUACACACUUUUUAUAAAAACACCGCAAAAAAUAAAUAAUAGCCCCAAAAUUUAACUUUAAAAAUGCUACAAAAAUUAUUUCACUUUAAAAAAUCGCGCCAUUUUACCCCAAAUUUCCCCCUGAAAUCCCUAAUCUUCCCAUGUCCGACAAUAUUUUCUCAGCUGCCACACUCCAACAAAUACUCUGCACUCCCAUGGCUGAAAUAACAACCCAAAACCUUUUUAUUACAGCGCCAACAAAGCUUUGCUCUUUAUCCAUCUAUCAAAGAACACACUACUCUGCAUCAUACACUGACGAAAAGAAAAAAUAUGGGUUUUGAGAAGGGAGCUUCAUUGUUGGAAGAUUUGGUAGAAAAAGCUGGAGGCUGUGCUGUGAUGGAUGGGGGUUUUGCUACUCAGCUUGAGAGUCAUGGUGCUUCCAUUAAUGACCCACUUUGGAGCGCUCUUUGCUUGAUCAAAGACCCUCACCUUAUCAAGCAGGUACCUUUCGGUCUUCUUUCUCAUUCAGCUUUGUUGGAAAAUAUGUACAUUGCUGUCCUGCAAAUGACUCCAUGUCAAAAACAGGGUAUAAAGUUUGAGACUUGGUUUUAGAUUUUGAAUCAACGUGGAGUGUUCAUAUGUGCAGGUUCAUUUGGAGCAUUUGGAGGCUGGUGCAGAUAUCUUAGUUACUUCAUCUUACUAGGUUUGUUUAUUAGUGUUUUUCAGAUUCAGCCGAAUGACUUGAUUUGUUAGGCUAAUGUGUGAUCUUCUGCCUUUCAUAUAUUCACAAUAUGGAUAUGGUGAAAAGGAUAGGAGCUAAAUGCUUCCUUUUUCUAUGCAAUAGGUCCACCACUUUCUUGUGAAAAGUCAUGGAAAAUAUUCUGAUUUUUCCCUAAGUUUGGCUUAUUAAUGAACCAGACGGAAAAUAAUGUAGUUAUCAUCUAUAUAUGUUCAUCUGCAAUGAUUGAUUCCUUGGAAACAAUCAACAUAUCUUUGUAGAAACUUGCCUACCUUCAUAUUAGGAAGAGUAAUUUAUUUGAGAUUGUAUGGUAAAUGAUAAACCCAAUUUUAAUUACAAUUAUUCACACAUUCCAGAUUUUUUAAUUGAUUUGAAUCGAGCAAUUAGACAUAAAAGAGUAAUAUGGAUUUAAAAAAGAAGAAGCAAAUAUUGCAAUGAUAGUGUUUUCAUAUUUAAUAUUAUUUAUAAUUUUUUAAAAUAAGUUAAUCCUAGAAUAAAACUAUAAACCUCAUGUAUAAUGGUACCUGAACCUAAAUCAUCAAAGACCCAAUCUUAAGCAGCAGCUCAAAACUCGACAGAGGCUAAGGAUGAUGCUGCCUCUGGAGAGGUUGCACAAGCUGAAUAAGGAUGGUGGAGUUAAUAAUGCCACAGGAGCAGCAGUUGGUAGAGGCUUUAUACGGGAUUCAUCGGGCUGCUGGGUUAUGGGGUACAGUUGGAGUAUUGGUUGCUGCUUGAUGUUGCUAGCUGAGCAUUGAGAGCUAUAUGACGGCUUGUCUGUGCCUUGAGAUGCGGGUAUUCGGUGCUGGUGGUGGAAUCUGAUAGUCGGGCUGCGGUGGACCUUGUCACGGAUGUUACCAGGAAGGAGAUGUUGGAGCUCGUAAUGGCUGUUCGUGGCCUUUUGUCUUAGUCGUGGUGGGUAUUGGUGCGUCAUGUUCUGCGAGGUGCAAAUGCGGCAGCGGAUUUUGUCACCAAGCUCGCUAGGGAUUGCCCAUUGGGUUUGCAGCUGGUUCGGCACCCUCCUCCAUUUGUCAAACUCAUGGUUGAAUGGGAAGAGUAGGCCACCUAUUGUCAAUGACUGUUAACUUUGGUUGGCUUUUAGCCUAGGUUCAUUUUUGUUUUCAAAAAAAAAAAAAUUCAAUCUCAAUUUUAUCAUUCAAUCAAAAUCUUUAUAUAUAUAUAUGUAUAUAUUUUAUAGAUAUUUUUUUUACAUAAACUUUUUUUUAUCUACGUUUGUGGAUAUACAACAAUAAAAACCUGAUACUUUUUGAGCAUGCUUGUUAAGAUUCCAAUUGUGUAAGGAACCGAGAAGGGCCAGUGCAAAGUACAGGUGAAAGGAUUUCGGUCUGGUCCCAACUAGUUCGGGGUGGGUUAAACUCAAUACUGAUGGUACUGUUUCUGUAGGUGGUCUUAAGUCCGGGGUUGCUGGUUUGAUUAGGAAUGCGUUGGGAAAUGGGAAGUUGGCUAUAACAGAUUCAUUGGUGUGAGCAACGUUCUUGAAGUAGAACUGCAUGUUGUUUUGAAUGGCUUGAAGAUUGCCUGGGACAAAGGCUUUUAGCAAAUACUGUUGGAAUGUGAUAACCUUCAUAUUAUUAGCUCCUCUUAUUGGUCGAGGCAAUGAUGCAUUUAGCAAAGUUGAGGAAUUAAGUAGAACGAACUGGGUAGUGCAUGUUUCGUAUAUUGGAAGGAUGGUAAUGUGGCUAAAAUAGCUCUAACAGAUAGACCUGGGUUGCAAGUACCUUUAGACCCUUUUUCUGUUGUUCUUGACGUGUGGAGUGAUGAUGUUUCAGGCCUCUCUAGCUAUACAAAUGCUCAACACUUUUCCUUUGUAUUUUGUUGGCUUCACUACACCAAAACAGGCUUUUAGAAGCAGGUCCAGGUUUGCUAGCCUUUGAGACCAUUCCCAAUAAACUUGAAGCUCAGGUUUGUUCUUCCUCAUGUAUACUUUACAUGUAGGAAGUUACAUUCUUCAUUAGCUUUUCAAGUUUCUAGUGAUCACUGAUCCAUUCGUAAUCAAAGCCGAGCAGGGACGAGUGGCGCAUGUAUAAUGCACACUGGCUGCAAAGGUUAAUUAGCAAUCGUUGUGGUUCUUCUGCCUUUUGCGCCUCUCCCUUUUUUUUUGUUUUUUGGCUUUCUUGGUUCUCAGUUUCUCAAUUCUAUCCACAGUUGUAUGGGGAAACCAAAGCACUACCGACCUCCUGCAAGUUCUUUCGAACUUUAUUGCUUUCAAAUUGGCGGUUUAGAUUUUCAAAUUUGACUUAUUGUAAGGAUUUUUUGCUCAUAAUUUAUGGUGAAAUUUUACAGGGAAAGAAAAAGGAAGGAAAUGCUGCGAGAUAUGUGACGAGGUCACAAGCUAUUAAAAUCCUUCAAGUUAGCCUUUCGGAUUUUAGGUUCAUCUCUUCUUUCUCACUUUUAUUAAUUAUUAUUAUUUAAGCUUCCUUUAUUUGCCUUCUUUUAUCAUUUUUUUCAUGUUGUUUUUAGCUUCGAAGAUUAAUUAGCUAAUAAUUUGAAACUAUUGAGCUUCGUUAAGCUGAGAUUAGUUCAUCAAGUAGCAGUUAAUUGCUACUUUUGCUAACUGUUUUUUGCUCACUGAAGCAAAGAGAAGAAGUGUGUAUGGAAAAUAUUCUUAUUGCUAGCUUUUUACUUCAGCAUGAGUUUAUGACUAUGUUUUAAUUGAUAUGAUUUUGUUAUUAUUAUUAUUAUAAAAAAUCGAGGAUUUUAGUAAGAAAACAUAUAAAAAAAAAGCCUCAACCAAAUGAAACGCGUAUUGAUGGGGUUUGUUAUUUUUUAUUAAAUAUGGUUGGCUUCCUUUUUGCUUUAAUGGAUUUAAUACUGCAGGAAACUAUGCAUCCACAAAAGAGUAUUUCCGAGAGAGCCAAAGAAGAAAGUGAAAGGAAAUCAUCAUACUUACUGUCACUUGAAGGAUGUCAUGUACAUUCUUCAUGAUCCACUACUUGAGAAGUUUAGAGAAAUAAGGGCAUAUCAAAGGAAGAUAAAGAAAGCUAAGGCUAAAAAGAAGGAUGAGUUAGCAAAGCUUCUUCUAUCUCGUGCACCUUCUUACAGACUUGAUAUGGUCAUCCGCGAUAGGUUUGUGAAACAAUCUUUGUAUGUUUUAUUUCCUCUCGUUGCUAGUUGUAUCAAAUCUGUAAAACUUUUGUAUUAAAACUUUUAUAGUAAGCAGCAACAUAACUAAAUCACCUUAUGCUGAUAAUGAGAAGAUUUAUUGUUCCUAUUCCCUUGGCUCCAAUUUUUUUGGUUCAAAACUUGAUGUCUAAGUGCAUGCUUGAGUAUUUGGUAAUCAAUCCUGUGAAAUAGUUUCUAGUUAAGGUGGCAUAGAAGCAUAUAGUCCAGGCAUAGUCUGCUCUUACAAUUUAUGAUUGUUUUUUGGUUUCUCCUCUCCACAAACUGUCUAAUGUAGUUGGCAGAAUGAGAUGAUGUUAUUUAUGCCUAUACAUGCAUUUCUCUGUGGAUGGGUAACUUAUAUCUUUGAUUUGAGGCAUAGUUUGAUGACAGCAUAACUUAUUGCUGAAGUUAUACAGCCACGUUGUUUGCAUGCUGAUGACCAGUUUUGACAUUUAAGAUUUCAGCAUAACAUAAUUGUUUGUUAUAUAAUUUUUGUUUUAGCCUUAAUGGCUAUAUAUAAUUUUUAUUUUUAACAUCUCUAUUGUUUAUCAAGUUUGUCGGUUUAUCUGUUCAUUUGGUUUUGCAUCCUUUAGAUAUUGAAGGUGUUGUAGAGGAUUCAAUCUCUUCAAGCUGGAAAAGCCAAGGCUUAGCACUUCUUCAAGUGGAGUGUUUUUUAAUUUUUCAUUCCAUGGUCGUUUAUCUUAGUCGGAACUUGAAUUUGGUGUUAUUGAAACAGGGUUUUGUAGUUACCUUGUGUACUAGCUUCUUUAACCAUGAUUGUUAAUCAUUACGAGUUUUGUAAUUUCUUUUAUAUUUGGCCGAGUUAAUAGAGAUCAGAUGAGCUGUGAGGUAGAUUGCUCAUUUAUUUAAACAUAAUAUUUUAAUUCUAAAUUUAAAUUCAUUAAUUUUUAUAUUUAGCUUUAAAGUUAAAAUUUUAAUAGAAAUUUUAAUUUAAUUAAUUUUUUUAUCCUUAAAAGUAUAUAGUUUAAAGUUUAAAUUUCAAAAAUAAAAUAAAAUAUAAUAUUUAUCAUAGGAAUAAAUAUUAUUUAAUUAAAAUAUAUUUUUUAAAAUUCAUAUUUUUAGCGGCGUUUGUGAAAAAGCGCCGCUAAAAUUCAUUCUUUAUAGCGAUGUUUGUGGUAGAAGCGCAGUUAAAGGUCAUGGUCUUUAGCGGCAUUUUUGGUAGAAGCAUCGCUAAAGGUCAUGAUCUUUAGCGGCGUUUGUGGUAGAAGCGUUACUAAACGUCAUAAUCUUUAGCGGCGUUUGUGAUAGAAGUGCCACUAAAGGCCAUGAUCAUUAGCGGCGUUUUUUCACAUAAACGUCGCUAAAGUUAGCGACGUUGUCUACAGCGACACUUUUUGCGGUGCUUAUUAAAGCGCCGCUAAAAGUUUAUUUUGCUGUAGUGAUUUUAGGAUGUCUAAAAUGGUAUUCCCAAGUUUGUUGAGAGUUUUGGAGACAAUAUACAACUUGCAAACUUCAAGAAACAUAUCUUCUAGUGAAAUGUUGGGAAUUUUUUUAUACAUCUUGGGCACCGGUGCAAAAGGUUCCCAAUGUCGAGAAAGAUUUCAAAGGUUUGGAUCAACAAUAAGUUGACACUUUGCAAUUGUGCUUGAGGAAGUUUCAAGGAUGGCCACUGAUCUAAUUGCCCCCGAAGAUCUUUUUUUUAGCUCAAUACCCGAAUAAAUACGUAAUGAUUCUAGAUAUAUGCUCCAUUUUAAGGUCAAAAUAUUAUUUUAUAUUAUUAUAUUUUAAUAUAUUUGGUCGACUAAAAAUAUGCACGAGAGUAAUAUGAUUAUUUGUUCAGGACUGCAUAGGUGCAAUUGAUGGUACUCACAUUGCCACUAUUCUUCCAGCAAAUGAACAAAUUCCCUAUAUUGGAAGAAAAUGUAUCCCGACUCAAAAUUUUAUGGCAGUAUGUGAUUUUAAUAUGUGUUUCAUCUUUGUCAUGGUUGGAUGGAAAGAAUCGACACAUGACACUAGAAUAUUUCUUGAUGCAAUUUGAGAUCCAAAAUACAAAUUUUCGCACCCACCAAAUGGUUAGAUAUUUUAUUUAUAUGUGCUUUUUUAAAUAAUAAAGUAUAAGUUCUUUAAUUGAUAAUUUUUAUAAAAAAAAUUCUUGAAUUAAUUGUUUGUUAUAUUAUGACUUGUAGGAAAAUAUUAUCUUGUUGAUUCUGGAUAUCCUCAAAUGAAAAGUUAUCUUGGACCAUAUAGAGGUCAGCGAUAUCAUUUACCUGACUUUCGUAGAGGUAGACCAGUAUCUGGUAAAGAAGAGAUAUUCAAUCAUUCACAUUCAUCAUUACGUAGUGUGAUUGAACGAACUUUUGGUGUUUUGAAAAAAAUGGGUUAUUUUAAGGGAUAUGCCAAGUUAUAGUUUUGAAAAGCAAACGAUGAUCGUUGUUGCUACAAUGACGAUACACAAUUUUAUCCGAAAACAUGUCGGUCGAACUGAUGCAGAUUUUAUGAAAUACGAAGAUAUUAACUGGGCAUAUGAGAAUAUUAUUGAUUCAGAAAAUGCACAUGGUCGAGAAAGUGAUGAUGAUGACGACAACAAUGAUGAUGGUGAUGACAGUGAAUCAAACAAUUCAAGUGGUUUUGAAAUGGAAUUAACAAGAGAUGCUAUAACUUCUAGUUUAAUGAAUUCACUUUAAAUUGUAAAUGCUAUUGUAAAAUUUUUAGUAUUUAUAUUUGGUAUAUAAAUAUUAUCCCUUUUUAAAACUUUAAUCCAAAUAUAUGUGAUAUUUUAAUUUUUUAGGUUUAUGUUUUCUAUGUUAUGUUAAUAUCUAAUAUGAGUUAUAUAUUCAAAUACAUUUUAAAAUAAAAUAAUACAAAUGUGUCAAUAUCUAAUUACAAAUAUUUAAUUAUUAUAUUUAAAUAUUUAAAUAUAGUUUGUAUAUUCUAAUUAUAUUUAAUAAAUAAUUAAUAUUAAUUACUUAGAAAUAUUUAAAAUUAAUAUUAUAUACUAAAAUAUUAACAAUAAAUUAUAAUAAAUUAUUUUUUAUAUCUUUGCUAAAAUAUCAUAAUAUUAACUAAUUUGAACAUUAUUUAAAUACAUAUUUGUUACUUUAUAAUAUCAUUUCUAAAAUGGACAUUUUAUUCUUCAAAAGCACUUUUUGACAGCAAUAUCAAACACUCAAAAUUUUCAAAAGUACUUCUCAAAAGUACUUUUCCACAGCACUUUUCCAAAGCAAUGAAGAACUGGCCCAAAAGCACACUAGCUUUCGCCGUCUCAUCCGCAAAAAAACCUAAAAUGAUACACCAGAAACUCCCUCAAGACAGACAGAGCCAAGUCACUUUCUCGCUAAUCCCCAUCGAACCCUCCAAUUAAGCAAAGCCAUUUCAUAUUUCAACCCAGUGGGCACCACAAUUGCCUUACAAAAUUUACAAACUAAAAUGCUAAAAGUAAUCCAGAAAAAUACACAGCCCAAGCUCCAAAAUGCAAGAAAGUCCAUUUAAAAUAUGAGCCAAAUUUAGAUUUCAGUUUAAAAACUUGAAUCUAAUUCGUUUUUAAUUUUGUAAUAUAGUAUAUUCACUACAAGAAAAAUAUGAAUUGUCAACAUUAAAAUUUAUUGCUAAAUGUUGUAUUACCAUUACUAAGAGUUUAUUGCAACAACAAAAAAAUCGUUGCGAGGUCGUUGUGUAUACCUCUAUUGUACAAAAUAUGCACAACGAUUUUACAAAUUGAAAAGUCGUUUUAAUUAUAUAUAUUGCAACAACUUUUUUCAUUUUAAAAUAUAUAUUUUUUGUAACGACUUAAUUUAUUUGUAUAAAAAUGUUUUAGUUAUAGUAAAAUCUGUUAUAAUAUUUUUAACACAACCAUAAUACUUUAGUUACAAAAACUAUUACCUAACAAUAAUAUAUUGGUUGUAAUAUAAAAUUUGCAACAACUGUAAAUUAAAAUGCUAAGUUUUGUACGUAACAAUAAUAAUAUUGAUAUGUAAUUGUAUUACAUUACUCAAUGAUUAUAUGUCAUUGCCAAAAAAAUAUUUUAAUAACCAUAAAAUGUGGUUGCCAAAUCAUUUACUUAAGAACAAUACUACUGAUUACUAAAUAUUAUUCUGCAACUAUUUUAAUUUAUUGUGUACUACAUUGCUGUAACACCCCUAAUGUAACACCUCUUACCCGAGACCGUUUUUGGAGUCGAGCACGAGGCAUUACUUAGCUUAUCUUACUAAUUCGGAGCAUAAAAACUUGGUUUGAAAAUUUAUUUCACUAUUUACAGCAAAUCUGUCCACCCAUGCAGUAGUCACUUAUUUAAUUAUAACUCGAGUUACGAAACUCAAAAUUUAGAUCCGUAAAUUUUCCCUGAAAUUAGACUCAUAUAUCUUUUCACCAUAAAAUUUUUCAGAAUUUUUGGUUUAGCCAAUUAGUACAGUUUAUUAGUUAAAGUCUCCCCUAUUUCAGUGACCGACCAUCCUGACCUCUUGUCACUAAAAUUCAAUUAUCUCUUUGUACAGACUUCAUAUGGUGCUUCCACUUAUUUCUCCUGAAAAUAGACUCAUAAAGGAAUAUAUACAUAUAAAUUAUAACUCAUAAUUCCUUCUGUGAAAUUUUUAAUGAAUUUCUAAAGUCAGAACAGGGGACCUCAAAAUCAUUCUGACCCUGUCUCACUAAAAUUCAAAUAUCUAAAAAUAUACAACUCUUUUUCUUACUCUAUUUCUUUCAUGUGAAAUUAGACUCAUUCAGCUUUAAUUUAGUAUCUCACUCAGAUUCUAAUUCAAUUUCCACCAUUUUUGAUGAUUUUUCAAAGUUACCUCAAUGCAUAUAUCCGAAAACUGUUCCAUUGCAAAUUUUAAAAAAAUUCAAUAUAACCCCUUUGUAAUUAUCUAACCUUCCCUGCAAAUUUAAAUCACAACCAAUUCCAGUAUUUCAACUACUUCAUUUAAAUACUAAUGAAGUUCAACCAAUCAACCAUUUCAAACAAAAAAAAAACAUGUAUAUAUUUCGAUAUCUAACACAACCAUAACAUUCAAAUUUAUUUUGCAUACUUAGUCAUUCAUACUAAUACUUUUUACUUCAAUUCCCUAUACAUGCCAUAUAAAUCCAAAAAGUUGUUUAACAAAAUCUACCGGAGUAAAUCUGGAUAGUGUGAUCGUUGUUGUAGAUCCGAUCCUCCGAAAUAUAUAUAUACGUCAAUCUACAAGAAACAGUAAACACACACCAGUAAGCUUACAGAAAGCUUAGUAAGUUCACAGGCUCAUAAUAAUAUAUUACCAAAAUUUCACUAACAACAUUAACAAACAAAUAAAAAUUCAGCAUUUCCUGCCAACCCCAAUCUCAAAUAAUAAAUAUAUAUAAUCGUGCUCAAUUUCAGAUGUCAACUUCUAUUCCAACAUUUAGUUUCAAUUGCACUUACAAAUACCUGUCAAAUUAAGGAUCGUCUUACGGAAUUGAGUACAUCGUUUGCCCGUGCCACGAUUUGCUUGAACAUUUCACAUUGCUAUAAUUCAGUAUGGUUUUCUUCCUUGAAAUACCAUACCUACUUUUCACAACUUAGUAUGGUUUUCUUCAUUGAAACACCAUACCUACUUUUCACAACUCAGUAUGGUUUUCUUCACCGAAACACCAUACCUACUUUUCACAAUUUUCCAUGGAUCCACCAUGGACUUAUCCGUCAAUUCGUCGUUGGUUGCCAAACAUGUGUACUCAAUCCUGCGUAUCCCUUAAUUUGAACUAACAAUCUCAUCUUCUUCUCAUUUUUACCAUAAUCAUAAUUCAGUAACAAUAUACGAAUUUAUACAAUAUAUCAUUUCCACAUUAACAAUUAAUCAUAAAAAUUCAGCCAUAUGAACUUACCUGGGCCGAUUUGUAGAAGUUUUAAAAGUUCAGAAACUAGUUUGAUACUUUCUCUUUUCCGCGUUUAUCUUCGGAUUCCCGAUCUAUAAUAUAAAUUUUUCCAUUCAUUAGCAUCUAAUUCAAUACUAAUUUACUUCACAAUUUAUGCCUUUCAAUUUUCAAAAUUACACUUUUACCUCCAAAAUUUACAAUUUUUACAAUUUGGUCCCUACUCAAUUAACCCUUCAAUUGAUCAAAAUUUUCCCAAUUAACACUUUAUCCAACCAUUUUAGACUACUGAACAGCCUUUGAUAUUCAUAAUUUCAGUACAAAACCCCAAUUCCUAACUUUUUCACAAUUAGGCCCUAAAAAUCAUUUUCUACUAAAAUCAUUUUAAUAAGAUCAUAAUAUAAUGAAAUUAAGACUUAAAAUCUAUAAUAAUUCAUCAUAAAAUUCCAGAACUUAUUCAUGGUAACUUACAAAAUCACUCAUAAAUUCAAAAACUAACAAAUUCAAUAGUUGGACCUAGUUGUAAAAGUCACAAAACAUGAAAAUUUCAAAGAAAAAAGCAAGAAUUGAACUUACAUGAUGAAAAAUAUGAAAAACCAGCUUGAAAACUCUCUCCUAUUACGUUUUGGCUGAAGAAAAAUGAUGAUAUCUCUAGAUUUUUCACUUUUAUCUUUGUUUUAUAUAUUUAAUUUGUAAAAUUUCCAAUUUUGCCCUUAUUUCUCCUUACUUUCCUGCUGAUUUUUCUUGCCCAACCGUCCAGCCCAUAAAAUUUUGGGCCUAAUUGCCUUUUAAAUCCCUCCUCAUUAGUCACUUAAGCUAUUUAAUCAUAAUUUAACAAAUUUUACACUAGUCUCAAUUUAGUCCUUUUUAGUUAAUUGACUAACCAAACGUUAAAAUUUUCUAACGAAACUUUUAUACUAACUCAAUGACAUUCCAUAAAUAUUUAUAAAAAUAUUUAUGGCUCGGUUUAUGAACUCGAUGUCUCGACACCGCAUUUUAGACCCACUUUACCUAUUAAAUUCUUUUUAAAUCACAAAAUUCACUAAUUCAAAAUUCUUCUAAAUUCACACUUGACCCAUAAUUAUUAAUUUAUUAAAUUUUAAGACUCACUUGUCAGAUUUAGUGAUCUCGAAUCACUGUUUCUGACACCACUGAAAAUUAGGCUGUUACAACUAACCCGAAUCCGUCGUCAGAACAAAGUUAUGGAGCAUCACCGAAAUUUACAAAUUAAUUUUCAGACAUCUAUUUCAUCUAGCAUUCAUAUUUGAAACCAACCAAAAUCAAAAUAUUAAUGAGCCAACGUUGGCUAAAUUAACUUAUACAUGCCAUUAUAACUAGAACCAAAUCAUCCAAAAUUACCGAUAAAACCAAUGGAUAGUGUGAUAUAUCUCCGACAAGUUUCCAACCCAAUCGAGCUUCCGAUUAUCUGUAGGGUAAAUAAAAAAAAUAAAUGCGUAAGCAAUGAAUGCUUAGUAAGCUCGUGUAGUCUUUAAUCAUAUUAGUUCCUUUAAAAUAUGAAAUUUAUGCAUAUCAUGGAUAACCCAAAGUUGAUACCACAAUACCCAUGAAGCUAUAUUCAUCAACUUACAAGGUAAAUAAAUCCACAAUAUCACUUAAACACAUUAUCCCAAGCUUAGUAGGAUUUUAUAUAACUUUAUCUCUUCAUAAUUUCUUUAUUUUCAUUUUCAUUUCUUUACUUUCCACGCUUAUUCUAUAUGCGUGACACACAAGUCAUAAACAUUUCAUUCAACCAUAGUCACAAGCUAAUGCAUUUCCAAAGUCUUUUUCAAAUUGAUUACAUGAUAAGUUAUUUCAUAAGAAAUUGUAUAAUCUAAACCUUACCACUUUUUAGUGAGCGCUAGCAUAUUUUCACUUAAAUACUUUCCAAUUCAAUGCAUUAUAUAAAUAAUCAUAAUAUCAUUCAACCAAUAGCUUGGCACUUGCCUAAGCAUCAAGCAAGAAUACUAGUUAGUGUACUUGCACACAUUACAUAUAAACUCAUCAUGCAUAAUUUUCUUGUAUCAACAUAUUAAAGAUAAUCAUACAUUUACAUGUCAUGAUACAUAUCAUUCUCUUGUCGUUUCUUCAUAGACAUAUAUCAUUCAUUUCAUUAUUUCGAUAUUUCAUGUACCAUCAUUUUCAUGAAUUUCGUACAUACCAGUAAUAGUUCAUUUCAAAUUCAUGUUAUCUCACUUUAAAAUUUUACCCGUUAUAUCAUUUAAAUAUCAAUGGUUAUAUUUAUUUUAGAUCAAUACCAAUAAUAAUCUAUAAAUCUUUCAAUUCAAUCACAUAAGUCUUUUACCAUUUCUUUCUGAAUCGAAGAACGACUUACGGAUAUUAGUACAUCAUUCUUUGGUGCCAUAUUCCAACUAUGGUCUUGCACAUAUAAACACUGCCAUAGUCCAACCAUGGUCUUACAUUUAUAGUGCCAUAACCCAGUUGUGGUUUUAUCCAUCAAUUCAUCCUUUGUCACAGUACGAUUGUACUCAAUCCCGCGUUCAAUCCAAAUUGAGUAUUGAAUUCGAUAUUAUAUUUCCAAUAAUAAUUCAAUUUCAUAUUUUCUAUUACCCUUAUUAUUUCCCCAUAUUUAUCCCGUUGAAUUUCUUGGAAAUUCGAUGGAUUUUCAGAUGUACACUUUUAGUGUACAAUUCCGGGUCCGUCAAUUCAUAUUCAUGUGGGCACAUUUCCAUUUCAGAGAGCACACUCCUGCGAACCUCAUCCUUACAGCGGGAUUGCCAGUCCAGGCUAAAUCCCCUAUAAUAUAAACUCAUAGAGUAUUGUCGGGAUUACCAGUCCAGGCUAAAUCCCCUGCAACGACAAUUAUUGUAAUGAUUUUGGAUCUGAAUUAUCAGUCCAAGCUAAAUUCAGACCCUAAUUCAGAUUACCCGUCCGGGUUAAAUCCAUUUUCCACAUAUUCUUCGGGAUGGCUAUAUCAGGAUAGGAUCACCCGUCCGGGCUAGAUCCUUUUUACCGUCAAUUCCUUUUCAGAGAUCUAUCGAAUUUUCCUUCCAUUCAACCGGGAUUUCUUCCCCUUUUUAUAAAAUAUAUCAAUGUUUCAUCAAUUUUCAUACAAUGAACAUUCAAAUCAUAUUACAUUAAUAACAAACAUUUCAAGAAUUUAAGAAUAUAAUUCAAGUUACACGAACUUACCUCAUUACUUGUUCGUGUUUACAAUUUCACUAAUUUGAUGUCUUUUCUUUUCCACGUUCAAGUUCCAUAUUUGAGUCAUUCGGAUCUUUCUAAACAAAUUUGAUCAUCAUUUUCAUUCAUUUCAUAUUCUGAUAUAUUCAAUUAAUACUCUAGGCAAGAUUACCAUAUUGCCCCUAAGCUUUUAAUUAAUGACGAUUUUAAUCCUUGGGCUCAGAAAAAUAAAUUAUUGUAAUUUUAAUCCUUGUUUUAAGCCUAAUUAUUCCCAUACAUAUUGAUAACAGCCCAUGAAUUCUAUAAAAUAUUAGAAUUUUUCAUAAUUUCAACACUUUUCAAUUUAAUCCCUAAAACAUGUUUUCACCCGAUCUUGUUCUAAAUUUCAUUCAAUUUUGUAAUUUAAAUAAAUAAACAGUCCAUUUCAUGCAAUUUGGUCAUUUUUGACAUUUUUUACAAAUUGCCCAUAAAGUUUUACUUUUAUUCAAUUUAGUCCCUGAGUCUAAAACAUGCAAAUUAUCCAUGCUAACUGAAUAUUCACAUAUAUAUCUUCCUCAUCCUUCUCUUCAUUCCACUUCCUUAAUUUAUAUAAAAUGCUUAUAAGUAACAUUAUCUAUGAUUUCACAAUUUACUUGUAAAUUUAUUCAAAGCUAUCCAUUUGAGUCAUAAUCACUAAAUUAUUUUUAUCUUGAGCUACGGAACUUCAAAUUAGGAUCUGCUAAUUUUUCCUGAAACUAGACUCACAUAUCUUCUUACCAUAAAAUUUUUAGAAUUUUUGGUUCAGCCAAUAAGUACAACUUAUUCUUUAAAUUCACCUCUCUUCUGCUAUCUGACAAUUCCGACCCUUCUUCACUUAAAAUUAAUUAUCUCUUUGUAUAGAAUUUGGAUUAUGUCCCCAUUUUUUUCUCUUGAAAAUAGACUCAUUAAGGAUUUUAAACAUAUAAAUUCUAACCCAUAAUUAUUUUUUUACUUUUUAAUGAUUUUUCCAAGUCAGAACAGGGGAACCCAAAUUCAUUCUGACCUUGUCUCACAAAAUUUAUUAUAUCUCAUAAUUUACGAUUCUAUUGCUUACACCGUUUCUUUUAUGAGAAAAUAGAAUCAAUAAGCUUUAAUUCCAUAUUUUAUUCAUACUCUAAUUCGAUUUUCAUAAUUUAUGGUGAUUUUUCAAAGUGAGCCUACUGUUGCUGUCCAAAACUGUUUUAGUACAAUAUGUUUAUUACCAUGUUUAUAACACCCUUAUUUUCUUUCUUUACACUGUGUCUAAUCACUUUCUCUUAUUUUCUCUUCACUAACAUAUCAAGAACAUAGGACCAUAUAUACAAAAACUUUACAUUAACAUCAUUUCCAUACUUUUUCAAUAAUAUUAAACUUAAAAAUAUAUUAAAAUCUUAAUGUACUUACCUUGUCAUAUUGAUUUCAAUCUUUAACUUGAUUUUCUCUCUCCUCCAGCAUCUAUUUCUUGAAUCUAACUUGAUAUUCUAGCUCCCCAUAGUCUCCUUGUUAUCUUUCUCUUUGAUGGAUAUGGAAAUUCUUUUGAUUUCUAGGUGAAAAUGGUGAAUUUUUGGUGGAAGGACUAAAUUGUAAAGAAAGUAAAACUUUCUUUCUUUCUCUCUUUUCCUCACGUUAGUGCAUGAAAAAAAAUGGGUGGGUUGCAUGAUUCUUCAUCUUCCUUUUCUUAUAUAUAUACUAAAUAAAAUAAUAAUAAAAUAUUAAAAUAUCAUUUAAAAAUCAAAUUAAAAUACUAAUAAACUAAUAUUUAUUUAUUUAAUCAAAAAUAUCUCCAACAUCAUCAUCAUCUUCUAUAUUUCCCUCUCUUCUAAUUGAUCAUUUUGCCCUUUAUGAUCUUUUAAAAUUUUAUCCUUGAGUCAUCACUUAAUUUGGUAAAAUUACUAUUUAGUCCCUCAAAAUUCUUCACCUUUUUCAAUUUGGUUCUAAUCCAUCCAUUUUCCUUAGUUUCUAGAUCAUUCCACCCUUAAAAUAUUUACACCAUUGGUCCUUCAAAUUUUUAUAUUUACACUUUAAGCCCUCAAUUUUUGAGUAUUUACUCUUGGGCAACAAAAUGUUUUUCACUUUUACGAUUUAAUCCUUUCUUGAACUAAUAUGUCAUAAUAUACUUCUCAAUGUUGACAUAACUCAAAAAUUUCCCCUUUUUGUCGCUUUAUUUCCUUACUUUAUUAUAUCAAAGAUAAUAUCUUACUGUAAAAAAAUUUUAGGGUAUUACAAUUGCGCAACAACAAUAUUAUUUUUAAUCAAAUGGCUAUAUAUAAUUUAAUAAAAUUUUAAAAAAUUUCUUAAUAAAAUUUUAAAAAAAAUUUCUUCAUCCUCUAACUUAAUAAAAUUUUUAAAAAAAAUUCAUGUUAGAUUGAAUUGACAUUGAGGUUAUAUAUAGUCACUGGUCAUGUCAAAGAGAAUAGCUCUACCAAAAUAAAAAAUUUAUUUUUAUUAAAAAUUUUAAAAAAAAUUAAUUGCAGCAUAGUAACCGUCAUUCUCUAUGACUCUAUCAAAUAAAAUAAUAAUUUUAAUUUCAAAUUAAAAAUAAAAAUCACUUUAAAAAUUUGACAUAAUAAAAGUGGUGUGACCAAUUUAUUUGGCUCCCGAAAUAUUAUUAUUUAUUUUCUAGUUCCCAAAAUAUUUAAAAAUAUUGGUGUUAGAGUGGUAUUUAUACGGGUGAAGCCAAAUAAAUUAACUUUACCUACAAAAAUUAAUUUUUGUUAUAAAAUAAAGAGAGAUGGAGAGAAUGAAGAACAAAUAAAAUAUGAAAGCAAUAGAGAAUGUACUUUAUUGAUCAAAGGGAUGAUUACAAUGCUUCAUCGGAGUCUCUAUUUAUAGGCAUAAGAAGUAUAAAAGAAGUAGAGGUCUAAUUCUAAUAACUAAUAGAAUUUAAAGUAUAUCAAAGCUUUAUCUUGAUCAUGAUGGACAUCCACUAAAUAAGAUAUUUAUAACACUUCCCCUUGGAUGUCCAUUGGUGGAUAAUGUGCCACGUUAAAACCUUAUUAGGAAAAAUCCUGUGGGAUAAAAACCUAAUGAAGGAAAAAGAGUACACAAUCUUCUAUUACAAGUUGUCUCAUUAAAAAUAUUUACCAGGAAAACCCAAUGGGACAAUACCUUGGUUAAAGGAAAAGAGUACAACUUAUUUUAGACUCCCCCUAAUAGCAACAUUACAUUACAUCUUUAAGUUGACGCAUUCCAAUCUUGUGUAGUAGUCUUUCAAAUGUUGAAGUUGGCAAUGCCUUAGUAAAAAUAUAUGUUAAAUUAUCACUAGAAUGAAUUUGUUGAACAUUUAUAUCACCUCUUUUCUCAAGAUCAUGGGUGAAGAAUAAUUUUGGCGAAAUAUGUUUCGUUCUAUCACCUUUGAUGUAACCACUCUUCAAUUGAGCUAUACAUGUUGCAUUAUCUUCAUAUAAGAUAGUUGGCAUCUUUUCCUAUAAAGGCAAAUUACAUAUCUUCUAGAUAUGUUGGGUCAAUAACCUUAGUCAAAUACACUCUCGACUUGCCUCAUUCAUUGCAAUUAUUUCUACAUGAUUUGAAUAAGCAACAGCUAAUGUUUGCUUUGUCGAACAUCAUGAUAUGGUAGUACCCCCCUCACAUGUAAAUAAAUAUCAUGUUUGAGAUCGACCUUUAUGUGGAUCUGGUAAGUAUCCAGCAUCAGCAUAGCCAACUAAUAAGGAUUUUGAAUCAUCUGAAUAAAAUAAACCCGUACCAAUGGUCCCUCUGAAAUAUCUAAAUACAUGUUUAAUUCCAUUCCAAUGCCUACAUGUUGGAGAAGAACUAAAUCUUACUAACAAGUUUACAGUGAAAGCUAUAUCAGGUCUUAUGUUGUUUGUAAGAUACAUCAAUGCCCUUAUGGCACUUAGAUAUGGUACUUUAGGACCAAGAAACUCUUCAUCAUUCUCGCAAGGAAGAAAUUGAUCUUUAUUCACAUCUAACGAUCGUACAACCAUCGGAGUAGUUAAUGGGUGUGUUUUAUCCAUGUAAAAUUUCUUUAAUAUCUUUUUCAUAUAAGUUGAUUAAUAAACAUGAAUUUUAUCUUUUAAAUGCUUGAUUUGUAAUCCAAGAUAAAACUUUGUUUUUCCAAGAUUUUUCAUCUCAAAUUCUUUCUUUAAACAAUUUAUUGUAUUUUGAAGCUCUUUAGGAGUUUCCAAUAAUAUUUAGAUAAUCAACAUAAACAACAAUUAUUACAAAAUAUGAUCCAAACCUUUUUAUAAAGACACAUGGACAAAUUGGAUCGUUUUUGUAACCUUCCUUUAACAAAUGUUCACUAAUACGAUUGUACCACAUGUCGAAACCAUUUUUUAAGUUUGAAAAAACAGGGAUCGACUUUUAAAAUAAAAACGGGAGUCGCCACCGAUCUUUUAUUAAGGUGUGACCGGUUCACCAUUAAAAUGAUUUUUGGUCUGCGAAUUUUGAGAAAAAUAGGUUCGGGAGUCGGUUACGCACGAGGAAGGGUUAGCACCCUCGUAACGCCCAAAAUUGGUACCGAAUCGAUUGUUUAAUGUCUUAAUGUCGAGAAUUUGAAAAGAUUUUUAAAAUACGAUCAUUUGAAAAGAGAAUUUGAAUAGAAUGAAUUUGAUUGAUGUGACUCACUUAUAAAUUGUCACACUCAGUAAGUUAGAGUGUAACGUUUUAAAUCCUUAAAAUUAAGUUUAUCUUUUAACUUUUGAAACCUAUGCAUUUUAAGAAAGAUAUCCGAUUAUUUGGGUCAAAUGAUAAAAUCAAAACCCAGUAAGUUAGGGCUCGAUUUCACAAAAUUCCUAAAUAUCGAAUAUUGCCUUUAUUUUAAAGUCGAGAUAGCAAAAUGCCAUAUCCAGUAAGUUUGGAUCCAACAUUUUGAAGUCUCAAAAGUUUUAUUUUAAAAUUGUAUGGUUUUACCAAAAUAAACACUUGGCUAUUCAAAUUCAUCGAGAAGAAUGGAAGCCCAGUAAGUUAGGGCACCAUUCUCUCGAGAGUUAUGGACACCAGGCCUUUUUUGAAAAUUAUGAAAUAGAACGAUUGUUGUGCUUAAAAAAAACAAACAAUUUUUAUAAAUGUAGCAUGAUUGAAUGGUAAUAUACAAUGUUCAAGAUAAAUGGCAAUCCAAACACACACUAAAAAAAACAAGUAAAUAAUAGGUAAAUGCAAAUAUCAAUAAUAAUUCUAAUCAUAUCUUACAAACAUCAAUAUUAGCAAUUUAACAUCCAAUAAAUUAAUAAUCAAUUUUCUAAAAGGUACAUCAAGACAAUGAGAGAAAAAAUAAUUAAUAUCCUAUACAUAAAAGUUCUAAAAUAAAUUAAAUAUAUGAAUUCAAAAUAGACUCAAAAUAGAAUUAGAAUAACCAUUGAAUAGUCGAAUUUGAAAUAAAUUUGAAGCAAAUAAAAUACAUAUAUUAGCUUAAUAUAUAUAAAAGAUAAACAUAAUAAUAAUAAUAAUAAUAAUAAUAAUAAUAAUAAUAAUAAUACAUAUACUCGAUUAAAAAACAUACAUAAAAUAUUGAAAGUAAAACGAAAUUUAAUGGGUAGCAAACAUAAAUAAAAAUAAAAGAAAGAUUAAAUUUGAACUUCAAAAAAAAGAGGGACUAAAACAGCAAAUAGACGCAUAAUUCUAAUGAUUUUAAUCUGCUUGAUGAAAACGACGACGUUUGAAUAUGGAUUUAAAUGAAAUCAAAAUCAAAUCCACAGUUCAAAUUUAAAAAGUGAAUAAAAUCCAAUUGAAAUUAUACUGAACACGGAGAGACUCAUUGCGCAAAUAGACCAACGAGCGAAAAUGCGCGGAUCCUCCCCAGGUCGGGUCACACACGCGGGUCAUAUGGCCAAUACGGCGCCGUUUUAAGGCCACUGACGCAGGCCUUAAACGGUGUCGUUUUCCGCACCAUAAAUAUAAACUUAAAAACCCUAAAAAUAGCAGCCAUCCUUUGUCCUGGAAGAAAACCUAGAGCAAAGCUACUCCCCCCUGCACCACUUCAGCAUCGGAGCCCAAAGUCGACUGGUUCCGAACCAACGAGGGAUUCGACGGUAGACUUAUAGGUACGAGCCCUGACUCCCCCCUUCCUUCUCUCCUUUUUUUUAUGCUUAUAUAUAUGUAUUAAUAACAAAACAAAAAGAAAGAAAAGCGAUCGGAAAAAGAAAAGAAUCGAUCAGAGAAAAAAGAACCUUUUUUUUAUUGAUUUCCUUUUUGAUACAGUUUUUCGUGUGUUUUUUGUGUGCGAGAGUAACCCCCUUUUUAUAAUGCCUAUUUUGCUUUUUUUUUUUUAGCCAGAAAACAUGAAAAGAAAAGAAAAAAUGUUUUUCCUUCUUUGUUGUUGCUGCUGUUUUCUGUUUGUCUUCUCUUGCAGGUACGGGUGUGCGUGGCGUGGCUUGACAUGUACGGAGGCAAAGGUUGGCGAGGAGCGGCUCGGUUGGGUCUGUUGUGCGAGGGAGUUGCGGCGCCUGGUCUGUUCCAGAAACCCUAGGGUUUUUGGAAGCUGUUUAGGGCUAUUAGUGUUUGGGCUUAUUGGGCCUGGUGUAAUUGGGGUUAAACUUUAGUGGGCCUUAGUGGGUUAAUAACUUGUAUUGGACUGUUUUUAUUGGACUUUUGAUUUAUUUGGCUUUUUAUUUUUUUAUUUACUUGUUUUUUUAUAUGCAUGUGGGCGGGCACAAAUUGGGUUUUACACCACAUACAUUCAGAUUAUUUUUAUCCAUAUAAACUUUUCUUUAAUUUGAUUGAGUAAUUUUCUCAAGAAACUCUAUAUCAUUUUGGGAUUUUAAAUCUUUCAAGGAUUUUCAUAUAAAUUUCACUAUCAAGUGCACCAUAUAAAUAAGAUGUAACAACAUCCAUUAAAUGCAUGUCAAGUUUUUCUCGUACUGCCAAACUAAUAAGAUGUCUCUUCAUAAUCAAUGUUGGGCCUUUGCGAAAAUCCUUUUGCUACAAGACGAGCUUUAUAUCUUAUGACUUCAUCAAUUUCAUUUCAUUUUCGCACAAAUACUCAUUUAUAUCCUACCGACUUUACACCUUUAGGUGUUUUGGACUACAGGUCCAAAAACUUCACGUUUAGAAAGUGAAUCCAAUUAUACUUGAAUUGCAUCUUUCCAUUUUGACCAAUCUUUUCUAUUUUUACAUUCCUUAAUAGAUUUAGGCUCAGGAUCCUCAUUUUCUAAUGUUAUUUCAAUAGCAACAUUAUAAGCAAAAUUGUUGUCGACAACUACAUUAUUUUUGGUUCCAUCUUUUUAUCGUAUUGACAUAACUUAUCGAUAUCUCUUUAUUUUCAUCAUUUCUAUUUUCAUUUUAAGGUACCUGAAUCUCUUCUUGAGUUUUAUAAUUAGUUAUAUCAUAGGUCUCUUCAGGAACUCCUGCCUCCACUAUGUGACCGCCUUGAAUGUUUACUCCUUUUCUUUUAUAAGGAUUUUUAUCUUUGGAACCGACCGGUCUUCUAUGCUUCAGGCAUGGAUUACUUUCUUUUGCAUUAACAGUUUGCCCUAUUAGGACAUCAAUUCGUAUUGGAGCAUUUUCAGCUGGUAUUUGAAAUUUAAUGAAUUUGGCAAUUGAUUUGUAAAAUAAAUUAUCUGUUGAACUUCUACUUCACGUUGCUUUGUACGAGGAUCUUAAAUAUUGAUAAUUCAGUUCAAGUACUUUAUUAAUCCAACUUUUAUUCUCUCACUCCAAUGUUGGGAAAACUGACAACUCAUGUCAUAACUAAAUACCGAAUUAAUAGCUCAAAAAUAAUAUAAGGAGACUCAUAUAAAUAUACAUUCCCAAUCUCUUAUUAUGACCCAUCUUUGUGCGUUGUGGUGGAGCAGUUGGAACAUAUAUCGCACAUCUAAAAAAUGUAAGAUGGAAAAUAUUUGGCUCUUAACCAAAAAUCAAUUGUAAUGAAGAGUAUUUAUAAUUUAUUGGCUUGAUGCAUACAACAUGUAAAUCAAUACAAUCUCAUGCUGAAAUAGAAAGUUUUGUUCUCAUAAGUAAUGAUUUAGCUAUUAGUUGGAGGCAUUUGAUAAACAAUUCAGCUAAAUCAUUUUGUGUGUGAUCAUGAGCUACAAGAUGUUUAACUUUUAUCCCAAUUGACAUGCAAUAAUCAUUGAAAACUUGGGAUGUAAACUCACUAACAUUAGCAAGAUAACUUGUUUUAAUUGCAUAAUCUGAAAUUAAUCAUUUAAACAAGCAGUCUCGCAAACAAAAGGUUGCGAGUUGAUAACGCAUGUGAUUAUUUUGUAGAUGCAUCUACCAAAAUCAUAUAAUAUCAAAAUCAUCCACAUGGUGGAUGAAUGGGCCCAUAUUCAUUUCAGAAAUGCAAGACAUUAAAUCUCAACUUUAGCUAGUGAGUUUCUAAGAUUCAACUUUCAUUGAGAACAAGCAACAAAUGAGAAUUCUUUAAAUUAAAUAAUCUUUUGGAUCUUUAAUGAAUGUCCAUAUGAAUUCUCAAUUAAUUUUUGAAUCAUAUAUGAUCCAGGAUGGUCUAACUGGUUACGCCAAGUAGUAAAUGCAUUUGUAUUAGUAAACUUCUUGUUUACUUUAACAUGUGUUUCAAUUGUACUAAAUUGUAAUAAAUUGAUAAUUUUAUUGUCAUUCUUUUAUUUUGUAUCCACAUAUAAAUACUAUAGUGACAUUUACUAUUGGAAAUGUCUAAAUCUAUGUGAAGUCUAUAAUGCCACUAAGUCAAUAAAUAAAUAUAAUUUUCAAAUAAUUAUAUAUAAUAUUCGUUUUAGGGAAUAUGUCAAAAUAUUCAAAUAUAAGGCAUUUGGUCUAGUGGUAUGAUUCUCGCUUAGAGUGCGAGAGGUCCCAAGUUCGAUUCAAAAUAUAAAUAACUCAAUCCUCUUUUGAUUCAUAUCAAAUAUAAUCUUUUCCUCAUUCACAAUCUCAACAUGAGAUCCAUUAUGAAUAUCUUUUAAAACUAAUGCAUUAACUAUCACAAACUUUGUGCUUUUUAGAUAUUGAUAUAUUAUCUCUUCUAGAGCUUUCAAUUAACUUUUUACUAUCAAAUAUUGGAAUAUAUUUGUUUAUUUCAGCACCAAAUAAGAUAAAUAUUUUCUAUCUGUAAUGAUAAAAUUUAUUACUAGAUUCUCAUAUCCUUCCUUAAAGGAUAUUAUCAGAGACAAAAUAUUUGGGCAUGCACCACAUAUGUGACCAGUAAUCUCCAUAUCACAUUGGUAACAUAAGUUAUAUUUACCAUUUGAAAAUUUAUCUUGAGAACUCUCAUUGUUCUCUUAUUUAUUACUAUGUUCCUACUUUUAGUGGUCCAUGAGUAUAUCCUUUAUUUUCUUUAUGUUUACAUUCUCUUCGGGGAAUGCAACAAAUCUAGUAGGAUGGACUUAUAAACAUCCCAAUAGAUUCUUUAUUUCAUAAUCACCAUCGCAAACAUGCGUGAGAUUUAAAUCAAAAUUUAUCUAUUCAUAUUGUCAUGAUUAGUCUCCAAUUAUAAUAAACAUGAUAUAAUACAUAAAACAUAAUAAAAUAUACCUGAAGAUCUUUAACAUCAUCGUCAUCAUAUUGACUAUUAUCACGAGCACUAUUACAAGUAGUAAAACAACUUUGUUUUCGUAAUAACAUUUACAAUCUAAUAGUAAAAAUUAUUUAAUAAAUAAUCAAAAUUUGUGUAUCAAAAUUUUCAUGUACGAUGCUUGAAAAUUAUCUGAUACACAUUGUAUCAAAUUUCAAUACCACAUAUAUGUUAUAAAAUCUUAUCUUGCUCUAAUAAAAUAUUUAUAAGUUCAAUUUAAAAGAUAUCAUACAAUUAUUCAAUAUUAGAAAGCUAAUAAGACUAAAUAGAUCCUAUCAAAUUUCCUUUUAUUCAACAAUGGUAGGUUAUUUAGACUUUCCACCAUAAUUUUAAUAAAAUUUCAAGAAUAAAUAACAAGAAAAAAAAUUUAAAACACAAAAAUAUUAUGCAUAAUAUAAUUUAAUUAAAAAAACUUUAAAAAUAGAAAAAAGAACAUACCAUAUUAAUAGUAAACAUAUCUAAUCAAUAAUUAUGUCUUUUAAAUAAAAAAGCAAAAAUCAAAUACUAUCAGAAUGUGAAAUUUAUGUCAAAUAAAAAUUAAUAGUACUUAUACCUUAAUUGAAAAAGAAAAUAUGGCCGAAAUAUAAAAGUUUCUUACCAAAUCUAUACUUUACCCAUACUUGUACAAUAAAUCAAAGAUCAAAAAUAAGAAUCACAAUCCAUUCUGAGAUUGAAUCUUUCAACAUCCUGAAAAUGAAGUUGUAAGGGAGAGUUUAAGGUGAAAAGGAAUUUGAUUUGUGGGACGACUUCGAAAGAUUUUGAAAAAAAAAGAAAAUCAUCGUGUUGAUAACGUGUUAUAAAAUAAAGAGAGAUGGAGAGAAUAAAAAAUAAAGAAAACAUGAAAACAAUAAAAAAAAUAUACUUUAUUGAUCAAAGAGAUUAUUACAAUGUUUUAUCAGAUUUUAUUUAUAAGCAUAAGAAGAAUAAAAAAGAUAGAGAUCUAAUUCUAAUAACUAUUAAAAUUUAAAAUACAUAAAAAUUUUAUCUUAAGCAUGAUCAACAUCCACUUAACUUAAUAAGAUAUUUAUAAUAAUUUUUAAAUUCUAUAGGCGAAUUAUUAAGUAACGGGACAAGUAGGUGGUGAAAUUAAUAAAAAAAAAAUUCUGAAUUAUUUUUGUAAAAAAGCGGCAAAACCCAGAUUACCACAACAGAUGCAAAAUCUGAUCGGUGAAGUUAAGAAAAUGGAGACCAUGGGAAAUCUUCUAAUCCUUUUUCCAGCUUCUUUAUGCCUCUUCCUUUUCGUUGCUUUGCUCAAUGUUUUCUACAAGUAUUGGUGGAUACCUCAUCGUGUACAGUUCAUCAUGAAUUCACAAGGAAUCAGAGGACCUCCUUAUGAAUUUAUCCAUGGAAACAACAAAGAAGCUGCCCAAAUGCUCAUGGAAGCAUCUACCAAACCUAUGGCCUUGACACAAGAUAUAUUUCCCGAGUCAUGCCUCAUGUUUACUCCUGGAUCAACAAAUACGGUGAGAAUAUGUUUUUUUUUUCUCUUUUUGGGGUUGCAUUUUCUGAUUAACCUCCACUUUUCAAGAAAAGAAAUCAUUUUCUUUCAGGGAGGACUUAUCUUAGCUGGAAUGGAAUUCGAGCUCUACUGCUAAUUACAGACCCAGAUCUGGUGAACGAGGUCCUUAAAAACAGUGAAAAGGCUUUUCCAAAGCCGAAGGCUUCAUAUUUCUUCGACAAGCUACUAGGCGACGGUCUUGGUUCAACCGAAAGUGAGAAAUGGGCAAGGCUAAGGAAACUGGCCCAUUAUGCCUUUCAUGGGGAGAGCUUAAAAGUAAAUCAUCGCCACAUUCUACUCUAAUUAUUGUAGUGGAACAUCUACAAACUUGAUACUUUUUUUCAGAAUAUGAUUCCAGCAGUAGUUGCUAGCGUUGAAACCAUGCUUGAGAAAUGGAAAAGUAAGGAGGGCAAAGAGAUAGAAGUGUUCCAAGAGUUCAGAUUAUUGACUUCAGAAGUGAUAUCCAGAACCGCCUUUGGUAGCAGUUACUUGGAAGGGGAGAAGAUUUUUGACAUGUUGAUGAAGUUGACAGUAAUUGCAGGCAGAAAUAUUUAUAAAGCAGAGAUUCUCAUCAUCAGGUAACUUCAUCAAAUCUUUACUUUGUUAAUCAGCAUACUUCAGCUGCCAAUGGGUUGAUUUAACCUGGUUUUCCUUUUCAGCAAGUUUUGGAAAUCUGCUGAUGAAAUUGAAUCAGAUAAAAUUGCCAAAAUGAUACAUGAUUCUGUGAUGAAGAUUGUUAAAAAAAGGGAAGCCAAAGUAGUGACCGGAGAAGCUGAUAACUUCGGUCGUGAUUUUCUGGGAUUUCUGCUUAUCAUGAGGCGGACGAGAAAAAUAGGCUUUCGAUACAAGAUUUGGUAGAUGAGUGUAAAACUUUCUAUUUUUCUGGGCAAGAAACAGUCAAUUCCUUGCUUGCAUGGGCAACCCUGCUUUUAGCAAUACACACCGAUUGGCAAGAUAAAGCAAGAGCAGAGGUGAUUGAGGUCUUUGAUAAUCAAAACCCAGAUUCUGAAGGGAUGGCCAAAUUAAAGACGGUAAGCAAACUAUACAAAUUCAAUAGCUUGAAAACUAACAGUGAACAUUUAUAUUGCCCUUUGGAUUUCUUUUUCUCCAACAGAUUACCAUGAUUAUCAAUGAAACUUUACGGCUCUAUCCUCCUAUAAGUGGCAUGAUAAGAAAAGUAGGAAGAGAAGUCCGAUUAGGAACACUUGUCCUGCCUACUCAUUCACGGGUCGACAUGCGAAUCAUAGCACUUCACCAUGAUCCUGACUUAUGGGGAGAUGAUGUUGAUCUUUUCAAACCAGAGAGGUUUGCUGAGGGUUAGCCGAAGCUACUAAGUACAAUGCAGCUGCAUUUAUGCCCUUUGGAUUGGGACCUCGAUGUUGCGUAGGCAUGAGCUUUACAAUCAUUCAAGCGAAAAUUGCACUUUCCAUGAUUCUGCAACGCUACACUAUCAACCUCUCCCCUAGCUAUGUUCAUGCACCUUUACAACGUCUUACACUCAGGCCACAACAUGGGAUUCAGUUGUUGUUUCAUUCACUACGUUAUGAUGCUUAAAAUUCUAGGCUGUUGGUCUCCAAUAUAGUAAUAUAUAAUAAAAUGUGGGUAAUACUGUAUUUUGCAACCAUAUGAUGAUAUAUGGUUUUGGGAUUUCAUGUUUUGUUGAUAUUGUUAAAGGUUAAAAAGGUAUUACAGCAAACGUCGCCACCACAGGAGCAGGCCCUACAGUCCUGUACAUAACAUAAUCAACAACAAAAUAGUCCACCAAAGAGAAAUCAAUUCAAACUACCCCAAAAAGCUGGAACGGCAGCGGCAAAUCCAGUCAGCUCCCUGAACAUUAUACAGCAACACAGGAACAAGAACAUCACAACCCAGUCAUAUACAUGCCAUGAAGACAUUGGACUCCACAUUUUGCUAAAGUAUCAGCAAAGCAGUUAGAUUCUCUAUACACAUUCACAAAGGAGACAUUAUGGGAUCUCAUCACACAGCUUGGAAUAUGACCCAUCCAGCAUUUGAGAAACGGUGAAGAUGUCAAGUCCAGGAGCUCCAAACAAUGCCUCAGCCGGUGGACCCUAUAAUUAGGUGUCUUUCUUCCAUUACUACUGCAGUAGUGAAGUUUUUAUUGCACUUGGUUCCCUUCUUCCAGAGUUUCUGCUUGAAGCACUCACUCCUGGAGCCGGCCAUUGCUUGUUUUCAUUUUUAAUUUUUUAAUAUAAUAUAUUACAAAAUAUGAAUGGUCGUUAAAAUUUAUUGCUAAAUGUUGUAUUACCAUUGCUAAAAUUUUAUUUUAACAAAAAAAAUCGUUGUGAGUUCAUCAUGUAUACCUCCUUUGUAUAAAAUAUGCACAGAAAUUGAAAAGUCGUUUUUAAUUAUAUAUAUUGUAACAUCUUUUUUCGUUUUAAAAUAUAUUUUUUUUCUUAGCGAUAUAAUUUGUUUAUCUAAUAGUGUUUUAGUUAUAAUAAAAUUUGUUACAAUAUCUUUAACACAAUGAUAAUAUUUACAAAUACUAUUACGUAACAAUAGUAUAUUGGUUGCAAAAUAAAAUUUGCAAUAAUGUAAAAUUAAAUUGCUAAGCUUUUUACGUAACAAUAAUAAUAUUGAUUACCAAAUAUUAUUUUGUAAGGAUAUUUUAUUUGGUUGUGUAUUACAUUGUGCAAUGAUUAUAUUUCAUUGCCAAAAAAAUAUUUUAGCAACCAUUAAACGUGGUUGUCAAAUCAAUUACGUAACAAUAAUACUAUUGGUUGUUAAAUAUUAUUCUGCAAUGAUGUUUUAAUUGGUUGUGUACUAAUUGUGCAACAACUGUAAAAAUUUAUUUAAACAACCAUAAAAUGUGGUUGCCAAAUAGUUUGCGCAACAACAACAACAAUAAUAUAGUUGCUAAUGCAUUUACAUAACAAUUUUUACUUAGUUAUGAAAUAUUAAUUUACAAUGACAUAAUAUUUGGUCACGUCUUAUAUUACACGAUAUUUAAAUAUUGUGCAAAGUUAAUUUUAACAACCAUAAUAUUUUGUUGCAAUAUUUUUAUAUGUAACCAUAUUAUAAUGUUCGUUGAAAUUUAUUUUGCACCAAAACGUUAUCUAAUUGAUAAUAAAAAGAAGUAAUUACAAAUAUUAAAGAAAUUAGUUAUUUGUUUAAAAACAAUAUUACCAAAAUUUUAAGCUCGUUUGUUAGAGUCCAGCCUAAAAAUGGGCCUAAAUUUUUUUCAAGUCCAACCCAGAUAAAAAUGUCAAACCCGGUCCAACCUCGUCUUCUCGAAUGAGGGUUAGCAAAAUUCGAUUUAAUUCAAAAAAUUUAAUAAAAUAUUCAAAUUUUAAAUUAAAUAGUUCGAGUUAUUAAUGUUAAUCGAUUUAUUUGGAUUAACUCGAAUAAAAAAAAUUAAAAUUUUCAGUUUAACUCGAAUAUGAAUUACAUAAUUCGGGUUAUCUGAAAAUCUGAAUAAAAAAAUAUAAAACUACGUUGUUUUGAUAAAUAUUUAGAUUUUCUAAAGUUGAAGCCAAAACCAUUAAGUUAAAAACAAAACAAUUAUAUUGUUUAUGUAGUUAUAUAAUCUUGUAUUUCGUCUACUAGUUAAAUAAGCGGCCCAUGUAAAUGCAACAUUGAGUAUAAAUAAUAGGAUUUGUUAACUCUAAUUGACUUGACUCAAAAUUUUUUGACUCUAUUCGAUUCGAAAAAUUUUCAAAUUGAGUUCGGUUAAUAGGAUUCGUCAACUCGACUAACUCAAAAUUUUUUUACUCGAUCUAAUAUUCACCCCUAUUUCUAAACUAUAACAGUUAAUGGAAACUUGUUAAGUCAUAAAAAAUUCAAGUAAAUGUUUUAAACUUGAGUUUUAUGAAUACAAAAAAUAAUUUUAAAAGCUAUUUUAAAUUAUAAAAUUUAUUUGGUAUAAAUUAAAAUUAAAUACAAAAUAUAAUUAGAUUGUUUGAUAAAAUAUAAUUUUUUAAGAAUUUAAAGGUGGGGUAUUUGAAGGAUUUAAAAGAGAUAAAAUAAGAAUAAUUGAAACAAAUUCUACAUUAAGUUAUUUAUCUACUUUUCAUUUUCCACAUCUUUUCGUAGAAAAAUCCAAUCAUUUGUCUUUUAUUAUGAAUCAUCAAACUUGCUUAAAAACAUAAAUUAUUAGUUGAUUUAUUUUGUUUUCAAUUCAUUAUCAAACAAGCCCUUAGUUAAUGUUCUCCAAGUUCAAGUGCCAUUUAUGUCAAAAAAAAGUUUAAGUAAUAGUAACAUAAACAUUCAUUUAAUUAUAACAAUAAAGUUAAAGCCAUGAAUAUUUUCAAAAAAAUUCAAUUAAGUCCUUGAAUGUUAAAAUUUCAAUCAAUUAAGCUCUUUGAUAGUUAAAGUUAACAGUUAAUUGUUGUAGUUAAAAUUUCAAUCAAUUAAGGCACGGUGUAGCGUUUGUUUACCUCAUCCUUUAACCAUGUGGUUGAGGGUUCAAUCCCCACGUAUGGGAAUAAAGCACAUUUCAUGCUCAAUUAUUUACCUAUUUGGAGAGCACUCAUAGUGAGGAGAUUAAACCUUGUUAUUGCUGGUGAAUACCCUAAUUAUGACAAAUAAAAAAUAACAACUACCAUUUUUUUUGGAUUAUUUUUGUCAAGUGGUGAAAAUUAUUUUAAUUUUUAUUAAAAAUCAUAUAAAAAGUAUAAAAAUUAUACAAGAAUUAUAAAAAUGCAUAAAUUAGAAAAAAUAUAUAUAAAAAAAUCUAUUGUGAAAACAUAAAAUUAUAGAAAUAUAAUUGCUCCCCCAAAUUCCAUGUUUCCUCUAACUCGUCUAACUGGAUUCUCCCUUAGAAUCAACUUAUUUGGAUUGUGAAAAUCUCCAUCCGAUAUUGAGCAAUUUGCACAAAUGUUGGUAACAUUUUAUAAAAUUAUUUUUUUUGUAAAAAAAAAAGUGAAAAGAAAAUCCAAUUAUAUGGAAUUGGUUUAUUCUCUAUGCAUGUGGAUCACCAUUUGAACAAGCAUAGACGACAAGGUGGACUCGUGAAAAGAAAACAUUUGUUGCAUCAUUGUUGUUUCCAUAUUCUCGCCUACCCAAAGCAGAAAUAAAGGGUGAAUUUGGCAUAUUAGCACCAUUUCUACCUCCUUUCUCCCUCUAUAUAAACCUCUUCCCACCCAAGCUGCCAUUGCCAAAACCCAUCAACUUCACCUCUAUUCUUCUUACUUGAGACCUAUAUUUAGUCUUGAAAUUUGACUCUGAAAAUGGGUUUCGCAUUUGCAUAUCGACUUAUCUUAGUCGUGGCAGUUGCUUCCGUGUUGGGAAUAAGCCUGGCAAAUAAAGACUGGGGCUCCCCUAAUUCCAACUACACUGGUUGGGGUUGGGGCUGGGGCUGGGGCUCCUCGAAGUCUAACCACACUGGUCAAGGCUUUAAUAACCAUCCCGUGAAUGAAACUCAAGGACCCAAAAAGAUAAUUGUUGGUGGAUCAGAAAACUGGCAUUUCGGCUUCAACUACUCCGAUUGGGCAUUCAACAAUGCACCCUUUUACUUCAACGAUACUCUAGGUGAGUCCAUAAUAUUACAUUUUACAAACCAAAGAAAUGGGAAGCUACCUUGUUUUUAUAUUUAUUUGCUGAAAUAAAUGAUGUUUUGAAUUGGUUUGCGUAGUGUUCAAGUACGAUCCACCAAGCAACACCACAUUCCCUCACAGCGUUUACUUGUUUCCCGACCGAUGGAGCUACUUGAAUUGCGACUUAAAGAGAGCGAAGAUGGUGGCAAAUGCAACCCAAGGCGGUGGCGAUGGGUUCGAGUUUGUGCUCAAGAGGUGGACACCCUAUUACUUUGCUUGUGGUGAACGUAAUGGCUUCCAUUGUAAGGUCGGCAGCAUGAGGUUCAUGGUGAUGCCACUCUUUCGUUGGCAUUACUAGAAUACUUGGGAGAUGAUCACAAAUUAAGGAAUAUCGACAUCCAAUAUAACAAAGAUAUUUAGACUUCGAUGACAAAAUUAAUGUGUAAUCGUUUCUUAAAAUGAUGAAUAAUUUAACUGUCAUCUUAUUAUUUAUUUUAUCAAUAAUUUCGUUACAGGUUUUUUUUUUUACACAAUGUUUAGAAUUAUCUAUAGUCUCUUUCUAACCUAUAAAUAGGAAAGUAAUGCGCUUUAACACACUCGAAUUCACAUCCUCCUGCAUUGACAACAAUAUCCAUGCCAAUUGAAUUAAAACUCAAUCGACUUCUUAAUUUAUUUCAAAAGAAAAAAAUACAUCUUUAAUUUGGACCUUUACUUAGUUAACUAAUUUAAAAGACAUUAAAUCUUCUUUAAUUCUACAGUGAUCUGUAAGUUUGAACAUCCAUUUGCCAUGUUAAUGUUAAGUGAUAUAUAUACGGGGCUUAUAGGGAUAGAAAGCCUUUAAGAAAGAAAAUUUUAUGCCCUUCAACUUAAUUCACACUCAAUUAAGUUGUUAUCCUUAAUUCACACUCAAUUAAGUUGUUAUCAUUAAUCCAAAAAAUUAAUUAAGUCCCUUAAUUGUUGAUUUUCAUCUUUGAUCCCGUUGAUGAUUAAAAUUAGCUAAUCGGAUGGCGGUAUUUACCUAAUUCAUAUUUAAUUUUUUAUUUUUCUAAUAAAAAUUAUUAAAAAUUAUAAAUACAAUGUCAAAUUUACCCUCAAUGUUUGCAUUUUUAUUAAUUUAGUCCUUAUUUUGUUUAAACUAAAUUUAAUCAUUAAUCUUUCAAAAAGAGUUAAAUCGCUCUUUUUUUAAUGAAGAUGUUGACUAAAACACUGAUUUUUUAAUGAUGGUGCGACAACCCGCGUUAUAUUUUGUACUUCAUAUUGACAUGACAUUAUUUGCCUUUUAUAUUACGUCAAUAAAUGAUUUAAAAUUUAUAAAAAUAUUAAACAAAACUCAAAAUUUAAGAAAUUAUAAAAAAAUCAUAAAAAAAAAUAAGAAAAAUAGUAUGAAAUACAUUUAGAUUGCCACGUAAGCUAUUAUGUUUAAAAUUUUAACAUUUUAAUUAGUAUUUUCAUUAUUUUUGUUAAAAAAAUAACAACUCCAUUCUUUUCGAAAAGUUGAUUAAAUUCGUUUUUUUUUAAAGGUGAAAUUUAACUUGCAAUUGGAGAAGGAGGAGUCGCUAUAUAAGCCAAGGUGAAGGUGCAACAAAGGGUAUUGGGUUCAUGCAAUGCAUUGGGUUAAAAAAAUGUUUUUUCCGAGUUUUUAUAAUUUUGUAUGAUUUUUCUUAUAAUUUUUUUUAUUUUUAUAAAAAAAAUAAAAGAUUAAAUCUGAAGUUACCAUUUAUCUAGGUUGAUUUUAAUAAUCAACAAAAUCAAUAACGGAAGAGUUAACAGUAAAAUUUGAAUGGUUGCAAGGGGCUUAAUUAUAUUUUUAAUUAUUUUUGGUUUAAGAGCUUUUUAGAGGGAUGAGUGGGAAUUUCUAUUUAUUCAAUCAAAGUAGAGUACAAACAUGGCAUAAUGAAGUCCCAAAGCAUUAGAAAGUGCAAGAUCGUGGAACCUAAAAGUUACUAUUCCUGGCUUAUAGUUGAAUGUUUUCGAAGCCAAAGUUUGAAAAUGAAAAUGACAAUCAACAGGUAAAGCUGUCAUUAUUACAUCACAUAAACGUAUGACUAACUAUGUCCUGUCAACCCCAGAUCAAAGUAUGGCACUUUUCACAUUUUGUUAUGGUAGUGGAGAAGACGUAACACAAUCCAAGAACUAAAACUGAACUGAAUGAUCAAAGGCAAUUUACAAAAUUCCCCACCUACCACCAUUAGCCAACGGCGGCACCUCGGCUCACCCACCAUCACAAUCAUAUGAUUUUUCACACUGCUUCUAAACUUUAACUGUUAAUGGAAACACAAGGAAAUGGUAAACACAGUUCAAUGCUCUCUGACCAAUAACUUUUAAAACCCAAGAAAAACCAACGCCAACCCAUAUAAUUCCCAAACCCAAGCAAAAUCAACAUUUAAAAUGGGUUUAGUUUCAGAAUCUUUUAAGGCAGUUUGGAGUUUGGUAUCAAUAUGAGAAAAAAAAAACAAAGAUUUAAGUAUCAAUGUGGAAAACAGGUAUAAUUUGAAGGCUAAAAUGAGAAUAAAGCCAAAUAUUUGCCAUAUCAUUGCUGUUUCCAUUUUCUCGCCUACCCAAAGCAGAAAAAAAGGUCAAUUUGGCACAUUUGCACCAUUUUCCACCUCCUUUCUCCCCUUUAUAUAAACCUCUUCCCCAACAUGCCAUUGCCAAAAACCAUCAACUUCAACUCCAUUUUCUUUUAGCUGAAUCUUAUAUUGAGUCUUGAAAUUUGACUCUGAAAAUGGGUUUCACGUUUGCAUAUCGACUUAUCCUAGUUGUGGCAACUGCUUCCGUGUUGGGAGUAAGCCUGGCUAAUAAGGACUGGGGCUCCCCUAACUCCAACUACACUGGCUGGGGUUGGGGUUGGGGCUCCUCUAAGUCUAACCACACUGGUCAAGGCUUUAAUAACCAUCCCUUGAAUGAAACUCAAGGAUCCAAAAAGAUCAUUGUUGGUGGAUCAGAAAACUGGCAUUUUGGCUUCAGCUACUCCAAUUGGGCAUUCAACAAUGCACCCUUUUACUUCAACGAUACUCUAGGUGAGUCCUUAAUAUUACAUUUUACAAACCAAAGAAAUGGGAAGCUACCUUGUUUUUAUAUUUAUUUGUUGAAAUAAAUGGUGUUUUGAAUUGGUUUGCAUACGUAGUGUUCAAGUACGAUCCACCAAGCAAUACCACAUUCCCUCACAGCGUUUACUUGUUUCCCGACCGAUGGAGCUACUUGAAUUGCGACUUAAAGAGAGCAAAGAUGGUGGCAAACACAACCGAAGGCGGUGGCGAUGGGUUCGAGUUUGUGCUGAAGAGGUGGACACCCUAUUACUUUGCUUGUGGUGAGCGUAAUGGCUUCCAUUGUAAGGUCGGCAGCAUGAGGUUCAUGGUGAUGCCACUCUUUCGUUGGCAUUACUAAAAUCUUGGAGAUUAUCUCAGAGAAAGAUCGACAUCCAACAUAACUCACAUAUAUAUAGAGUUUUAUUUCACUUUGUUGACAAAAUUAAUGUGUGAUUGUUUCUUAAUAUGGUUGAGAAGCUACUAGUUUGGUUUAUUUUAUGUUGUAAUGAUGCAAAAUAAGCCGUGUUAUAAUUGCACUUAAAGUUUAUAUUGAUGAACAAAUUAACCUUUCUUAAUUUGUUUCAAAGAAAGAAGUUUAAUGAGGGCAAUCUCUUUAAUUUUAUACUUUACUCAUUUAAAGUAUUAGAUACUUUUAAAUCUGCAAUAUUUAGAAAUUUGUUUAAUAUCAUAUAUUAUUAGAGUUAAUACAUUAAUAAUCAAAUAUUUAAGUUUUUAUAGGUGAAUGAAUCACAAGUAAAGUGACAAAAGAUCUGCAUUCAAAUAAUCAAUUAACACCAAUCUCGAGUUCAAUCUUGAACAACAUUAACCCUUACAGAAAAAGAUUUUGGAUACCAGCAUGGAAUUGAUCACUCAUUGACAUACAGGGGCAUAGCAAAAGGGGCGGGAGGGGCCUUGGCCCCCUUUGACUGGAUGGAUUAUUUGUUAUUUUAGUACUUUCUAAAUGUAAAUGGUUCAAUUUUUUAGCUUGUUUUAAAUAAAAGAAAUUUAAUUAUAGCCCUUUCAAAGUUUAAAAAAUACAAUUUAAAUCAUUUUAAUGCAAAUUUUUUAACUUUGACCCCAAUUUUUUUUUAGUUUUAUUUUUACUCCCAUCACAUAAUUCUUAGCCCCCAUUGGUAUGCUCAUGGAUAAAGGCAUACGACAGGGGCGAAGUUAGAAAAAUCUUUUAAAGGAGUAGAAAUUAAAUUGUAAUUUUUACGAUAGUAAAAAUGUAAUUUCACCAUUUUAAUAGCUUAUAUCUUUAUAAUUUUUAAAGAAUUAAAUCAAAUUUUUUUCAUUUAGAGAGAUUAAAAUAUAAUUUUAACUUUACUAAUUUAAAAAUUAUUUUUAGAAGUGAGGUACCCUUCCAUUAGCAUAUUAUACACUCCUUCGCAAAGAACUUGAUAGUGGCGAAGUUAAAGUGUUAAGGGUGUAGAAAAAGGCCUUGUCUGUUUUGAUUAAAUGAAAAAGAAUUUCCUUUAAAUCCUCUCAAAAUAGAAAUCAUUUAACUUAAUCCUUUUAGCUCUUGAAUGAAAUAAAAUAUUACAAAUUAGAGACUAGGCUACGGUUUAUUGAGGAAAAAGAGAAAGACAAUCAAUCGAGUUACCUCCUAUGACCAAGUUACCUCCGCUCCAAACGAGUUGAAUUCGACUCCAUAACAGACGGGGGACGUCUGAUUUCACCAAUCACUAUAGAACCUUCCAGAAUAUAAAGACUGACGGUUCUUUUACCUUUUAACAAAACGAGAGCUCCACGAGAUACUUUAAUGUCGGUCGACUCGAUGUUGAUUCUGCAUCCUUUCAAGUCUGAAAAACUCAAAGAGAUGAGAUUCUUUCGUAAAUUAGGUACAUACCUGACAUCUGAGAGUGUCCUAAUCAUCCCGUCGUGUAUCAUAAUUUUAACAGUACCAAUACCAAUUACCUUACUAGAUGAAUCGUUUCUUAUGCGCACAACUCCACCUUUAACCGAACUGUAUGUGGAGAACCAUUCUCUAUUGGGACACAUGUGGAAAGAACAUCUCGAAUCUAGGAUCCACUCGGACGUGAGCUUGGAGUUAUCGCUCAUUGACACUAAUAAGAAAUCAUCACUGCUUUCAUCGGCCAAAUUAGCACUAGCUACAUCUUCCUCGUUACUCUCAGCAGGUCUUUUAUUUUACAGUUUAUAACAAUUUGCUUUAACGUGACCUAACUUUUUACAAUAGCGACACCUUUUGUCUCGUUUCUUUGAUGCUAUCAAAAUGGAAGCUUGCCUAUCUGCCUUACUAUCCAAACCAAACUCAUUGUCGAGUUUGUCUCUACUCAACAAAUGACCCUUCACAUAUUGGAACGAGAGUUUGUCUCUGCCAUAAAUCAAGAUCUCCCUCAAAGACUUGUAUGAAUGAGUAAAGAGCACAAUAAUAGCAUAGUCUGAUCUUCAUCGUCAAUAUGAACCUCAAUGUUCUUUAAAUCAUUUAAAAGAGUAAUGAAUUGACUGAUGUGAUCUCUAAGAAGUUCACCUUCGUUCAUGCGAAACGUAAAUAGACGUUGUUUCAACACUAAACGGUUAGCCAGAGACUUAGUCGCAUAAAGAGUUUCUAACCUUUUCCACAAGGCAGAUGAGGUCUUCUCCAUCAACACAUCUUGCAAUACCGUAUUUGUGAGGCACAACUGGAUUGCAGAUAAGGCCUUUUCAUCAAGCUCUUCCCAUUCUGUUUGAUUUAGAUUCUCAGGCUUUUUUCCGAUAACAACCUUUUUCAAGCCGGUUUGAACUAGAAUUGCCAUCAUCCGAACUUGCCACAGAUUGAAAUUUGUCUCACCAUCGAACUUUUCAAUUUCAAACCUUAUUGCUACCAUCUCUGAAUGAGCUGAUUUAUGAAAAUUAAAUUAGCUCUGAUAUCACUUGUUAGGAUCGAUCCGAUUAAGUAACAAGUAAAAAAAUAACGGAAUAAAUUGAGAAAUUGAACACACAAAUUUAACGUGAAAAAACCUCUCCAAAAGGAUAAAAAAAUCACGGGCAAAGAUAAUUUUAUUAUAAUGGCAAAAGAACAAAAAGUACAAAAGAUGAAGAUAAAAACUAAACUCCAAAAACCCAAAAACAAAGAACCCUUAAAACGUAAAUACAAAAUUCUCUAAAUAUAUUAUGAGUUCUAAUCUCUAAUGGGUGUAUUUUUUAAGGUUGUAAAAGAGCCUAUUUAUAAGCUAAAUUAAUAGGUCAAAUAAUAAUAAAAUAAUCUCGCCUAAUUAGAGUUUGAUUGAAACAAAUAAACAGAGUUUAACUGAAAGAUUAUUUCUCAAAUUUGACUGAAAUAGGAGUCAUACUCAACACUAAGAAACUGGCCCAUUAUGCCUUUCUUGGGCAGAGCUUAAAAGUAAAUCAUCGCCACCUUCUACUCUAAUUAUUGUAGUGGAACAUUUACAAACUUAUACUUUUUUGCAGAAUAUGAUUCCAGCAGUAGUUGCUAGCAUUGAAACCAUGCUUGAGAAAUGGAAAAGUAAGGACGGCAAAAAGAUAGAAGUGUUCCAAGAGUUCAGAUUAUUGACUUCAGAAGUGAUAUCCAGAACCGCCUUUGGUAGCAGUUACUUGGAAGGGGAGAAGAUUAUUGACAUGUUGAUGAAGUUGACAGUAAUUGCAGGCAGAAAUAUUUAUAAAGCAGAGAUUCCCAUCAUCAGGUAACGUCAUCAAAUCUUUACUUUGCUAAUCAACAUACUUCAGCCGCCAAUGGGUUGAUUUAAUCUGGUUUUCCUUUUCAGCAAGUUUUGGAAAUCUGCUGAUGAAAUUGAAUCAGAUAAAAUUGCCAAAAUGAUACAUGAUUCUGUUAUAAAGAUUGUUAAAAAAAGGGAAGACAAAGUAGUCACUGGAGAAGCUGAUAACAUCGGUCGUGAUUUUCUGGGAUUACUUGUAAAUGCUUAUCAUGAGGCGGACCAGAAAAAUAGGCUUUCGAUACAAGAUUUGGUAGAUGAGUGUAAAACUUUCUAUUUUGCUGGGCAAGAAACAGUCAAUUCCUUGCUUGCAUGGGCAACCCUGCUUUUAGCAAUACACACCGAUUGGCAAGAUAAAGCAAGAGCAGAGGUGAUUGAGGUCUUUGAUAAUCAAAACCCAGAUUCUGAAGGGAUGGCCAAAUUAAAGACGGUAAGCAAACUAUACAAAUUCAAUAGCUUGAAAACUAACAGUGAACAUUUAUAUUGCCUUUUGGAUUUCUUUUUCUCCAACAGAUUACCAUGAUUAUCAAUGAAACUUUACGGCUCUAUCCUCCUAUAAGUGGCGUGAUAAGAAAAGUAGGAAGAGAAGUCCGAUCAGGAACACUUGUCCUGCCUAUUCAUUCAGAGGUCGACAUGCGAAUCAUAGCACUUCACCAUGAUCCUGACUUAUGGGGAGAUGAUGUUGAUCUUUUCAAACCAGAGAGGUUUGCUGACGGCUGAAACUACUAAGUACAAUGCAGCUGCAUUUAUGCCCUUCGGAUUGGGACCUCGAUCUUGCGUAGGCAUGAGCUUUACAAUCAUUCAAGCGAAAAUUGCACUUUCCAUGAUUCUGCAACGCUACACUAUCAAUCUCUCCCCUAGCUAUGUUCAUGCACCUUUACAACGUCUUACACUCAGGCCACAACAUGGGAUUCAGGCCACAACUUUUUUUUUGUUUUAAAAUAUAAUUUCUUUCCUAACGAUAUAAUUUGUUUAUCUAAAAGUGUUUUAGCUAUAAUAAAAUUUGUUACAAUAUCUUUAACACAAUGGUAAUAGUUACAAAUACUAUUACGCAACCAUAGUAUAUUGGUUGCAAAAUAAAAUUUGCAACAAUGUAAAAUUAAAUUUGCUAAGUUUUUUACGUAACAAUAAUAAUAUUGAUUACUAAAUAUUAUUUUGUAAGGAUAUUUUAUUUAGUUGUGUAUUACAUUGUGCAAUGAUUAUAUUUCAUUGUCAAAAAAAUAUUUUAACAACCAUUAAACGUGGUUAUCAAAUCAUUUACGUAACAAUAAUACUAUUUGUUGCUGAAUAUUAUUUUGCAAUAAUGUUUUAAUUGGUUGUGUACUAAUUACGCAACAACUAUAAAAAUUUAUAAAUUGAGUUCGGUUGUUAAAAUAGGAUUCGUUAACUCGACUAAUUCAAAUUUUUUUUACUCGAUCGAAUAUUCACCACUAUUUCUAAACUAUAAUAAUGGAAACUCGUUAAGUCAUAAAAAAUUCAAGUAAAUGUUUUAAACUUGAGUUUUAUGAAUACAAAAAAUAAUUUUAAAAGCUAUUUUAAAUUAUAAAAUUUAUUUGGUAUAAAUUAAAAUUAAAUACAAAAUAUAAUUAGAUUGUUUGAUAAAAUAUAAUAUUUUAAAAAUUUAAAGGUGGGGUAUUUGAAGAAUUUAAAAGAGAUAAAAUAAAAAUAAUUGAAACAAAUUCUACAUUAAGAUAUAAAUAGUUAUUUAUCUACUUUUCAGUUUCCAUAUCUUUUCGUAGAAAAAUCCAAUCAUUUGUUUUUUAUUAUGAAUCAUCAAACUUGCUUAAAAACAUAAAUUAUUAGUUGAUUUAAUUUUUUUUAAUUGAUUAUCAAACAAGCCCUUGAUUCAAGUGCCAUUUAUGUCAAAAAAGUUUUAAGUAAUAGUAACAUAAACAUUCAUUUUAUAACAAUAAAGUUAAAGCCACGAAUAUUUUCAAAAAAAUUCAAUUAAGCCCUUGAAUGUUAAAAUUUCAAUCAAUUAAGCUCUUUGAUAGUUAAAGUUAACAGUUAAUUGUUAUAGUUAAAAUUUCAAUCAAUUAAGGCACGGUGUAGCGUUUGUUUACCUCAUCCUUUAACCUUGUGGUUGAGGGUUCGGUCCCUACUUAUGGAAAUGAAGCACAUUUCAUAGUCAGUCAUUUACCUAUUUGGAGAGCACUUAUAGUGAGGAGAUUAACUACUGUUGUUGUUGGUGGAUACCCUGAUUAUGACAAAUAAAAAAUAACAACUGUCUUUUUUUUUGGAUUAUUUUUGCCAAGUGCCAUGCUAAGAUUGUGCCACGUGGUAUGAAAUUAGAAAAAUCAUAUAAAAAUUAUAAAAGAAUUAUAAAAAUGAAUAAAAUUAGAAAAAAAUAUAUAAAAAAUCUAUUUUUAAAAGGUUAAUAAAUUUUAUAUUUUAUUAUUUUUAAAAGGAUAAUAAAUUUUUAAAAGGUUUUUUUUAUUCUUAUAUUUUUAAGGGCGAUUUAAAUUUAAUUUCAAAAUAGGGCAUGCCUAAUAUAUAAAUAGACAUUUAAUUGGUGUCCAAGAGGAAUGGCGUCACUCCUAUUUUUCAUCUAGUUUAAAAAUAAUAAUUACUUCAUCAGGUAUCUGAACAUUUUAUAUAAUUUUUUUUCAGUUCGAUGUCACCAAUAACAACGACGACACCCAAAAUAUAUAUUUUUUAAAACUACCAAUGACAAUGAGUCACCGACAUUUACUGUUUAAAAUGAGUUUCAAAAUAAGUCAUUUUUAUAAAUAAUUAAAAGUUUUGGGUAUUUUUAAUAAAAAAGCCUAAGUUUGAUGAAUGGCGUCAGCCAUUAUGUAGGUCUACUUAAUACGAAAACGACGGCUUGGUUUUGUUGGCCAAAAGGAAAGUACCUUUUGGGUUUUGCUUUGCCCAAAUGCUAGCAAAGUCUUUGCAUGCAUUUGUUUGAUUGGAAAAGUGAGAAAUAGAUGAACAUGGUAAGCACAAAUUCUAGACAUUACCAUAUCACCUAUAAAAUUUAGUUAUCUUUUUAAUUUCUUUUGGUGUAUUAUAAAAAAAAAUUCUAAUAACACGACUUGAAUCAAAUCAUAUCUUAGUCAAGAGAUGGGGUUAUUUUAAUUUUUGUCUAUAAAAAGAAUCUUGUUCAUUGAGGGCCCUAGUAGGAGGUAUUGAAUAAGAACUAGAAGUCAAAUCCUGCACGCUUCCCAUUUCUGUGUAUUGAAUUGGCUGUAAUUUUCAAAGGACAUGAACCUUGAAGAGGGACAAGUGUAGUCUCUUGAUGAUAAAUGUGUUGACUGUCACCUUGCAAAACCCAGAUUACCAUAACAGGUGCAAAAUCUGAUCGGUGAAGAUAAGAAAAUGGAGACCAUGGGAAAUCUUCUAAUCCUGUUUACAGCUUCUUUAUGCCUCUACCUUUUCGUUGCUUUGCUCAAUGUUUUCUACAAGUAUUGCUGGAUACCUCAACGGGUACAGUUCAUCAUGAAUUCACAAGGAAUCAGAGGACCUCCUUAUGAAUUUAUCCAUGGAAACAACAAAGAAGCUGCCCAAAUGCUCAUGGAAGCAUCUACCAAACCUAUGGCCUUGACACACGAUAUAUUUCCCAGAGUCAUGCCUCAUGUUUACUCCUGGAUCAACAAAUACGGUGAGAAUAUGUUUUUUUUUCCUUUCUUGGGUAGUAUUUUCUGAUUAACCUCCACUUUCCAUGAAGAGAAAUCAUUUU
rnacentral:lncRNA from 1 species